rnacentral:lncRNA from 1 species
UUCUUUGUGCAUUUAAUCUUUCUCUUUCUGAUGUUUUUUUCAUCUACAGAUAUUUCUCUACUGGACAAAAUGGUGAUAUAUGAUAAUGAAAAACAACGAGUUAGAUGGCUUCCAGCAAACUGCAAUAGGCUACUACUACCAGAUAAAUUACUCAUAAGCAUGAACAAAUACUCUAUGACUAAAAAUCUCAACGAGAAUCACCAAAGUUAUAGCAGCUAUCUAACGGAAUAUUAAUUUGAAGUUAACUUAGAAAUAUCAAGCUAGCUUAAGGCUGAAGUUUCCCAGUUACAACACAAAAACUUCAGCUCUAGAGCUGAAGUUUCCCAGUUACAACACAAAAACUUUAGCUCUAGAGCUGAAGUUUCCCAGUUAAACACAAAAAGUUUCCAGUUACAACACAAAAACUUCAGCUCUAGAGCUGAAGUUUCCCAGUUACAACACAAAAACUUUAGCUCUAGAGCUGAAGUUUCCCAGUUAAACACAAAAAGUUUCCAGUUACAACACAAAAACAUCAGCUCUAGAGCUGAAGUUUCCAGUUACAACAUAAAAACUUCAGCUCUAGAGCUGAAUUCGCCAGUUACAACACAAAAACUUCAGCUCUAGAGCUGAACUUCAUGCCCGGCUACUAGAAUGCUGAAGUUUUGCGUGAUUGCCUUUGCUACUUCAGCCCCAUUUGCUGAAGUUAUGCGAAAAAGCGGGUACGCUUGCAAUAUUUUUUGCAAAGCGGGAACAAGUUAAAAUAUAACACAAAAGCGGGUAUAGAUGCAAAUGCCCCAGCAGCCUGGGCACAUCCUGCUAAGCCUUAAAUAAACUAUCAGCUGGGUUCACUAUUAGAGAUCAAAUUCAAUUUAAGGGAACUCUACUAAUUUGGGCUUGCAGAGUAACCAGGACCAAUGCACAAUUUUAAUUCAGAAACAGAUUCUCAUAAGACUAUCACUAUAAAGCUAUAGAAUCAAAUAUGCAUGUAUUUAACUACAACAGGUUUAAAAUAGUACAACAGGAUCAACUAUUAAAUUAACUUAUCAAUACAAAAGAGGUAAAUAAAUUAAAUCAAUGCAAGUCAUUACCUAACUACAACCCAACGAGUUCCAUUCCUUUUAUAAAUAAGGAAGCAGAACUGUACAUUAUUGCUCCUAACCACCUUCUUCAAACAUUAUCCAGAAAGAGAAAAAAAUGAUUUAGGCUAGUGACUUUUUUAAUUCCCUUGUUGAUCUUGAUUUACAAUGAGAUAGCCACUAGGAUACUCUUAUAAAUUACUUGACCACCAGCAGUAGCUAAACAUAUAAAUGCAAACAAGAUUAGUCUAACUGUUGAGUAAUUCCAGAGUUUACUCAAAGAACAAUUCCAUUUUAAAAACCGAAAAUAUAAACACAAACUGAUUCACAAAUCAUCCCCUACAAACACCAUUUCAAGCAUGAACCACAUAUUCAAGGAAAUAAGUCAUUAUACAGGGAACAAUCAAUCAAACAUGGAGAUGUUUUGAGCAUGAAAGAACCUUUAAACUAGAUCAAUGGGCUAUAUAUGAUAUUAGACUUGAAUCAUGACUAAACUACAAGAUAACAUGUAAUUGAAAUUAUUUACGAGCAACAGCAGGAUCAACAAAGUAAAACUCCUCAUUUCAGGUUGUGUAAACGUAAAAACAUCACACCAACACCUCUGAACCUCUUAAGCUCAUAUUGACACAUAAAUUAAUAAUGAGUUUGAACCAAACCAGUCAACAUAGCCUACAUAUUCAGCUUCAAAUUAAUUAGCAGAAUCGUAUAGCCAUCAAGAGAAACAUAGAUGAAUCAGAUCUAAGCACACCAACAUCAGAAACACAUAGAAAUAGAUGUAGAUAGGGCAUCAAUAUAUUAAUUCUGUAUUUCCACAUUCACCAAAGUUACAAGAAGGAAUAUCACAUACCUACUUGUGAAAGACAGUCAACAAAAGCCAAAUAAAGGCUGAAAACUGAAGAAUAAGCUCAGCAAACUCAGACAAAACAUAAGCAAGCUAACAAAAGAUCAAUAAUGAAAUCCCACAAUGAAACUUGACCUCAAUUCCAAAUCAGCUUCAGAAAAUCAAGGUUGAUCUAGAAAAGAAACCAAACUUAUGACACCUUUUUUUUCAACCAAUAUAUGAAAGAAACUGAAACUUGUAAAAGAAAAUUUCUAAGAUAAAAUUCUGCCUCCAAAGCAAUCUAAAGGUGAAAGAAAAGAAGCUGAAUUUCAGACAGAGGUUUUUCACGUGGAUAAUAUGUGUGUAGAUCUGUCUGUUUGAGUGAUAUAUGACCCUUUAUAUAGAAUAUAAGAGUGUGCUUUUGUGAGGAAAAAUCAUAGGGGUGUGAGGGAAUCUUUUGGGAAUUCUGUUAGCUCUUUUGUACCAGAAAAUGGACAGAUAUCUCAACAGCUAUCUAUACAGAUUUUUCUCAUGUAUUUUAGGUCCAUUUACUUCUGAACUUACUCAUUUCUUACCCCAAUCUGACGUAGUUUUUAGUUAUUUUAUUACACUUUAGUCUUUUUUCUAGAAACUUCCUAGACAAUUCCAAACUUAGACUCCUUGAUUUUUGUUUCCAAUUAACCCCCACAAAGUUUCCGUUAUUACCCUUUCACUCUCCCAGAUUCCAAUCAGCAUUCAAUCAUCAGAAAUUAAACAAUUAAGGGCUAAACAAAGAUUAAAAACAACAAAAACAACUUAUUAAAUAAACCUAGUUAAACCAACUAAAUUGAUUAAUAUUGAUUUAAUUAACCUAAAGCAAAUGACUAAACUAGUGCAAUGAACUAAUUAGUCCAACUUUCACUGAAUUUAAUCAAAUCACUAAACUAAUCUAAGCAUAAAUUAACACCUAAAUUCAAAACAUAAAGAAAAAGAAAAACCGCAAAAGAAGAAAACGAAAAGAAAAAUAGAAACAGAGGAAUAGGGAAAAUGAGAUACAGAUUUUUGCCGAGAUGAAGGAGCGAUUGAGACGAAUCGAUAAAUAAUGAUGGCGACGAGGCUUUGGUCGGUGAGUGGUAAGUUGGCUGGAAUCCAGCGACCUUGAAAUGAUCUAAAAUUGGUAUCAAUCGAUUAUUCUUGUGGAAGAACAGUUGAUCAUUACGAAUUUUAGGCCAAACGAGCCAGAAACUCAAAGAAAACAGAAAGGGAGGUGGACUAGGGUUUUUAUUUAUUUUUUGGAAUCUCAUAUUUUAAAUUGAAGAAAAUGGUUAGGGAUUUUGGAGGAAUUUAUGGUAGUAUAGUGAUGAGCGGAGGCUGGAGAUUGUGUGGUUAAAUUUCGGGGUGGUUUGGGGUGUCGCCGCCAUCGUAGGCGAUUUCCAGCGGCGAUUCCGGGCGGAGGUGAGAGAGAGGGUGAUAUAGGUUAGAUACGGAGAGCGAGGGGUUCUUUGGGGGAUAGGGGAGUCGGUUAGGACAUAUAUACGGCAUUGGGAAAUCAGUUCCCAGCCGUUAGAUAUUAAUUGAUCAACGACUGAGAUUAGGAGUACAGAAACGGGGUCAUUUGGUUAGUUGGGGAGACGGGCUAGGAGUGGGGAUUAGGCUGGGAAAAUGGCUAAGGAUUUGGGCAAGUGGAUUUAAGACUUUGGGCCAUUAUUUUUUGGCCCAUUCCGAACAAGACUAAAAAAACUUUUUUUUUUCUUUAUACAUUUUUUAACCUUAAAUCUUAAUUAAUUAAAACCUAAAUUAAGUCCUAAAUUAAUCUAAUUUGUAAAAAUUAAAAUUAUCUAUCUAUUUCUACAACUAACUUACUUACAACUAAAAAAAUACUAAUUUUAAAGACUAAAAGCUAAAUAUGUAAAAAUGGUCAUUUUUGUGAUUAUCUUAAUAAUACAAUUAACUUAAUGUAAUUAAUUCCUAAAUGCAAAUAAAUAUAAAAUGUUAUACAAUGAAUAUUUUAGACUUUUUUGGUAUUUUUUAUAAUUUUAAAAUAUUAAACAUGCUACUAAAAUGCAAACAACAAUUAGCAAGAAAUUUCUAAAACUAAUAUAAAAUGUUAUACAAUGAAUAUUUUAGACUUUUUUGGUAUUUUUUAUAAUUUUAAAAUAUUAAACAUGCUACUAAAAUGCAAACAACAAUUAGCAAGAAAUUUCUAAAACUAAUAUAAAAUUAAAAUAAUUAAAAACAAAUUUAUUUUUUUGUGAAUUUGUAGGAGUAUUUUUUCGUCAAGCAAAAAUCACGUGCUCACAAAUGCCCCUCUUUGCUCGGAAAUACGAAGGGUUUUUGGGCAAAGAUAAAGUGAGCAAUUACGAGCGAUUUUUACCCGUUUGAAUACUCCAUGGGAAGCAUUUUGAUAAAGUUUGACCGAACCUUGCUAGAGGUUGCCUACAUAUCCUUGGCUAUAAAGGAAUCAUGUCAGUGUAGUUCUGGAACUUUUGAUAGCUGGGACUACCGAAAAACUAUGAUUUUACUGUUGUUGCUGCUGUUACUGCUUGCUAAGCUCCUUAUUACAUCAAAAUAAAAAUGAAAAACUAAACUAACUAAGCCUAUCAACUACGAGUUACAAGAUUCCUAUCUAUACAUCUUCUGAAGCUUGAUCUUGAGUCUUGGCUGGUUCUUCAAACAGACUCUGAUCUGAAUGUUGAUUCAUGAUUAGUUGCAAGUGCUAGUGUCAUGACUCUAAACCCGAACCUGGUCGUGAUGGCGCCUUUCGUGAAGACAAGGCCAGCCAAUUAAACCCAAUUCACUUUUUAAACAGUUAAAAGCAAUCUAAAACAUGAUAUAGCAAUACUAAGUAGCGGAUAAUGUCAAUAAAGUAUGGAUGUACAACCCAACAUAGCCCUAACCGGGGUGUCACAAGUCAUAAGCGUCUAUAGGCUAUAAUACAAGUCUGCCAAAUCCAUAAACUAGCACAAAUGUUUGAAGUGAAAUGAUAAAAGAGUAGAGACACGGGGCUGCAGAUCGGAUGUCAACAGCUACCUCGUAGUCUCUGAACGCUCGCCUGAAACUGGAGGAAUCAGCACUCAGGAGCAAAACCAGCUACGCCUGAAUCUGCACACAGGGGUGGAGGGAGUAAAGUAGUACUCCAACUCAGUGAGUAACAAAUGUAAAUAACGACUGAAAGUAAGAAAACACGUAAGGCACAAGGCAUUCUAUAAUGAAGCAGUAAAACCAUUUAAACGUAGAAAAACAGUGGAAAGUCAAGUAAUCCUCCUUCAGCAAGUAAACAAGUAAUUGACAGGUAAUUAAGGUAAAGUAAACAAAUAGAAGUUCGCCCCUCGGGCACAGUAUCAACAAAUCCGCCCCUUGGGCAAUAUCUCAGAACAAUACCAGCCCCCCGGGCUCAAUCUCACAUUACAAUGGGUACCUGCACUCAAUGGGGGUGUGCAGACUCCUGGAGGGGCCCAUUACGGCCCAAUCGCAAUAACAAGCCAUCUCGUGACAUCAAAACUAGGUCAUCAUCCUCAUAUCAAUCAAGCCACAUCGUGGCAUAUAUAUCUCAGGCCCUCGGCCUCAAAUCAGUAUCAAUGUUUCCUCACAACAAGGCCCUCGGCCUUACUCAGUCAAAAAUACUCACAAGCCCCUCGGGUAAUAGUAAAUAGUGUCUCGCAGCCCAAACAUUAUUUAAAAUAUCAUUUAAGUCUUAAAAUUGAGUAUACAUGAGUGAGUAUGAAAAUAAUGAAAAAAUAACAGGACUGAGUUCAAGUGUAAAGUCAAAACAAUGAGGAAAUAUCAAUAAAAAUUCCCGAAGGGUUCAAAUAGUUGGCACUAGGCCCAAAUAUGGCAUUCAACCCAACUAAUGAUGAUAGAAAAUAAUUUUCAAUCAAAUACGCGGUAAAAUCAUCAAUCAGGACGGACCAAGUCACAAUCCCCAAUAGUGCGCGACCCCACGCUCGUCAUCGAGCGUGUCCCUCACCUCAAUAUAGCACUACGAUGUGAAAUCCAGGGUUUCAAACCCUCAGAACAUCAUUCACAAUCAUUACUCACCUCGAACCGGCUAAAUCUCUAGCUCGUAACGCCUUUGCCCCUUGAAUCGGCCUCCACACGCGUCGAAUCUAUCCAAAAUCAGAACGAAUACGUCAACAUAUGCUAAGGGAACAAAGUCCAAGCGAAAACAAUCAACAAAGGGCACAAAUACCGAAAUUACCAAAACCCGGCCUCUGGGCCCACAUCUCGAAAUUAAAAAAAUUUCAUAUCAACGGAUUCCUUAUCUUCCCACGAGUUCAUACAUACCAAGAACAUCAAAUUCCAUCCACAAAAGACCCUUCAAAUCCCAAAUGUUUGGUCUCCAAUUUCAAGCCCUCGUUCUUCAAUUUUAGGCUUAAAUUCUAUGAUUUUCUAUGUGAAAUUCACAUAGUAAUCAAGUUUUAAGCCCAAAAAUCUUACCUCCCAACGAUUCCCCUUGAAUCCCUCUUCAAUCUCCUUCAAAAAUCUCCCAAAAUGACAAAAUAUGGAGGAAAUAAACUCAAUCUUCGCAGACAAGACGAGUUUAAAAACAUUUCUGCCCAGGCAUAUUUUCCUCUUCGCGAAUGCGGUCAAACCCUAUGUGAAAGCAACGUGGCCAUUGAGAACGCGAUGGUUCCUCAAUCCUUCCCUUCGCGAACGCACCCCUCUCUCGCGAACAUGAAGAACAAUCGCAACCUCAAAUCAGCUGAUCAAAAAGACCCUAAGCGAACGCGACCUACAUCUCGCGAACGCGAUGCACGAGUUUCCAGCCCUUCGCGAAUGCGGAGCCUCCCUCACGAACGCGAAGGCUAAACUUCCACUGACCCCCACUGACUCUUCGCGAAUGCGAGGGUCCACUCGCGAACGCGAAGAGUAAAAGCCUGAUACAGCUGAACCUGCAACUUCUGCAAUUUCCUAACUCCAAAAAUGAUCCAUUAGACCACCCGAAACUCACCCGAGGCCCCCGGGACCUCAACCAAAGGCAGCACCAACAUAUGCUAAAACCUUAUUCAAACUUGUUCCAAUCAUCAAAAUACCUCAAACAACAUCUAAUCACCCAAAACACAUCGGAUUCAAGCCAAAGUUUCUAAAAUCUUCCGAAUUACGCUUUUGAUGAAAAACCCAACCAAACCACGUACGAAUGACCAGAAAUUUUGCACACACAUCCCAAAUGACACAACAGAACUACUGCAACUCUCGGUAUUCCAUUCCGACCCAUAGAUCAAAAUCUCGCCUACCAACCAGAAAUCGCCAAAAUAUCAACUUCACCAAUUCAAGCCUAAAUCUACUACGAACCUCCAAAACUCAUUCUGAUUAUGCUCCUAAGUCUAAAAUCACCUCCCGAAGCUAACCAAACUAUCAAAACUCACAUCCGAGCCUUCUAACACAUAAGUCAACAUCCGGUUGACUUUUCCAACGUAAGCUUUCUUAAAAGGGACUAAGUGUCUCAAACCUUACUAAAAUCAUUCUGAAUUCGAUCCGACCAAUCCGAUAACAUAAAACACGGAUAACGAAGCAUAAAGAAGUCAAAAUGGGGGAAACGGAGCGGUAACUCAUGAGAUGACUGGUCGGGUCGUCACAUCCUCCCCAACUUAAACAAACGUUCGUCCCCGAACAAAUCAAGAAACAUACCUGAAGCCUCAAACAGGUGAGGAUAUCUAAUCUGUAUCUCCCGCUCGGUAUCCCAGGUAGCCUCCUCCAUGGGCCGAUCUCUCCACUACACUUUCACUGAAUCUAUAUCCUUUGACCUCAACUUUCGAACCUGCCGACCCAAAAUAACUACUGGCUCCACAUCAUAAAUCAAAUCAUCAUCCAACUGAACCAUGCUGAAAUCCAGAACAUGAGAAGGAUCCCCAAUAUACUUUCGGAGCAUAGAAACAUGAAAUACCGGAUGCACACUCGACAAGGUGGGCGGCAAAGCAAGCUCACAAUCCACUUCCCCAAUCCUCCGAAGCACCUCAAAAGGCCCAAUGAACCGAGGACUCAAUUUCCCUUUCUUCCCAAAUCUCAUAACACCCUUCAUGGGCGAAACCUUCAACAGAACCUUCUCGCCAACCAUGUAGGACAUAACUCAAAACCUUCCUAUCAGCAUAACUCUUUUUCCUCGAUUGCUCUAUACGAAGCCUCUCCUGAAUCACUUUCACCUUCUCCAAAACAUCCUUCACCAAGUCUAUUCCCAAUAGCCUAGCCUUACCGGGCUCGAACCAACCAACUGGAGAUCUACACCGCCUCCUAUACAAAGCCUCAUAUGAAGCCAUAUGAAUACUAGACUGGUAGCUGUAGUUAUAAGAAAACUCUGCAAGCGGUAGAAACUGAUCUCAUGACCCUCCAAAAUCAAUGACACAAGCACGCAACAUGUCCUCCAAUAUCUGAAUAGUACGCUCGGACUGCCCGUCCGUGUAAGGAUGAAAAGUUGUGCUCAACUCCACCUGAGUACCUAACUCUCACUACAUAGACCUCUAAAACUGUGAUGUAAACUGAGUGCCCCUAUCUGAGAUGAUGGAAACUGGGAUACCAUGCAAAUGAACAAUCUCCCAGAUAUAGAUCUCUACCAUCCUCUCUAAGUAUUAGAUAGUACACAUAGGAAUAAAGUGUGCGGACUUGGUCAGCCAAUCCAUAACCACCCAAAUAGCAUCAAACUUCUUCAAAGUCUGUGGAAGUCCAACAACAAAGUCCAUAGUGAUCCUCUAUCACUUCCACUAUGGAAUAUAUAUCCGUUGAAGCAAACCACCUGGUCUUUGAUGCUCAUAUUUCACUUGCUGACAAUUGAGACACCGAGCUACAAAUCCCACAAUAUCUUUCUUCAUUCUUUUCCACCAAUAGUGCUGCCCCAAAUUUUGAUACAUCUUCACGGCACCCGAAUAAAUGGAAUACCGCGAGCUAUGGGCCUCCUCUAGAAUCAACUCUCGAAUCCCAUCCACAUUGGGCACACAAAUCCGGCCCUACAUCCUCAACACCCCAUCAUCUCCAAUGGUCACAUCUCUAGCAUCAUCAUACUGAACUCUUUCCUUAAGGACAAGCAAAUGCGGAUCAUCAUAUGGGCGCUCUCUGAUGCGCUCAUAUUAGGAAGACCGAGAAACCACACAAGCCACUACCCGACUGGGCUCCAAAAUAUCCAACCUCAAAAACCGAUUGGCCAACGCCUGAACAUCAACCGCAAGAGGUCUCUCCCCAACUGGAAUAUAUGUCAAACUCCCCAUACUCACUGCCUUUCAGCUUAAAGCAUCGGCUACCACAUUGGCCUUUCUCGGAUGGUACAAUAUAGUGAUAUCAUAAUCCUUAAGCAACUCCAAUCAUCUCCGCUGCCUCAAAUUAAGAUUCUUUUGCUUGAACAAGUGCUAAAGACUGCGAUGAUCAGUGAACACCUCACAAGAUACGCCAUACAAGUAAUGCCUCCAAAUCUUCAAUGAAUGAACUAUUACAGCCAACUCCAAAUCAUGAACGGGGUAGUUCUUCUCAUGGGGCUUCAACUGCCGAAAAGCAUAAGCAAUAACUCUACCCUCUUGCAUCAAUACACAACCAAUCCCAACUUGAAGCAUCAUAAUACACGGUAUAUGAAUCUGAAGCUGAUAGCAAGACUAACACUAGAGUUGUGGUCAAAGCUGUAUUGAACUUCUAAAAGCUCUCCUCACACUCCGACCUACAGAUGAAGCACCCUUCUAAGUCAACUUGGUCAAGGGCGACGCAAUAUAUGAGAAUCCCUGAACAAACCGGCGAUAAUAACCCGCCAAACCAAGAAAGCUAUAAAUCUCUGUGGCUGAGGACGGUCUAGGCCAACUCUAAACCGCCUCGAUAUUCUUUGGGUCAACCUGAAUACCCUCUCUGGAAACCACGUGCCCCAAGAAAGCCACUAAACUAAGCUAAAACUCACACUUGGAGAAUUUUGCAUAAAGCUUCUCCUCCCUCAAUAUCUGCAACACAACCCUCAAAUUCUCCGCGUGCUCCUCCAGACUACGCGAAUACACCAUAAUAUCAUCAAUGAAGACUAUGACAAACGAAUCGAGAUAAGGCUGGAACACGUUGUUCAUCAAAUGCAUGAAUGCUGCUGGGGCAUUGGUCAGCCCAAAAGAGAUCACCAAGAACACAUAAUGACCAUAUCGGGACCUGAAAGUCGUCUUAAGAAUAUCCGUGUCCCUGAUCUUCAAUUGGUGAUAACUUGAGCGGAGAUCAAUCUUGGAGAACACCCUAGCUCCCUGAAACUGGUCAAAUAAAUCAUCAAUGCGAGGCAAAGGAUACUUGUUCUUAAUUGUUACCUUGUUCAAUUGCCUAUAAUCAAUGCACAUCCUCAUUGUGCGAUCCUUCUACUUCACAAAUAGAAUCGGUGCACCCCAAGGUGACACACUAGGCCGAAUGAACCCCUUAUCUAGGGGUUCCUGAAGCUGUUCCUUCAAUUCUUUCAACUCCGCUGCUGCCAUACGAUAUGUCGGAAUAGAAAUGGGUUGAGUGCCCAGGACCAGGUCAAAACUAAAAUCAAUAUCCCUGUCCGGUGGCAUGCCCGACAGGUCUAUAGGAAACACAUCAGGAAAAUCCCUCACAACUAGAACAGAAUCAAUACCGGAAGCCUCAGCUCUGACAUCCCUCACAAACGCUAGAUAUGAAAGACAACUCUUCCCAACCAUACACUGUACUUUCAAGAAUGAGAUCACUCUACUGGGAACAAAAUCAGUCAUACCUCGCCACUUAAUCCGUGGCACACCCGGCAUAGCCAAUGUGACCGCCUUAGCAUGACAGUCCAGGAUAGCAUGACACGGAGAUAAUGAAUCCAUGCUCAAAAUGACAUCGAAAUCCACCAUGCCCAAUAAUAAUAUAUCCACUUGGGUCUCCAGACCCCCAAUAGUUACCACACAUGACCGGUACACACGGUCUACAACAACAGUAUCACCCACCGGGGUAGAUACGUGAACAGGUAAAGUAAGAAACUCACAGGACGUACCCAAAUAACGAGCAAAGUAUGAUAACACAUAAGAAAAGGUGGAACCAGGAUCAAAUAAAAUAGAGGCAUCUCUGUGGUAGACUGAAACAAUACCUGUAAUGACAGCAACUGAAGCAAGAGCAUCAGGUCUGCUUGGGAGUGCAUAGAAACGGGCCUGAUCACCCCCUAACCGACCUCCCCCUCUAGGGCGACCCCUAGCUAACUAACCCCCACCCCUAGCUGGCUGAGCAGGUGGUGGUAAAGAAACUGGCAUUGAAGCCGAUGACUGACCCCCCUGCUGGGACGAACUAGAAACACGACGAGUACAUUGCCUCCACAUGUGGCCCAUCUCACCACACUCAUAACAACUCCCAGGUGCUAGAGAAGGGUAAUGAAGGGAGCCCCUCACACAGGAGUGACUAGCAGAUGCACUCGGCAUAGAAGAGCCCUAAACUGAUAGAGCACGUGAUAAACUCUGAGCAAGGGCACUAAAUGAUGACUGGCCCUACUGAGAACCAUGAUAACCAUAACCCGAAGAUGCCCCAUGAUAAUCUGGGUGAGCUGACUGAGCAGGCCUGAAUGAAUGGCCUCUACUGUGCUGAAACUGGCUCCUCGAAGGAGCACCCCUAUAGUUGCCAGAUCCUUGAGGCCUCUUGGCCUCCCUCUCCUCUCGCUCCUGGAGACAAACAGACUCAAUCUCACGGGCAAUAUCCACAACCUCCUCGAAAGUAGUACCAGUCACCCUCUCCCUGGUCAUAAGAAUACGAAGUUGAUAAGUAAGACCAUCAACAAACAUCCUAAUCCUUGCUCUAUCUGUCGGGACUAACCAUAUGGCAUUACAAGAAAACUCAGAGAACCUCAACUCAUACUGCGACACGGUCAUCUCCCCCUGACGCAACCACUCAAACUGCCUGUGCAGCUCCUUUCUACGAGACUGCGGCACAUACUUCUCCAAAAAGAGAACGGAGAACUGCUGCCAGGUAAGGGGUGUUGCACCAACCGGCCUACGCCUCUCGAAAUUCUCCACCAAGUGAAAGCAGCUUCCGAAAACUGAUAAGUAGUGAAAGCGACCUCGCUGGUCUCCAGAAUACCUUCUGUACAAAGCACCCUCUAACACUUGUCCAAAAAACUCUGGGCAUCCUCGCCCUCUACAUCACUGAAGGUCGGAGGCUAAAAUCUACCAAUCCUCUCCAACCUAUGCUGCUUAUCCUCUGGCAUGACAGGAACUACAUAGUCUUGAGCAGCUGCAACCGGCUGGGCUAGAUGUGCCCCCAACGUCUGGAGUCCCUGCACAACCUACUCAGGUGUGCGAGCGGCGGGAGUCUGAUUGCCUCCCCGGCCUAAGAAGUAGCUGCGGCUGCAGUGGCUGAAACCGCCUGAGCUAGGCCAGUGCAAACUGAUAAGAUCUGUGCUAAUACCUCCUGAAGACCCGAAAUCAUGAUUGGCACAGCUGGUGCCUGAGCUGGUGCUGUAGGAGCAUCCAUAACUGGGACCUGAUCCUGAACUGGGGAAGCUGGUGGGUCUACAGGUGCUGCCCUCACUGCUCUACCUCUACCAUGACCACGACCGCAUCCUCGGCCUCUGGUGGCCACAGCUGGUGGUAUUGGGGGUCGUCUACCCCGACCAGUAGCGUGUGUCCUCAUCAUCUAUGAGAGAAUAGAUUAACUGAAGUUUAGUACUAGGAUAAAUAAGUUCGCACGACAAGAAUUUCAAGAAUAUGAAGUUUUUCCUAAAGGAUCUGUAGCCUCUCGAGUAUAAAUACAGAUGUCUCUGUACUGAUCCGUGAGACUCUACUAAACCUGCUCAUGACUCAUGAGACCUAUGUAACCUAGGCUCUGAUACCAACUUGUCACGACCCUAAACCCUAACCCGGUCGUGAUGGCGCCUCUCGUGAAGACAAGGCCAGCCAAUUAAACCCAAUUCACUUUUUAAAUAGUUAAAUAACAUAAAAGCAGUCUAAAACAUGAUAUAGUAAUACUAAGUAGUGGAUAAUGUCAAUAAAGUGCGAAAGUACAACCCAACACAGCUCUAACCGGGGUGUCACAAGUCAUGAGCAUCUAUAGGCCAUAAUACAAGUCUGCCAAAUCCAUAAACUAGAACACAUGUUUGAAGGGAAAUAGAAAUGAUAAGAGAGUAGAGACGCCGGGCUGCGGACGUCAACAACUACCUCGUAGUCUCUGAACGCUCACUUGAAACUGGAGGAAUCAUCACUCCGGAGUGGAACCAGCUACGCCUGAAUCUGUACGCAGGGGUGUAGGGAGUAAAAUGACAACUCCAACUCAGUGAGUAACAAAUGUAAAUAACGACUGAAAGUAAGAAAACACGUAAGGCAUAAGAAAUUCUAUAAUGAAGCAGUAAAACCAUUUAAAUGCAGAAAAAUAGUGGAAAGUCAAGUAAAUACUCCUUCAACAAGUAAACAAGUAAUUGACAGGUAAUUAAGCUAAAGUAAACAAAUAGAAGUUCGCCCCUCGGGCACAGUAUCAAAAAAUUCGCCCCUCGGGCAAUAUAUCAGAACAAUACCAGCCUCUCGGGAUCAAUCUCACAUCACAAUGGGUACCCGUGCUCACUGGGGGUGUGUAGACUCCUGGAGGGGCCCCUUAUGGCCAAGAGCAAUAAAAAUCCAUCUCAUGGCAUCAAAACUAGGCCCUCGGCCUCAUAUCAAUCAAGCCACCUUGUGGCGUAUAUAUCUUAGGCCCUCGACCUCAAAUCAGUAUUAGUGUUUCCUCACAACUAGGCCCUUAGCCUUACUCAGUCAAAAAUACUCACAAGCCUCUCGGGCAAUAGUAAAUAGUGUUUCUCAGCCCAAACAUCAUUUAAAAUAUGAAAAUAAUGAAAAAUAAUAGGACUGAGUUCAAGUAUAAAGUCAAAACGGUGAGGAAAUAUCAAUAAAAAUCCCCGAAGGGUUCAAAUAGUUGGCACUAUGCCCAAAUACGCGGUAAAAUCAUCAAUCAUGAUGGACCAAGUCACAAUCCCCAAUAGUGCAUGACCCCACGCUCGUCAUCGAGCAUGUGAUUCACCUCAAUAUAGCACUACGAUGUGCAAUCCAGGGUUUCAAACCCUCAGAACAUCAUUUACAAUCAUUACUCACCUCGAACCGGCUAAAUCUCUAGCUCGCGACGCCUUUGCCCCUUGAAUUGACGUCCAGGCGCAUCGAAUCUAUCCAAAAUCAGAACGAGUACAUCAACAUAUGCUAAGGGAACAAAGCCCAAGCGAAAAUAAUCAACAAAGGGCACAAUUCCUGAAAUUACCAAAAAUCGGCCCCUGGGCCUGUGAGCACGUGAUUUUUGCCCUAUAUGAAAUGCUCCUAUAAAAUCCAAGAAAAUAGAUUUUUUUUCUUAUUAUUUUCCAUUUUAUAGGAAUUGUUUGUAGUUUAUUAUUAAUUGUUUGCAUUUCUGCGCAUGUUUAAUUUUAUUUAAAUCAUGAAAAAAUAGCAAAGAAUAUCACGCACUGCAUUUAGGAUUUAAUUUUACAUUUUUUUAGAUUAAUUAGUAAAUUAGUUUGUUUUAUAUAAUAUGAAAAUCACAAAAUAGUUCUUUUCUUGGAAUUUAGGAUUUAAUUAAUUAUUGUAAAUACUAUGAUGAGUGAUUAAUCNNNNNNNNNNNNNNNNNNNNNNNNNCCACCUCAAACCACCCCAAAUUAACACCGUAAAACCCUCAUGGCUUCCUCUCCCCAAAUCCUCACUCCGUUUCCCUCGAAUCUUGCCAGAACUUCUCGAAUCUUAAAUCGAAGGUGGAAUAUUAAAAUCCCAAAAAUGUCCAAAUCCAAAUGUCGUUGAAGAUUUAGGCCUAUUUUGACUUUAUUCGUGUGUUCUUGAUAAGAACACACGAUUAAUAUUGAAUUCGACCGAAAAUUGGAAGAUUUUGAAGACUCGGUGUCCGUUUCUUACUGGUCCGAGAUUUUCUUUUAGGUAUUUUUCUUUUCUUUACCUUUUGAUAUUUAAUUUUUUUUUUCUCUUCUCAUCUUCUUCUACUCUUUAUUUUAUUUUUUUAUUUUUAUUUUUUAUCUUUUCAUCUCUUCAAAUCAUCCGUAUUUGCUUGUUAGUUUUAGAACUUGUUUAAUUAGUAUUGUUUUCUGUUUUUUUAAGUUUCUUUGGGCCCAAAAUUGCACAAGUAUUUAAGGCUCUGUAAACGGACUGGUAAAGGUCUCUAAGCUUUCAAUUUCGUAUUGGGGCUUCAAUAAAACCAAAAUCCCAAGAGGGGAUUCGACCUGAAUUUACAGACCCAUAACAUUUGAAUUGGUCAAUUUGACUCAUGUGUUGUCUGGUCUCUUAAGGUAAAAACAGGGUUCAUAAUGGGUGAUUUAGGAAUUUAAGCUAAAGGGAUAAUCUGUAACUAACUGAGGAAGCUUCCUAGAAGCUGGGAUGGGGACUUAACUGAAAAUCUGAUUUUUACACUAAGGAUACUUAAGCAAGAAUAAAAAUUCAAAAAGGGUUCAAGUGCAAAACUGAACCCAUUCUAUGCUGCCCUAAGGCUUGCCUAUAAAGGCAUUGUAACUUCAUUCUCAAGUCAGAUUUUGAAGAAUGACAACACUAAAAAAAAGCUUUUCAAAAGGGUUGAGCUAAAAGAAUUUCAAAAAUCCUGGCAUUUUUGGUAGAAAUUGAUCCAAUUCGGCGAUUAGUCUUUCAAUCCUGAAGCCUUCAAAGGAUUUCUAGCUUGUUCUGAAUUCAAAGAUGGUGUAAAGGCUGUUGUGCACUGUUCCAUUGCUUUUGAAGUAUUGUUGCUAUUGACUGAACUCCUCACCUUGCUGAUCUUUAAGCAUAACUUCUUCUUCUUUUCUUUGCUGUAACCAGGUACUCAAUGUACCCCAUUGACAUGUUGAAAUGAAAGACUUCGAAGUUGUUUGAUUGAGCUUGAAAAUCAGUGACACAUUUGUUACAUAGAUGUUAUUUUUGCAAAUAUUUGCUCCUGUAAUUAAUUAAGUUUUCUUCAUAUGCUUGUUUGCUCUUUUCUGUUCGUAUAAAUGGUUUGUCCUUCAGUUUGUUUUGCUUGAAUGAACAGAGAUCCUAUUAUUAUGCAUGAGAUAUGGGUUCAGCGCAGUCAUGAAGUCUAGUAGAAUUAAAUUUGUUUAGAUCUAUGUUAGUUUGUUGGGAAUUAGAGUUUGUUUGUGGUGAUUUUGUCUUGAGUCUGCUGGAGUGAUGUGCAUAAGUGUGAGAUAAGAAUUCUUCAGUUGCAAUUUAUCUUAGUGAGCGUACUCUGCCAUUUGGAAAUCAUGUAGUAUUUUACUUUAUAAAAUUAUUAAUGGUUUUAAAGUUAGUAAUCAGUUUACAGUCAUUUGGAUAAGGAAAUUGUCUAGGUGAUUACUUUAAGGGUCGAGCUAUAUACAAAAUUACUCUUGGUGUGAUUGUAAUCAUGUUUAAGUAGAGUUUAAUAUUAAAUUCAGAUUUGUUUAUUUGGCAAUCCCAUAAAGUUUUUAUCUACUGUUGUAUGUGUGGAAAAGGGCUUAAUUAAAGUUGGAAUCUCAUAUAAAUGUCCAUUGAGUUAGCUGGAACUGAUUUAAUUCGGAUGGCAUGUAUAGUUAUGCAUCGUUGACAGCUAGUUGGGUUCAUGUUGAUACCCUUUAAUUUUUAGAUACUGUAUGCAUGCCUUGGGGACUCGAUCUCGAUUCCUUCAUUCCCUAACUCUUUAAUUCUGGGAAGAUUCAGGCCAUUCUUUGGGUCCUGGACUUUGAGGACUCCUGAAAUGUGAAUCAUGGGCCUCAUCAUGUUUGGGCCUGCCUUCUUUAAAUUCCUUUUUAAUUGUUGUAGAUCGCACGAGCCAUUUGUUAAACAAACAGAUUUGCUUCAUCUUUAAUGCAACGGUUUUUUGUUUAUGUUAGUAUGAACUUCAGUUUAAAAAAAAGGGUAAAACAUCCCAACUCGUUUAGUGUUUAAUUACUUAGAUUUAGUUAAUUAGUGAGGUGCUCCAUAAUAAAUAACACCAAUAGUCUAUGGCCCUCAUAAUUUUAAAAAUAAGAAUUUUAGACAAUUAGAUUUGAGGCGUGCUAUAUUAAGUAAGAUAAAGUUUAUGGCCCUCAAAAGCUUAGUUUGAGUUUCCUUUAAAAAUCGGAAUUGGGGUGUGCCAUGCCAAAUAAAAUCUCAAAACCCAUGGCCCUCACUUAAUUAUUUAAUUCUUUAGAAAUCGAGGUGUGCUAUUUAGUUGAAUUUUCCAUGGCCCUCACAAAGUUAACAACACGUAGUUGCUUUAGGCACAUCAUUUUAAUAAUAUUACCUUCUUAAAUUCGGGUGCACAUUUCAUGUGACCCAAAUCCAAAAUCUUAAUAACGUUGAAUAAAAUGUGUUUCAGAUUGUGGGUGCAUUUCAUGUGGCGCGGUCCAAAGACAUGUUUUAGAUGACGUUAAAUCUUAUUUAAAAUUAAUUAAAAGUGGCUAAUAAAUCUUAAAUAUACCAUAGGCUAAAACAUGUAUUAAAAUCAGAUAAUAGGCUAAUUAUAAUAGUUUAAGUGACCGUGAUAGAACCACGGAAUCCGGGGGUUCCUAACACCUUCCCUCGAGUUAACAGAAUUCCUUACUUAGAAUUUCUGGUUCGCAGGCUUCAAAAGGAAAGUCAAAAUUCCUCGAUUUGGGAUUUUAAAAUAAACCGGUGACUUGGGUCACUAGAAAACAAAUCAUCCCAAGUGGAGACUCUGAAUAAAAAUGAAUAAACAAUCUCAUGUCGAAUAAUGUCACUUUAAUUGGAAAAACUCCCUAUAUAUACCCUCGGGUGUGUAAAAAAGGAGAUGUGACAGCUCUGGCGACUCCGCUGGGGAUCGAACCCAGAAUAUCUGGUUCAAGUUUCAAAAAUUCGAGCUUAGAAUAGCUGUUAUGAUUGGCUUUAUCUAUUAUCUGAUUUUCCUACAUGUUUGAGCCUAACGUGCUAAAUGCUUUUACCGCUUUGAUAUUUUGUGAACUGUAUAAAACUACUACAAAACCAUUUUUUCUCUCUGAGUCUUCUAAAUCAUGGAGAAGGGUGCACUUCAUGUGGCUUCUCUUUUGUCUAGAGUCUUUUCCCAUUUUAGAACGAGGUUCGGAUAAGUUGCUAAGUCGGUGAAGCUUUUGUAUUUCCGGUACGCUGCCCCCCUCCCCCCCCCCCGGCUCGAGUUGUCCGCUCGGGUAAGCCUGGUCUAGAACAAUAAACCCGGGUUUUAAACCUAGUAUAACAAAGCCUCAUGCCGGAUCCCUAGUAGGAACGUUUGUUUGCAUCACGUGCAUUUGACCUUGGAGACUCAACACAGAGGUUGGGUCUGUCUAGGACAAGUGUACCCGAAAUGAAAAGACCAUCCUGAUGCAUCUUACGGGAUACUUGUGCAUUUAUUUGCUUCGGAUUUGCAUGUUGACCAGCUUAUGAAUAAUAGGAGAAAAUUUGGAAAAACGAAACUCAAUGUGAGGGCUCAGAGAUAUAAUUACUUCUUUUGAGAAAUCAGUGUCCAAAAUAUACUGAAACUCUGCCAAAAUUUUGAAGGAAAAAAAAGAAAAAGAAAAAUAAAGUUUUGUCUUUAGAAUUAGUUGGUUUAUUUUCGUCCAAUCUCCCCGAACUAUGCCAGUUUGAUUCUCACCGGAUGUGGGAUACGUAGGCAACCCUCAUCGGGUCCAACUUCUCUUUUUGCAAAAAUAGCCCAAAAACAACAAAAUUUAAUUUUUUGUCACAAUAAGCAGGGUGAUGCCGUUCUUGCUUAAAAUAAGCCGAAUGUCCUCAAAAAGGGCGCCGAAAGGCUGUUUUUGCAAGGAUAGCCCCUUCUAGUCAUUUUUGUACGGUUAGCAGGCACAACCUUAAAAUCUUCUACCCCGAAGGUUGAAAGGCCGUAUCUAGAAAAUUGGGUUUCAUUUUCAAAGUAAAAUUUUAAAAAAAAAAAUGGUAUCACUUUUGGGUCAAAAUAAAUGACUAAAAUACCUUAAUAAAUGUGUAGGAUAAGCACAAAUGAAAUUGAACCCUUCACAGUCCUUAAAGAGAUCCCCUUACAGCUCCACAUGUGGUGGAAUGAUCUAGGAAAAGGCAGUAGAGAAACAAUGGUAAGAGUUCUGGGAGGCCUCGUCGGACUAUUGAACACCAAGCCAAGGUUGGACAUAAUUAAAGCUUUAAUACCUUUUUGGGACCCGACUCGCAAUGUGUUCCGCUUCUCUGACUUUGAGCUCCCACCUACAUUGGAGGAAGUUGCAGGUUAUGUGGGCCUUAAUGGAAACUUUAGAAGUCGAUAUCCAUUAGCACCAAGACUGGUAUCCCCCUACAGAUUUUUGGAUUUGUUGAGUAUUAGUCGGGAUAUUCGGGACGGAAACUUAUCUGAAGGGUAUUGCACGCUCCAGUUCUUGUAUCAUCGAUAUGGUAACCCCCGGGGUUUUGAAGAGCUGAACACUGGUCUAACCCAUGCCGAAAAUAAAGACAAAUGGGUGGCAAGGCGGGGUUUAGUGUUUAUGGUAGCCUUCUUGGGUGUUGUAGUUUGUCCGCGAAAAGAUGGUAAUAUAGAGAUAGGUCUUGUGGGAAUGAUCGAUGUGGCGAUCAAGAAACCAACAGCACUAUGAUUCCUUUGAUCUUAUCUAAAAUUUACCGAGCCUUGACUAUCUGUCGGGAAGGGGGAAAGUUCUUCCAAGGCUGCAAUCUGCUACUAUAGUUAUGUGUGCAAGAACAUCUCUACCACCGGGUUGGGUAUAUGAAUUACGGUUUGACCGGUUUGAGCUGCAUUGAAGAGUUUGAAAUCGGAGUGGCAAGUAUUGAAUUCCCCAAUGGUACUGAAGCUUGGCUUGCACAUUUGAGAUCCUUGAUUGACGAUAAAAUUGAGUGGGCAUUCGGAUGGCUUCCUACCACCGAAGCAGUGAACAUGUCAGCUGAAGUGUGUUACCUCCUCCUGAUGGGCAUCCGGAGCAUGCAGACUUAUGCUCCACAUAGGGUUUUGCGCCAAUUAGGAAGGUUUCAAACCGUCCACAAUGAUGAAUAUUUUAGUAAACAUGUCAUUGAAUUGGGCCCGAAGCCACAUUUCCAGAAGGGAAAAUUCGCCAAGUAUGGAAUGAAUGUAGAUUUCUUGAACCUAAGACCAUGGUGCGAGAUCUAGCCAGAGGUAAAGUGGACCCUAAGUAUAUUGUCUGGUUCGGCAAAAGAUUCCAGAUUCCUGAAAGGCCCACAAAGAGACCUCAUGUCCAAUAGUUCACCGAUGGGGCCCUGGUGUAGUGGGACUGGUUGACCAAAGAAAACGAGUACUGGUCCAAAAUAAGCCAGUUGGAAAGGAGAGUCAUGGAGCUUCAGUUUGAAAAUGGUGUUCAAGCUGCUGCAAACGAGGGAGAAAAGAAAAAACUAACUCAGGAAAAUGAGGCCCUCAAAGCUCAGAUCCGGAAUAUGAAAAUAGCUGCCAGAAACCUGUAAAGAAGCCAGGCUGAUGAAAGACUUAUAAGCAGUCUUAAAAAGAAAGCCCUCGAAUGUCAAGAAGACCUGGAAAAGUCUGAAGCUAGUCUAGCAAAAAUCCGGGCACAAUGGACAAAGAAGGCAAAAGAGCGGGCACGGUUUGUGUAACAAAUGAAGAGGAACUAUGAAGGGACUAUCACUAGCCUAAGAAGAAAGGUAACCACUCUCGAGAACGAGGGAGCCAAGCAGGCUAAAGAUUUCAAAGUCGAUAGAGAAUACUGUUAUGAUUUGAUUGCUCGAAUGGAGGAAGGAAUGCAGCAGUUGCAAGAUCAACACCUUCAUGACUCUCAAGUGUUAGAAGCCCGGAAUCAGCAGAUAGGGCGGUUGCUUCAGGAAAAAGGUAGAAUUAGAGAAAGGAUCAAAACCAUCGUUGAAUAAAUUACCAUGAAAUGCCAAGCAUGCGAAGACAUGACUCAUACCACCUUUUUGCUGUAGUAAUGACUUUUGUCCGCCAAGUUAUGAGUGAUUUGGAGCGACUGCAAGGGGAUCUCGCAUUUAGGCCUGCGGCAAGACCGAAUGAUGUCACGCGGGCACCAGGAGUAUUAAUGUAUUCUUGAUUUUUACUUGAGUCUGUAUCUUUCUUUUCUGAUGGAGUCUGUUAGUUUAUUUUCGAUUCUGUUAGUCAGUUCUUGAGUCUGUAUGGUCAUUUUGUUGUUGGAGUCUGUUUUUUUCUUUUUUGUUUUGAAUCGUUGUAAUCCAGAGUAUUUCCCUUUUAUGAGAAAAAUUGAAUAUCCCAAAAUAUUUUGUUAUUUAGUUUUACAUUUUAACGCUCCCAGAACUACGCUUGGUCGGAUUCAUACGGGGUCAUGAUACGUAGGAAAUCUACAUAUGAUUCGAUCAUAACCCAAGAAAAAAAAAAGAAGAGAAAGAAUAACCAAAAGAAGAAAAAUGUUGAUAAAAGCAAAAGAGAGAUGAAAAGAGAGAGGGUGGAAUUUGAAAGGGAAAGGAAAAAAUAAAAAAAUAAAAAAAGUAGUAAGUAAAGCUGAGAUGAAACAUGCAACCGUUGCAAAACAUGUAGAAACACAUUUAACUGUAUAGGUGCAGCACACCCCAACAUGUGAUUACGUAUCUGUUAUUUGUUUCAAACUAACUGUAAGCUGUUGUACCUAGUCCAGGUUUUUAUAGAACGGUGGUUGGUUUUUGUGGUAACCAAGCUUCGCACCCAUACUUUACUAGAUCAAAGGGGAGAAUCAGAAUGUCUUCAGAAAUGACUCUACCAACAAUUCCCAUCACGGAUGAUAGCCCAAUCUCGGGCAUCCCUACCUCAGAAUCGGCAGUCGCCGAAGAAAACAGAAUCUUGUGUCUUCGGGUUAUGGAGAUAUGGGACACUUGGGCAAAUUGAAAAGAAUUAACAAGCACCAUCCCGGGAUUCGCCAAACUCUUUCCUAGAGCAAGCGGUACCUCUACCAUACCGAUCAUUCACCCAAAUACCCCACUAGGACACCCAACUAUUUCAGCUCAUUUUGUGGGAACACCAUCUGAGGUUCGCCCCCAGGUGUCAAUGUCCGGUGUAGCUUCGAAUAUCUUUACCGCCCCCCCCCCCCAUGCUCGGCAAUGGCACAACCUACACUACCUAGGCCCAGUUUUGACUCCUUAGCUUUCACCUUCCAAACACCCACCUUCCAAAUGGAACCUCCUCAGUUUCCCACUUAUACUUACUCUCAGCCGCCCCAAUUUGAGUUCACUGUGGGACAAGAAAAGACCGCCAAAGCUUCUAAGAAAGAAGAGAUUGUGAGGAAGAUGAGAAGUAUGGAAUAGAGUCUCAAAAGCCUACAAGGCCUGAGUGGACAGAAAAGUGUAUCCUAUGCCGACUUGUGCAUGUUUCCCCAUGUGCACCUACCAUUGGGAUUCAAAACCCCAAAAUUUGAGAAGUUCGACGGGCACGGUGAUCCUAUUGCUUAUCUCAAGAAAUAUUACAAUCAAUUGCGAGGGGCCGGUGGAAAGGAAGAACUGCUCAUGGCCUAUUUCGGAGAAAGUCUGGUUGGCAUCGCUUCUGAGUGGUAUAUGGACUAUAAUAUAUCCUGCUGGCACAUCUGGGAUGAUCUUGCUAGAGACUUCGUCAUGAAGUUCUAGUACAACAUUGAUAUUGCUCCAGAUAGGAACUCGUUGACUAACUAGAAAAAGAAAACCUCGGAAAGCUUCUGGGAGUACGCAGUUAAAUGGCGAGAGCAGGCAUCUAGGGUAAAACCUCCGAUGGAUGAAGUCUAAAUGGUCACAGUUUUAUUACAAGCUCAGGAAGCUGACUACUUCCAAAAUAUGAUGUCCGCCAUGGGUCAACCAUUCGCUGAAGCCAUCAAGAUUGGCGAAAUGAUUGAAAACAGGUUGAAAACGGGUCGAAUUCUAAGCCAAUCCGCUAUCAGAGCUACUUCCCAAGCCAUUCAGGGUGGGUCGGGAGGAAUAGCAAAAGGCAAGAAAAAGGAAGAAACAUCCAUGGCAGCGUCGGGUACAAGAAAACACUGUACUCCAAGAAAGGACCCCGCAAUACUAUUAACCCCACCAAGACAAGGCCUAUGCUCCUCAUCCAUACACGGUCAUGAAUGCUCAACCUUAUGCCCAUCCACAGUAACAAAUCAACCAUAACCAAGCUCCAUUUCCUAGAAACCAGCCUCCUAACCAAAACCACUACAACCCCCAUCCUCCAUAAAACAAUUUUACCCCUCAUGAGCCACCUAGAAGGCCAAAUUUCACACCAAUUGGCGAAUCCUACUCCAGUCUAUUUCCAAAGCUUGUCCAUAUGGGUCUACUACAGCCGGUUCCUCAAACAAGGCAAAACCCAACAUCACCCGCUUAUAGAGCCGGUACCCGAUGCGCCUAUCACUUAGGGGCAGAAGGACAUGACACAGACGACUAUUGGACUUUGAAGAGAGCCGUGGAAAACUUGAUAGAAAAAAAGAAGAUAGUGCUAAGGGAUGAAGAUAUUCCCAAUGUGACUAACAACCCGCUGCCGGCCCACAACAAUGAGCUGGUAAUCGGAAUGAUUUGUGAGGACACGGAAUUUGACCCGGCAUUGAAGGCCAUCAUUUCCAUUGCUGACGUAGAAAAAGAACCAAAAGUUGCCCCGAAGAAAGACAAAGGGGAGAAAAAGAACAAAACCACCCGUCCAAAAUCAGAAAAGAAAGUUGAAGCAGGGAUUGGGGCAACACAUCCCAAAGAUGUUGUUCUCUAUGUACCUCGGGGCGCAAAGAAAAACAAAUGAUUUUGAGUCCUCCUAGGAGAUUCAGGCUGAACAAGGCAGCCCAAAUAUAUGUGCCCAAAGGAGCCUAUGUGAUGCGAGGGGCAAUUAAUCCACCAAGGUUGAGUGAGCCCGUGAUUAUUGGACACGCGCCACAGAGGCCCAUGACAGAUCCUACCACUGUGCCUUAGAACUACAAAAAAAUGGUGGUGACCUAUAAGGGCAAAGUAAUCUCAGGAGAAGUUCAGUAAAAUAACCCCGUUGAAAAGUAUUCUAACUUAUAAAAGGUGAACAAUGCCACUCGAAAGUGCUUCCCAUAUAAAAAUCCCGUGAGUGCCGAAGAAGCGGAGACUUUCUUUCAAAAGAUGAAAAUGGCGGAUUAUGAGGUGAUCGACCAGCUUCGAAAAUUUCCCGAACAAGUCUCCUUGUUGGAUUUGCUGAUGAACUCUACCGAACAUCAGAAGGUAUUGAUUAAAACCCUUAACGAAGCAUAUGUUCCUGUUGAGACUUCUGUAGAACAAUUGGAGAGGAUGGCAGAAAGGUUUUUCGCAAUUAACUAGAUUUCCUUCAGCAAAAAUGACUUGCCCCCAGAAGGGGCCGCACAUAACAAAGCCCUGCACCUGACAGUCAAAUGCGAAGUGCACUAUGUGAAAAGGGUUAUGUUGGACGGAGGCUCUGGCGUGGACAUAUGCCCACUCUCAACUCUACAACGCAUGGAAAUCGGGACCGAAAGAAUUCGACCCAACAAUGUCUGUGUAUGGGCUUUUGAUGGUAUAAAAAGACACAUAAUUGGAGAGAUUGAUCUGAUUCUGACUAUCGGCCCAGUAGACUUUGAAGUAACCUUCCAGGUUCUGGACAUGGACACAUCCUACAAUUUUCUCUUGGGAAGGCCAUGGAUUCAUGCAACAGGGGUUGUACCCUCUACCCUCCAUCAUAUGGUAAAAUUUGAGCAUGAAGAUCAAGAGAUUGUGGUCCACGGGGAAGACAAGCAAUCAAAUUAUCGGGACCCAUUAGUCCUAUGCUUUGAAGCAAGAGAGAGGAGUGAGCACAUAGUUUACCAAGCCUUUGAAAUUGUGGUCUCAAACCAGUGCGAAGAGGGAAACCCUUGCCCUCAACCCUUUCUUUCUAAUGCAUCAAUCAUGGUGGCCAAAGAAAUGAUCAGACAUGGCUUCAAGCCGGGGAAGGGCCUCGGGAAAUUAUUGCAAGGAAUAACAAAACAUGUCACCCUGACCACUAGUGAAAAGUUCUUUGGGAUAGGCUUCCGACCCACUCCAGUUGAUGUAAAAUGGGCAAAUGAUAGAAAGAAUGAUGGUUGGGUCUUGCCUUAGCCGGUGCCGCAUCUGUACACAACAUUUGUCAAGCCAAAAUACCAUGAGGAAGAAGAAUAUGAGGUCUUCACGGCCGAAGAGAUUGAAGAGAUCUGUGGGGCGAUGAGGAUGAUACUGUAUGAAGCCCACAUGGUUCAUCCAGGGGAAGGCUCAAGCACCGCUGAGGUGCUGUAUAUGGGACCUAAUGCCAAGCUGCAGAAUUGGAAGGCUACGCCAUUCCCGAUCAGGCGGGAGUCCAGGUAGACCUAUCCUACCACUUUUUCUGCAUCACGAGUUAUUUCAGGGUGUAACUCGGAUAUUUUCCUUUAAGUUUCUUGUCGUUUAAUUUUUUAAUGUAAACCUUGUUGUCUUCAAAUUCCAAGAAAUGAAAUCAAUAUUUCAUCGUUCAUCUUUCUUUAUACUUUCUGAUUUUGUUAUUUUUCUCUUUUAUUUCCUCUUUCAGUUCUAAUAUUGCGGCUUUAAAUAAUAUGACAUGCUUGCGGACUUCACGCCCAGAUCCAAACAUGCUGCCUAAUUGUGAAACAAUGAACCAAGAACCAGAAUACGAUGAACAGGAGGCUUUUAGGGAAAUAAAUCGAGAAUUGGAACAAUUGGAGAAUAAACCUAAGCCGAACUUAAAUGAUACUGAACUGGUUAAUUUGGGUAGUUCUGAGAAGUCAGGGAAACCAAGAUAAGCAUUUUCACAGGCGAAAAAACUCAAGACGCAUUAAUCCAACUCCUAUUUGAGUUCAAAGAUGUGUUUGCUUGGACAUACGAUGACAUGCCAGGACUGACUGUUGAUUUGGUAGGUCAUAACUUGCCUACUUACCUAGACUGUCCCCCAGUCCAGCAAAAUCAAAGAAAAUUUAAAACUGAUAUCAGUGACAAGAUCAAAGAAGAGGUCACGAAGUAGUUGAAAGCGGGGGUGAUCCGAGUGGUCCGGUACACCACAUGGUUAGCUAAUGUAGUCCUAGUGCCAAAGAAAGAUGGGAAGACCCGAGUAUGUGUGGAUUACAGAGAUUUAAACAAGGCAAGUCCCAAAGAUAACUUCCCUUUGCCGUAACAUCCACAUCCUUGUUGAUAACUGCACCAAGCAUGAGAUACAGUCCUUCGUGGAUUGUUACGCAGGAUAUCACUAGGUGUUGAUGGAUGAAGAAGAUGCAGAGAAGACAACUUUUACCACACCUUGGGGUACAUACUAUUACAGAGUCAUGCCAUUUGGUCUCAAGAACGCCGGGGCAACCUAUAUGAGGGCCAUGACUGCCAUUUUUCAUGAUAUGAUGCACCAAGAGAUAGAGGUGUAUAUGGACGAUGUAAUCAUCAAAUUCAAAACCUAGGACGACCACGUUCGGGACUUGAGAAAGUUUUUUGAGUGGCUGCGCAAAUAUGAUUUGAAGCUGAACCUAGCCAAAUGUGCAUUUGGGGUACCAUCCGGUAAACUCUUGGGAGUCAUUGUCAGUCAUAUGAGCAUCGAGUUAGACCCAACAAAGAUAAAAUCUAUUUGAGAUUUGCCUCCUCCGAAAACCAAGAAGGAUGUUAUGAGUCUGUUGGGUAGAUUGAACUACAUCAGCCAGUUCAUUGCCCAAUUGACAUCCACAUGUGAACCCAUAUUCAAAUUACUAAAGAAAGACGCAGCAAUCAAGUGGACAGAUGAAUGUCAAGGAGCUUUUGAUAAAAUCAAGGAAUAUCUGUUGAAUUCGCCCGUCUUGGUCCCACCUGAGCCAGGGAGGCCCUUGUUAUUGUACUUGGCAGUCUUGGAAAAUUCUUUCGGCUACAUCCUCGGGCAACACGAUGUGACCGGAAAGAGAGAGCAGGCUAUUUACUAUCUGAGCAAGAUAUUCACCAGUUAUGAAGCCAAAUACACUUUGUUGGAAAGGACCUGCUGCGCUUUGACAUGGGUCGCUCAGAAGCUGAGGCAUUAUUUGUAGGCCUACACCACUUACCUCAUUACCAGGUCGGAUCCUUUAAAAUACAUAUUCAAGAAUCCAAUGCCCACUGGGAGACUAGCAAAGUGGCAGAUCCUGCUUACGGAAUUCGACAUAGUAUAUGUCACUUGCACGGCAAUGAAAGCCCAGGCAUUAGCAGAUCAUUUGGCUGAAAAUCCGGUCGAUGAUGAAUACCAACCUUUGAAUACAUACUUCCUGGAUGUAGAGGUAAACUCAGUUGAGGCAAUAUCCAAAGACAUCAAUGCUUGGAAAAUGUUCUUCGAUGGAGCGGUAAACGCAAAAGGUGUCGGAAUUUGGGGCAAUUUUGAUCUCGCCCACUGGUCAGCAUUACCCGGCCACCGUUAGGCUUCGAUUUUUUUGCACAAACAACAUUGCCGAGUACGAAGCUUGCAUUAUGGGCAUGAACAUGGCAAUUGACCAAGAUGUUGAAGAACUGUUAAUCAUGGGAGACUCAGAUUUGAUUAUCUGACAAGCUCAAGGAGAUUGGGAAACCCGAGAUGUCAAGCUUAUUCCUUAUAGGCAACAUGUGGAAGAACUUGGCAAAUGAUUCAAGUCAAUAGAGUUCAGGUACAUUCCUCGCUGCCACAAUGAACUAGCUGAUGCACUUGCCACUUUAGCCUCAAUGCUGCCGUACCCAGGCAAUGCCUACAUUGAUCCAUUGGAAAUCCAAAUUCGGAAAAGGCAUGGUUAUUGUGAUACGGCUGAAACAGCACCAAAUACCCAACCAUGGUAUCAUGACAUCAAAAGGUUUUUGAAAACGCAAGAAUAUCCCGAGCAAGCUAGUGGAGACCAGAAGAUAACCAUUCGGCAUGCGAGUAGUUUCUUUUUGAGUGGUGAUGUCUUGUACAAGAGAACUCCGGACCUCAACUUGUUGAGAUGUGUUGACGCAGAAGAGGCUGGAAGAAUCAUGCAUGAGGUACACGUAGGAGUAUGUGAACCCCACAUGAAUGGGCAUGUCUUAGCAAAGAAAAUCCUUCGAGAGGGCUAUUACUGGAUGACCAUGGAAAAGGNNNNNNNNNNNNNNNNNNNNNNNNNNNNNNAAAUCGAGCCGAAAGCCUCAAAUGGGCACAAAUUCUUACUAGUUUCCAUUGACUACUUCACGAAAUGGGUUGAAGCCAUUACUCUUAAAUCCGUCACUAAGAAAGCUGUGGUUGAUUUCAUGCACUCCAAUCUUAUCUGCCGUUUUUGUAUUCCUGCAACUAUUAUCACAAACAAUGCUGCAAACUUGAAUAGUCAUUUGAUGGGAGAGUUAUGCAAACAAUUCAGGAUAACGCCCGUAACUCUACUCCUUAUCGGCCCAAAGCCAAUGGUAUCGUCGAAGCAGCAAACAAAAACAUCAAAAAGAUUUUGAGAAAGAUGAUUCAAAGUUCCAGACAGUGUCAUGAAAAGUUACCGUUUGCAUUGUUGGGAUAUCGCACUACUGUGCGCACAUCAAUUGGAGCCACCCCGUAUCUUUUGGUUUAUGGCACUGAAGCCGUAAUACCCGAAGAGGUUGAAAUCCCCUCUCUAUGGAUCAUCGUUGAAGCUGAAAUUGAAGACAGUGAGUGGGUUAAAACCUGGCUGGAACAGUUAACCUUGAUCGAUGAAAAGCGAAUGGCCGCGGUCUGCCACAGGAAGUUGUACCAACAAAGAAUGGCCCGUGCCUACAACAAGAAAGUGCAGCCUAGAAAUUUUGAAGUAGGGAAACUCGUUUUAAGGCGCAUCCUUCCCCAUCACCAGGAAGCGAAAGGAAAAUUUGCUCCUAAUUGGAAGGGCCCAUACAUCAUCAGAAAUAUAUUGCCAAAAUGGGCAUUGUAUCUGGGCGAUAUCGAAGGGAAUUAUCCUGAAGCAACUGUAAAUGCGGAUGCAAUCAAAAGGUAUUAUGUUUAGCUUUUCUACAGUGACAACUUUGUCCGAUUGGGAUGACGAAGGUUUUCAUUCUCGCUACCCAAACACUCCCCACCCUUUGCAAACCCAUUUGAGUCGGUUACUCUUCUUUGAUUACCAUCUUGGGAACCGUAAAGUGUUAAAAAAAGCAAGCAAAAAGAAAAAGGAAAAACAACAAAACAAAUGUUUCCCUAAACUACAUUCGACUUGAUUCCAAAAGGAUACAUAGGCAGCCUCUCCCUGGGGUUUAGUCACACCAAAACAAAAAUCUAAUUUUCCCCAAAAGUGAAACUGGGGCAGAUGUUAUAAUGGUUCGGAAAUGAGCCUACCUGAACUGUCCCAAAGUUGUAAUUUCAUCUAGAUUAUUUUUACCCAAACCUUGUUCAAGUCCUUCUGAUCAAUCAGUAAAGGCGUCGGAAUUAGAAAACACAACUGUUUGGAUUCGAUGCAAUCAAACGAGAGAAAUAAAAUGAGAGAGUCUUAUUGGUGAAAACCCACACGGGCACCAUGAGGCGAUGGUAAGCAGAGAAAUGAAAAAUGAGAGAGUCUUGUUAGUGAAAACUCGUAAAGCGCACUAUAAGGCGAUGGUGAGAAGAGAAAUAAGAGAGGUCGAUUGGCAAAACCCGUAAAGGGUGUCAUUGAUCGAAAAGAAGAAAUCCCUCACCACCAUUGGUAUUGAAAGAGUCCUGGCAAGGUUUAUCGGUUUAAAAACAUGGGUCGCAAUGGGUAUGUGAGAAGUUGGAUAUUUGUGCGGAUUAGGCAUCUAGUCUAAGAAGCAUGUCAUGUCUAUUGAAGUUUGCAUGCACCCCAGAUAAGUCCGUCCUUCCUCCCCGAAAGGGACACUUCUUUCUAAAUUCAUUUUUUGCCUUUUUCUUACUUUUCCUUGAAUCCCUUUUGGUCUAACUCUGUUUAGGAAACUAAUACAAAGAAAAGGUGGCAAGAUUGGCUUUACAGGGUCCUGCCUAACAGAAGCUAAAGAAAAGUACCCAGCCUCAGCGGGUGCAUCAAGUCGAUCCCGACUGGCCGUGAUGGCUGAUGCUUUGAAAUCAAAUUUAUUGAAAAGGAAAAGAAAGACAAAGGUAAAAUCCUAAAGGUGGAAUAAAGUGAAAGGGUCGAAGCCCCACGUGGGUAAGCCAUCAUGAAAUCUUAAAAGCUAAGUCCCCCGGUUUGGAAGAUAGAUCAAUCUUAAAAAAACCACUAAGCAGCAGAGGUUCUCAACAAAGGUUCGGGCCGAGAUCGAGUGAUUGAGACAAUCAAGGCCACAAAACCAACCACCGUUUCCAACUAACAAUUGUUCUUUGUUUAAAAUUGAAACAGGUGCAACCCAAGGCAACCGUGCAAAAGCAGGUGCAGCCAAAAGAAAAGUUGCGCAAAAGCUAGAAACAGCUUCGCAGAAACAAUCAAUCCAAAAGGAAAGUUUUCCUCCAAAAUUCUUUCCUACAUUUUAUUGAAAUAAAAUAAAUGAAAGAGAAAAUGAAAAAAAGAGAAGGAAAUAAGAAAAUCUGAACAAAAUGAUAGUUCAGAAUCCCUAAUCUCGACCUUUUACGCCAUUUGCCAACAUUAGGGCUCCAUUCCCUGAGUUGAGCCUUUUAAGACAUAAGGCCUCCAUUCCCUAGUCGUUUUUUGCUAAUAUUAGGGCUCCAAUCCUUGAGUUGAGCCUUUUUAUGCAUAGGGCCUCCAUUCCCUAGUCGCCUUUUGCCAACAUUAGGGCUCCAAUCACUGGGUUGAGCCUUUUAGACAUAGGGCCUCCAUUCCCUAGUCGCCUUUGCCAACAUUAGGGACCCAUCCCUAAGUUGAGCUUUUUAGACAUAGGGCCUCCAUUCCCUAGUCACCUUUUUGUCAACAUUAGGGCUCCAAUCCCUGAGUUGAGCUUUUUAGAUAUAGGUCCUCCGUUCCCUAGUCGCCUUUUGCCAACAUUACGGCUCCAAUCCCUGAGUUGAGCCUUUAGACAUAGGGUCUUCAUUCCCUAGUCGCCUUUUCGCCAACAUUAGGGCCCCAAUCCUUGAGUUUACAUUUUAGAUAUAGGGCUCCAUCCUCUGAAUAGUUUAGAUAUUGUUGCAAAUAAUUCAUGAAAUUUUCCUAGUAAAAACUAGGGCAGAAAAAUUUCGUUCGUUUGUUUUUUUUGGUGUCUGAGCAGGUUAUACCUCGAGACACAGAGUUUGAGAUGACCAAAACAAUGAGUCUCAAUUCAGAAUAAAGAAAGAAGAAAAAGAACAAAAAGGGGUGAAUUCAAAAGGCUGAAGCGGAGGAAGAUGCGGACUGCUCAAGAAAUAAUUGAAGUCACAAGCUUUGCCUGUGCCACCUUGAUCCAAUGCUGAAGAAAGAAUAAGCACCUACAACUUGCGAGCAUCAAGAUUCAGAUCGGGGUCCACAGCAAAAUCAGCUAAGACUCAAGAUCAAGUUUUAAGAGAUUUAUAGAUAGGAAUUUUGUAACUCUAGCUGAUAGGCCUAGCUAGAUUAGCUUUAGAUUUUCCUUUUCAGUGUAAUAAGGAGGUCAGCAAGUAGUAGCAGCAACAACAACAGUGAAAGCACAGCUUCUCAGUAGUCCCAGCUACCAAAACAUCCAUAACUACACUGGCCUGAUUCCUUUAUAGCCAAGGAUAUGUAGGCAACCUCCGAAGCAAGGUUCGGUCAGAUGUUUUCCAAAAAUGCUUCUCAUGGAGUUUCAAAUGGGCAAAAAUCCCUCGUAAUUGCUCAUUUUAUCUUUGCCCGAAAAACCUUGUCUCCGAGCAAAGAGGGGCAGCUAUGAGCACGUGAUUUUUGCCCUAUAUGAAAUGCUCCUAUAAAAUCCAAAAAAUAGAUUUUUUUCUAAUUAUUUUCCAUUUUAUAGGAAUUUUUUGUAGAUUUUUAUUAAUUGUUUGCAUUUAUGUGCAUGUUUAAUUUUAUAUAAAUCCUGAAAAAAUAGCAAAAAAUAUCACGCACUGCAUUUAGGAUUUAAUUUUACAUUUUUUAGAUUAAUUAGUAAAUUAGUUUGUUUUAUAGAAUAUGAAAAUCAGAAAAUUAGUUCAUUUUGCAUUUUAACUCUUUAAUUUUGAAUUUUAUAGUUUUUCUUUGAAUUUAGGAUUUAAUUAAUUAUUGUAAAUACUAUGAUGAGUNNNNNNNNNNNNNNNNNNNNNNNNNNNNNNNNNNNNNNNNNNNNNNNNNNNNNNNNNNNNNNNNNNNNNNNNNNNNNNNNNNNNNNNNNNNNNNNNNNNNNNNNNNNNNNNNNNNNNNNNNNNNNNNNNNNNNNNNNNNNNNNNNNNNNNNNNNNNNNNNNNNNNNNNNNNNNNNNNNNNNNNNNNNNNNNNNNNNNNNNNNNNNNNNNNNNNNNNNNNNNNNNNNNNNNNNNNNNNNNNNNNNNNNNNNNNNNNNNNNNNNNNNNNNNNNNNNNNNNNNNNNNNNNNNNNNNNNNNNNNNNNNNNNNNNNNNNNNNNNNNNNNNNNNNNNNNNNNNNNNNNNNNNNNNNNNNNNNNNNNNNNNNNNNNNNNNNNGAAAAGAAAUAAAAGAAAUCUGAUUUUUGGGCUGUUACAAUUGAAUUUCCCCCAGGUCCAAGUGUUAAACACUCAUUACCCAUCCAAAACCAGCCCAAACCCGCGUCACAACCCGGUCUGGUCACCCCUUCAUCCGAAACGACGUCAUUUGAUUACCCUUUGAUCACGGCUGUUGGAUCUCCUUAAUCCAACUGUCCGGAAAUGGGGAGUCAAUAAUAUAUAUAUGUCCAAACGUUACCUACCCCCAAGCCUCGUCUCCCCCAACCCCUUCUCUCAGAGACCCUCACCCAAAAACCCUAACGCUGCCCUGAGAUCCCACUGCCUCAGGCUGGCGGCGCCACCCUCAAACCACCCCAAAUUAACACCAUAAAACCCCCAUGGCUUCCUAUCCCCAAAUCCUCACUCCGUUUCCCUCGAAUCUUGCCAGAACUUCUCGAAUCUUAGAUCGAAAGUGGAACCCUAAAAUCACAAAAACACCCAAAUCGAAAUUUUGUUGAAGAUUUAGACUGGUCUCCGUUUCUUACUGGUCCAAGAUUUUCUUUUAGGUAUUUUUCUUUUCUUUACCUUUUGAUAUUUAAUUUUUAUUUUUUAUUCUCUUCUCAUCUUCUUCUACUCUUUCUUUUAUUUUUCUAAUUUUUAUUUUUUAUCUUUUCAUCUCUUCAAAUCAUCUGUAUUUGCAUGUUAGUUUUAGAACUUGUUUAAUUAGUAUUUGUUUACUAUUUUUUUAAGUGUCUUUGGGCCCAAAAUUGCACGAGUCUUAACAACUUUGUAAACGGACUGGUAAAGGUCUCUAAGCUUUCAAUUUUAAAAUAGGGCUUCGAUAAAACGAAAAGCCCAAGAGGGGAUUCGACCUGAAUUUACAGACCCAUAACAUUUGAAUUGGGUCAAUUUGACCCAUGUGCUGUAUGGUAUCUUAAGGUAAAAACAGGGCUCAUAAGGGGUGAUUUAGGAAUUUAAGCUAAAGGAAUAAUCUGUAACUAACUGAGGAAGCUUCCUAGAAGCUGGGAUGGGGACUUAACUGAAAAUCUGAUUUUUACACUAAGGAUACUUAAGCAAGAAUAAAAAUUCAAAAAGGGUUCAAGUGUAAAACUGAAGCCAUUCUAUGUUGCCCUAAGGCUUGCCUAUAAAGGCAUUGUAACUUCAUUCUCAAGUCAGAUUUUGAAUAAUGACAACACUAAAAAAAAGCUUUUCAAAAGGGCUGAGCUAAAAGAAUUUCAAAAAUUCUAGCAUUUUUGGUAGAAAUUGAUCCAGUUCUACGAUUAGUCUUUCAAUCCUGAAGCCUUCAAAGGAUUUAUAGCUUGUUCUGAAUUCAAAGAUGGUGUAAAGGCUGUUGUACACUGUUCCAUUGCUUUUGAAGCAUUGCUGCUGUUGACUGAACUCCUCACCUUGCUGGUCUUUAAGCAUAUUUUCUUCUUCUUUUCUUUGUUAUAACCAGGUACUCAUUGCACCUCAUUGACAUGUUGAAAUUAAAGGCUUCGAAGUUGUUUGAUUGAGCUUGAAAAUCAGUGAUACAUUUAUUACAUAGAUGUUAUUUUUGCAAAUAUUUGUUCCUGAAUUAAUUAAGUUUUCUUCAUAUGCUUGUUUGCUCUUUUCUCUUGUAGUUUUAGGUUCUGUUAGAAAUACUGAAUAAGUAUUUGCUUUCAAUCAUUUGGUUUUGGAUGAGUUAAUACUCUGUUCGUAUGAAUGGUUUGUGCUUCAGUUUGCUUUGCUUGAAUGAACGGAGAUCCUAUUCUUAUGCAUGAGAUAUGGGUUCAGUGCAGUUAUGAAGUCCAGUAGAAUUAAAUUUGUUUAGAUCUAUGUUAGUCUGUUGGGAAUCAAAGUUUGUUUGUGGUGAUUUUGGCUUCAGUCUGCUGGAGUGAUGUGCAUAAGUGUGGGAUAAGAAUUCUUCAGUUGCAAUUUAUCUUAGUGAGCGUAUUCUUCCAUUUGGAAAUCAUGUAGUAUAUUACUUUAUAAAAUUAUUAAUGGUUUUAAAGUUAGCAAUCAGUUUACAGUCAUUUGGAUAAGGAAAUUGUCUAGGUGAUUACUUUAAGGGUCGAGCUAUAUACAGAAUUACUCUUGGUGUGAUUGUAAGCAUGAUUAAGUAGAGUUUGAUAUUAAAUUCAAAUUUUUUUAUUUGACAAUCCCAUAAAGUUUUUAUCUACUGUUAUAUGUGUGGAAAAGGGGCUUAAUUAAAGUUGGAAUAUCAUAUAAAUGUCCAUUGAGUUAGCUGGAACUGAUUUAAAUCGGAUGACAUGUAUAGUUAUGCAUCGUUGACAGCUAGUUGGGUACAUGUUGAUACCCUUUAAUUUUCAGAUAUUGUAUGCAUGCCGUGGAGACUCGAUCUCGAGUCCUGCAUUCCCUAACUCUUUGAUUCUAGGAAGAUUCGGGCCAUUCUUUUGGGCCUGGACUUUGAGGACUCCUGAAAUGUGAAUCAUGGGCAUCAUCAUGUUUGGGCCUGCCUUCUUUAAAUUCCCUUUUAAUUGUUGUAGAUGGCAUGGGCCAUUUGUUAAACAAACAGAUUUGCUUUCUUCUUUAAUGCAACGGUUUUUUGUUUAUGUUAGUAUGAACGUUAGUUUAAAAAAAAGGGCAAAAAAUCCCAACUCUUUUAGUGUUCAAUUAAUUAGGUUCCGUUAAUUAGUGAAGUGCUCCAUAAUAAAUAAAACCAAUAGUCUAUGGCCCUCGCAAAGUUAACAACGCGUAGUUGCUUUAGGCACGUCAUUUUAAUAAUAUUACCUUCUUAAAUUCGGGUGCGCAUUUCAUGUGACCCAAAUCCAAAAUCUUAAUAAUGUUGAAUAAAAUGUGUUUCGGAUUGCGGGUGCAUUUCAUGUGGCACGGUCCAAAGACAUGUUUUAGACGACGUUAAAUCUUCUUUAAAAUUAAUUAAAAGUAGCUAAUAAAUCUUAAAUAUACCAUAGGCUAAAACAUAUAUUAAAAUCAGAUAAUAGGUCAAUUAUAAUAGUUUAACCGACCGUGCUAGAACCACAGAAUCCGGGGGUGCCUAACACCUUCCCCCGGGUUAACAGAAUUCCUUACUUAGAAUUUCUGGUUUGCAGACUUCAAAAGGUAAAUCGAAAUUCCUCGAUUUGGGAUUUUAAAAUAAACCGGUGACUUGGGAAACCAGAAAACAAACCAUCCCAAGUGGCAACUCUGAAUAAAAAUUAAUAAACAAUCCCAUAUCGAAUAAUGUCACUUUAAUUGGAAAACCUCCCUAUAUAUACCCUCGGGUGUGUAAAAAGGAGAUGUGGCAGGGCCCACAUCUCGAAAUCUGAAAAUAUUUAGGUCAACGAAUUCCUUAUCUCCCCACGAGUUCAUACAUAUCAAGAACAUCAAAUUCCAUCCACAAAUGACCCUUCAAAUCCCAAAUGUUUGGUCUCCAAUUUCAAGCCCUAGUUCUUCAAAUAUAGGCUUAGAUUCUAUGAUUUUCUAGGUGAAAUUCACAUAGUAAUCGAGUUUUAAGUCCAAAAAUCUUACUUCCCAACGAUUCCCCUUGAAUCCCUCUUCAAUCUCCUUCUAAAAUCUCUCAAAAUAACCAACUAUGAAGGAAAUAAACCCAAUCCUCGCGGACAAGACGAGUUUAAAAACAUUUCUACCCAGGCAUAUUUUCCUCUUCGCGAACACGGUCAAACUCUCGCGUUCGUGAAGCACAACUUUCUUUGACCAACUUUUCCUCCUAUGCGAACGCGACGUGGCCAUCGCGAACGCGAUGGUUCCUCAAUCCUUCCCUUUGCGAAUGCAUCCCUCUCUCGCGAACGCGAAGAACAAUUGCGACCUCAGACCAGCUAACCAAAAAUACCCUACACGAACGAGACUUAAAUCUCACGAAUGCAAUGCACGAGCUUCCAUCCCUUCGCGAACGCGGAGCCUCCCUCGCGAACGCAAAGAGUAAAAGCCUGAUACAGUUGAACCUGCAACUUCUUCAAUUUCCUAACUCCAAAAAUGAUCUGAUGGACUACCCGAAACUCACUUGAGGCCCCCGGGACCUCAACCAAAGGCACCAACAUAUCCUUAGACCUUAUUCAAACUUGUUCCAAUCAUCAAAAAACCGCAAACAACAUCAAAUCACCCAAAACACAUUGGAUUCAAGCCAAACUUUCUAAAAUCUUUCGAAUUACGCUUUUGAUCAAAAACCCAACCAAACCACGUCCGAAUGACCUGACAUUUUGCACACAUAUCCCAAAUGACACAACGGAACUACUGCAACUCUCGGGAUUCCUUUCCGACCCCUAGAUCAAAUCUCGCCUACCAACCGGAAAUCGCCAAAAUAUCAACUUCGCCAAUUCAAGCCUAAAUCUACUAUGAACCUCCAAAACUCAUUCCGUUUGUGCUCCUAAGUCCCAAAUCACCUUUUGAAGAUAACCGAACCAUCAAAACUCACAUCCGAGCCUUCUAACACAUAAGUUAACAUCCAGUUGACUUUUCCAACUUAAGCUCUCUUAAAAGAGACUAAGUAUCUCAAACCUUACCAAAACCAUUCCGAAUUUGAUCCGACCAACCCGAUACCAUAAAAUACGGAUAACGAAGCAUAAAGAAGCAGAAAUGGGAGAAACACAGCGGUAACUCAUGAGACGACUGGUCGGGUGAUCAUAGCUAGUUCAUUUUUCUUCUGCUUUUCGGAUCAAGGCGGGACAUGCAAAACUUGUGACUUCAAUCAUAUUUUGAGCAAUUCACAUCUUUUCUCCACUUCUGCACUUUGAGUUCACUUCUUUUUCUUUUCUUCUUUUCUUUUAUUUUGGGUUGAGACUUCUUCUUUCGGUCAUCUCGAACCUUGUGCCUCGCGAUAUAACCUGCUCAGGCACCAAAACAAACGAACAAAAUUUUCUGCCCUAGUUUGUACUAGAAAGGUUUCGUGAGUUAUUUGUAACCAAAACUAUACUAUUUCAUUAUUUGAAAGCAAUAAAAUCCCGGAUUGUGUAUCCUUAGGAAAAUGUAGAUUAGGGAGUGGAGACCUUGUGUCUAAAAUGAAAUCAACUAGGGAUUGAAGAUCAUAUGUUAGAAAAUUAUCAACUAGGGAGUGAAGACCCUAUGCUGGCAUCUACUAUGGAGUGGUGACACUUAUGUUGGCAUCAAGUUAUGUUGGCAUCAACUAGGGAGUAGAGACCCUAUGUUGGCAUCAAGUUAUGUUGGCAUCAACUAGGGAGUGUAGACCCUAUGUUGGUAUCAACUAGGGAGUGGUGACCCUUAUAUUGACAUCAAGUUAUGUUGGCAUCAACUAGGGAAUGGUGACCCUAAAUUGGCAUCAACUAGGGAGUGAUGGCCCUAUGUUGGCAUCAACUAGGGAGUGGAGACUCUAUGUUGGCAUCAACUUGGGAGUGGUGACCCUCGACUAUGGAGUGGAGACCCUUUGUCUAAAAUAAAAUCAACUAGGGAUUGGAGACCCUAUGUUGGAAAAAUCAUCAACUUGGGAGUGAUGACCCUUAUGUUGGCAUCAAGUUAUGUUGGCAUCAGGUUAUGCUGGCAUCAACUAGGGAGUGGAGACUCUAUGUUGGCAUCAAGUCAUGCUGGCAUCAACUAAGGAGCGGGUACCCUAUAUUGGCAUCAACUAGGGAGUGGUGGCCCUAUGUUUGCAUUAGGUUAUUAUCAUGACCCAAACCUGUGGGCCGCAACGAACACCCAGUACCUUACCCAACUGAGUACCAACAUAACAUAUCUUUAUUAUUGUACUUUCUUUGGCAUAUGUGUCAAACGGGCCGUCAUGGGCUAACCAGAAUAAACAUAAGGGAAUACUCAAUAUAGAACGACCCAACAAGACAUAAAAACUUAUAUAUGUGACAUACGUGCCUAUAAGGCCAACAUGAUCAUUUGUAAGCUCAAAACAUAGGUCCGCAAGGCCAUACAAGCAUUCGUAUAUAUGACAUCUGUCUACAAGCCUCUAAGAAUACAUACUUAUCACAAAGGUCAGGGCAGGACCCCGCCAUAACAAACAAUACACGUCUAAAUCAUACUGACUAAACAAGCAACUCUAGAGCAAAUGGAGCGCACCAACAUCUUCUGUUGAUCUGAUGGCCUACUUGGAGGACUCUCGACCUGUCUAUCAGAACCUGUGGGCAUGAAAUGCAGCCUCCUUAACAAAGGAUGUUAGUAUGAAUAAUGUACCGAGUAUGUAAGGCACAUAAAUAAGUAUAUAAAAGACAUGAAAGAAACAUGGAGUAAAUGACUCAACCUGUAAGCCUGGAUAACUCUGUAAAUCAUGAAACAAUUAUAGGGUCAUGCAUAUGCGUAUGAAUGUUAUGCCGUGCAUAGGUACAUAUUUCAUAACAUCAUCAGGUCUCUAAGGGCAUCCCAACAUAUCAUCUCGGCCAUUAUGGGCAAAAUCAUCAACGUAUACCAUUUGAUAAAGUGGUGGUGCGUAUAUAAUAUCGUAACCUUUUCCCAUAUCCCAUAUAUAUAUAAUAUACAUAUAUACGUGUAUAUAACACCAUCUGGUCAUGGGUCAAUGUACUUGUAUAAAGGAAUGCAAUGCAUGAGAAAGUGCGUCAAUAAAAUCUUUCGGAAUGUCAUAAGACCAUUAUGCCUCUGAUUAGUAUCAUGAAAUAAACCUUAUCAACAUACGUAUUUUCUAAGACCCAUGAACAAAUGAUAAAAUAAUAGGACAUAUGGGGAAUCAAGGACAGAAACAUUUCUAGCAUUUCUAUGAAUAGAGUCAUUUUAUGGAAGUUGUGCAUUUGCUCGUUUCGCUUGUAUCGUGCGGAUCAUGGUAAAAAGAAAGAAUGGAUAGCCUUAACAUACCUGAGCCGAUUCACUUGAAAAUCCCUCUUACAUACGUCAAUUGCGACAACACAUAACGGCAGAUCGAAGUAGGGUAAAAUUCGUAUGAUAUUCUUGAGAAAGAUUGCACCGUACUCCCUUAAAAUUUCAAAAUCCCGUUACUAUUAUGCUAAGAAGUCUCGUAUGAAUUUAGUUUUAAGAAAAUCACGUUACUACUAUUCAAAUGCUUGGAUGAAUUUGCUGAAGCAAUUUACAUUGCUUAUGAAGAUUAUACAUGUCUCCCUUGGUAACCUUUUUGAGAUAUCACGUUACUACCACUUAGGUAAUGACUAAGUCCCAAGAUUCUCCUAGUAUGCCCUCUUGAAAUGUGACAUAUCAGUCACUUAAUUGAUCUUUAUAUGGCUUCCACAUUAGGGGUCAAAUCUUAUCCAAUAAUUAUCCACUCAAUCCUUUAGUUAAUUUGUUAAUCCCCCAUUAAUCAAUAAUUACCUACUUACCCACAUAAUUAAGAAUUAUCUCAAAUUACUUAAAACACCACUCACUUAUAACAUACCUCAUAUACUCACUAUCAUAGUCAUGUGGUACCUUGUCUGGUACUAGUCCAUAAAUACGGGGUAUCUUAGCUCAGGCCGUAUUUUAUCCUAUAAUGUCAAACUUCGAUGAAAUUCAUUUUCUUUGAUUUGCUUACCUUCUGACCUUCACGAAUUUACUCAUUACUUGUUUGAAAUAGCAUAUAAUGCUUAUAAUCUUAAAAUAGUCUCACUCCUAAACUUACGUCAAUUAACUUACGACGAAGUUUUAACGUACGAAAAACAUGGGAUGUAACAUCUCAUUUUCGAGCUUUCAUCAAUUUAUUUCUGGCGUACUUCUACAUACGAAAAUAUGGGGUGCAACAGUUAUGCUGACAUUAACUAGGGAGUAGAGACCCUAUGUUGGCAUCAACUAAGGAGUGGUGACCUUAUGCUGGCAUUAGGUUAUGUCGGCAUCACCUAGGGAGUGAAGACCCUAUGUUGCAUCAACUAAGGAGUGGUGACCCUAUGUUGGCAUCAGGUUAUGCUGGCAUCAACUAGGGACUAGAGACCCUAUGUUGGAAAAAUGCAGCUAGGUAUUGGAGACCCUAUACUACCAUGAUUUGAACCUUUUCUUCUUUUUUUUUUAAAUCAUUUUCAUCAUCAUUUUUUUAUUUCAGAGAAUGAGUAAAUGCGAGAAAGAAUUUUGGAGGAAACUUCCCUUUUUGGGUUAUUGCUGCAAAGCUAUUUCUAGUCCUUGCGCAGUUUCUUUUUGGUUGCACCUGCUUCUUGCAAGGUUGCUUUUGGAUUGCACCUAUUUCUUGUUUUUUCAAACAAAGAACAAUUUGUCACUUUGAAACAGUGGUUGAUUUUGUGGCCUUGAGUGUUUUAGUAACUUGAUCUCGGCCUGAAUUCUUUGAUGAAGACCUCAACUGCCACUGCUUGUUCCCUGAGAACCGAUUUCAUUUCUGGCCCUAGAGAACUUGGCUUUAUCAGAACUUUACCGUGAUGGUUAAUCACAUGGAAUUAACCCUUUUCGAUUUUAUUUCGCCUUCGUAGGCAUUUGACUUUGAUUUACUUUCUUUUCAGGAGUUUUUGAUUUCAAAGUAUCGACCAUCAUGACUAGUCGGAGUCGACUUGAUGCACCUGCUGAGGCUGGGUGCCUUCCUGGAUAUUGGCUCGUAUAAGACAAAACCUUGUAAUUCAUUCUUGCCAUCCUUUCUUUGUCUUAUUUUCAGAACAAAAUUAGACCGAAAAGGAUUCAAAGAAAAGCAAACAAUGAAAUAGACAAAUGAACUUAGACGAGAGGUGUCCCUUUCGGGGAAAGGAAAGAAAGACUUAUCUGGAGUACAUUCCGACUUCAAUGAACAUGAAAUGCCUCUUGGACUGGAUGCCUUAUCUAUGUAAAACGUCCAACUCUCAGAAAUUCAUCCUCACUUAUGCUUUCAAACCAAGAAACCUUGCUAGGAUUCUGUUGAUGUCGAAUGGUCAUGAGGAUCCUCUUUUCGAUAUAUGGUGCCCUUUGCAGGUUUUCACCAGCUAACCUCUCUCAUUUCUCUUCCACCGUCGCCUUGUAGUGCUCUUCGCAAGUUUUCACUAAUAAGACUCUCUCAUUUCAAUUUCUCUUCUUACCAUCGCCUUAAGGUGCCAGUGAGGGUUUUCACCGAUAAGACACUCUUAUUUUAUUUCUCUCAUUUUGAUUAUAUUAGAUCCCAAUGAUUGUAUCCUCCAAUUCUUGAACAUUCUUGCCGAUUGAUCAGAAGAACUUAAAAAGGAUUUGGGUAAAAGUAAUUUGGAAUGAGUUAAAACUUUGGCACCUUUCGGGCGAAAUCAUCGUCGAAACAUUAUAACAUCUGCAGCAGUUUCACUUUUGGGGAAUUUGGAUUUUUGUUUUGGUGUGACUGAACCCCAGAGAGAGUCUUCCUAUGUAUCCUUUCGAAAUCAAGUCAAACGUAGUUCAACGAACUUUCUUUUUUUUAAUUUUCUUUUGUUUUUUCUGUUUUAUUGUUUUUUAACAAUUUCCUGGCUCUAAAUAAGGUAAUCAAAGAAAAAGGGAACCGUCUCAAUGGGUUUGCAAGGUUGGUAGUGUUUGGGUAGUGGGAAUGAAAGCCUUCAUCAUCCCAAUUAGAAAGCGUUAAAAUCACAUAAAUGGGUCAAACAUAAUACCUUUGAUCGCAUCUACAUUGACAGCUGUUUCGGGAUUAGUUCCUUCGAUGUCUCCCAAAUACAGUGCUCCUUUCGGCAACAAUUUUCUUACAAUAUACAGAACAUUCCAAUUUGGAGCAAAUUUUCAUUUUGCUUCCUCAUUAUAUGGGAGAAUACGCCUCAGACGAGUUGCCCCACUUCAAAGUUUCUAGGCUGUACUUUCUUGUUGUAGGCACAAGCCAUUCUUUUUUGGUAGCCAUCUGCUUUUCAUCAAUCAUAGUUAGCUAUUCCAACCGGGUCUUGACCCAUUAAUCAUCCUAAAUCUCAGCUUCAACAAUGAUUCGAAGAGAGGGAAUUUCAACUUUUGCAGGUAUUAUGACUUCAUUGUCGUAAACCAAUAAAUAGGGCGUGGCCCCAACUGUCGUGUGCAUGGUUCUGCGAUAUCCCGAUAAUGCAUAAGGUAACUUUUCAUGCCACUGUCUAGAACUUUGAAUCAUUUUCCUGUGGAUCUUCUUGAUAUUCUUGUUUGUUGCUCAAUAGCACCAUUAGCUUUGGGCCGAUAAGGGGUAGAAUUCUGAUGCGUAAUCUUAAAUUGUUUGCCUCCCUCAUCAAGUGGUUGUUAAGGUUUGCAGCAUUAUCUGUAAUGAUAGUUUUAGGAAUACCAAAAUGACAAAUAAUUUUGGAAUGCACGAAGUCCACCACCGCUUUCUUGGUGACGGCUUUGAAAGUGACUGCAUUCACCCACUUUGUGAAAUAAUCAAUGGCAACCAAGAUGAAUUUGUGCCCAUUCGAAGCUUUGGGCUCGAUAGGCCUAAUGACAUCCAUACCCCAUGUGAAGAAUGGCCAAGGUGCUAACAUAGGAUGCAACUCUGAAGGCGGUGCAUUAAUCAGGUCACCCUGUAUCUGACACUGAUGGCACUUUCGGACAAAAUUGAAGCAAUCCUCUUCCACGGUCAUCCAGUAAUAACUUACUUGAAGGUUUUUUUUUGCAAGGACAUAUCCAUUCAUAUGUGGCCCACAUACUCCCGAAUGCACUUCAUUCUUGAUCUUUCCAGCCUCUUGGGCAUCUACGCACCUCAAAAGAUUGAAAUCCGGAGUUAUUUGUACAAGACUUAUCCGCUCAAGAAGAAGUUGCUGGUGAGCCUUCUAAUGGUUCUCUUUGGUCUCCACUAGCUUGCUCGGUAUAUUCCUUUAUUUUCAAAAAUCUUUUAAUAUCACGAUGCCAUGGUUGAACAUCUGGUUCUAUUUCAACUGCAUUACAAUAACCAUGUCUUUAUCGAAUUUGGAUUUCCAGCGGGUCAAUAUGGACAUUGCCCGGAUACGGCAGCAUUGAGGCCAAAGUAGCUAGUGCAUCAGCUAACUCAUUGUGGAAUCGAGGAAUAUACUUGAACUCGAUGGACUUGAACUGUUUGCUAAGAUCUUCCACAGGUUGCCAGUAUGAGAUAAGCUUGAUUUCUCGAGUUUCCCAUUUACCUUGAGCUUGCCGAAUAAUCAAGUCAGAAUCUCCCAUGAUUAACAAUUCUUCCACAUCCAUGUCAACUGCCAUAUUCAUACCCAUAAUGCAGGCUCUAUAUUCAGUGGUGUUGUUUGUACAGAAAAACCGAAGUCGGUCUAUGGCCGGGUAGUGCUAACUAGUGGGCGAAAUCAAAAUUGCCCCAAUCCCGACACCUUUUGCAUUUAUAGCUCCAUCAAAGAACAUUUUCCUAGAAUUGGUGUCCUCUGGAAUUACGUCAACUGAAUUUACUUACUCGUCAGGAAAGUAAGUACUCAGGGGUUGAUAUUUAUCAUCAACCGAGUUCUCAGCUAGAUGAUCUGCCAAGGGUUGAGCUUUCAUCGUCGUGCAAGUGACAUAGACAAUGUCAAACUCAGUGAGCAUGAUUUUCCAUUUUGCUAACCUUCCCCUAGGCAUUGGUUUUUGGAAUAUGUACUUCAGAGGAUCCAUUCUAGUUAUAAGAUAUGUGGUGUAGGCCAACAGAUAAUGUCUAAGUUUCUAGGCGACCCAAGUUAGGGCGCAACAAGUUCUUUCUAACAAAGUGUACUUGGCUUCAUAACUAGUGAACUUCUUGCUUAAAUAGUAUAUGGCUUGAUCUUUCUUCCCAGGUCACAUCAUGUUGUCCUAGGAAACAGUCGAAAGAAUUUUCCAGAAUUAUAAGGUAAAAGAACAAAGGUCUCCCUGGCUCGGGUGGAACCAACACUGGCGGAUUCAACAAAUAUUCUUUGAUUUUGUCGAAAGCUUUUUGACACUCACCCGUCCAUCUUAUUGCCGCAUCUUUCUUCAAUAGCUUCAAUAUGGGUUCAUGCAUGGUAGUCAGUUGAGCAAUGAAUCUGUUGGUAUAAUUCAAUCUUCUUAGCAGACUUAUGACCUCUUUCUUGGUUCUUGGAUGUGGCAAAUCCCGAAUAGACUUUAUCUUUGUUGGAUUUAACUCGAUACCCCUCCGACUAACUAUAAACCCCAAAAGAUUCCCAUAUGGAACUCUGAAUGCAAAUUUAGAUGGAUUCAAUUUCAAGUCGUACUUGUGCAGACGCUCAAAGAACUUUCUCAGAUCCCACACAUGGUCUUCCUGUGUUUUGGAUUUAAUGAUCACAUCAUCCACAUACACCUAAAUUUCCUAGUGCAUCAUGACAUGGAAGAUGGCAGUCAUAACUCUCAUGUAAGUUGCCCCGACGUUCUUUAAACCAAACGACAUGACUUUGUAAUAGUAAAUGCUCCAAGGUGUGGUGAAAGCCAUCUUUUCUGCGUUUUCUUCAUCCAUCAGAACCUGGUGGUACGUAGCAUAACAAUUCACGAAAGACUGUAUCUCUUGUUUGGCACAAUUGACAACAAGAAUGUGGAUGUUUGGCAAUGGACAGUUGUCCUUUGGGCUUUCUUUGUUCAAAUUCCGAUAAUCAAUACACACUCGGGUUUUCCCGUUUUUCUUCAGCAUUGGAACCCACAUUAGCUAACCAGGUGGUGUAUCGGACUACUCAGAUCACACCAGCUUUCAACUGUUUGGUGACUUCUUCUUUGAUCUUAUCACUGAUGUCCGUUUAAACUUUCUGUGCUUUUGUUGGACUGGUGGAUAACCGGGAUAAGUUGAAAAUUUAUGCACUACCAAAUCAACACUCAGUCGUGGCAUAUCAUUAUAGGAACAUGAAAACAAGUCUUUGAAUUCAAACAAAGGUUGGAUCAAUGCAUCUCUAGUUCUUUCAUCAGCGUGAAUUCUUAUCAUGGUUUCCCGGACCUCUUCUGGACUACCCAAAUUGACUGGCUUGGUUUUAUUUAAGUCUGGCUUAGGUUUAUUCUCAAAUUGUUCCAGUUCUCGAUUUAUUUCCCUAAAAGCCUCAUCUUCGUCAUAUUCUGGUUCUUGAUUCAUUAUUUCACAGUUAGACAUCGUGUUAGGAUCUGGGCAUGAAGUCCACAAGCAUGUCAUGUUAUUUAAGUCCGCAUUAUUAGAACUGAAAAGAAAAAUAGCAAAAUCAAUGUAACACCUCCUUUUUACACUCGAGAGUAUAUGGGAGUUUUUUCCAAUUUAAAGUAACAUUAACCGAAUGGGAUUAUUUUAUUUUAUUUAUCAGAGUCGCCACUUGGAAUAAUUUAUGGUGUUCCAAGACACCAUUUUAUUUUAAAAUCCCAAAUCGAUGAAAUUUCGACUUUAUUUUAAAGUCUGCGAACCAGAAAUUCUAGAUAAGGAAUUCUAUUAACCCGGGAGAAGGUGCUAGGCAUUCCCAAGUUUUGUGGUUCUCGCACGGUCACUUAAACUAUUAAUAAUUGGCCUAUUAUCUGAUUUACUACAUGUUUUAAUCUAUUGUGCCUUUUUAGCUUUGUAAACCCUUUUAAUUAGUUUAUGAAAUUAAUCUGGAACAAGUUACGAUUGUUGUACAUCUGUUUGUUUGAUAGACAUUGCAAAUCAUAUCACGGGAACCGUACUCACGAUCUACAACGUGUUUAAUUAUUAACAUUAUUAGUUGUUGUGGCCGGGUCACAUAAAUGUACCCCCGGAUUUGGAAAUUAUAUAUCACAACUGCGUCACGGGAACUGUACCUGUAGCCAUGAUGAUUUUAUUAUAAACGUGCCUAAAGCAAACUAAUGUUCAAAAAUAUUUUCUAUACUAAGUUAAUAUUAAUGUGAGGGCCGUAACUUAUGAAUUUUGUUUGCAUAUGGCACACCUUAAUUUAUUUUAAAAGAAAAGAUUUGUAUUUCUGCAAACUAAAGUUGCUCCUACUUUAAUCUAAUUAAAAAUUAGGUAUCAUAACCACGUCACGGGAACCUUACUCGUAAUUGUAAUAAUUUUAAUUGCGUGCCUAAAACAUACUACGGAUGUUUAAUUAUUUUUAAGUUUGAGAUUAUUGUAAGGCCAAGAGUUAUGAAAAUUAUUUAUUGGAAUCAAUUAUGAGUGAAAUCACAUUUACAGAACCAAAGUGUAGAGUUUUUGCGCUAACGAUUUAAAUCCUGGAAGCUAGAGUGAAAUGCAUCCAUGGGGUGCGUCGAUAAACCAAGGGCCGAUGGUAAAGAAAAUUAAUUAACAACGAAAGCCAUAAAUUUUCUAAACUCAGUUAAAAGGUUCCACAAUUCCUUUAUAAGAGAAAUUUGGAAUCAUACACUCCGAUCCAGUACAAUACAUUUUCCAAACUCAGUUAAACAGAAAUACUGAAUAUACAACACCACCUUCCAAUUCCAAUUUCUAUACUCUAUACUAGAGCUCGAGACAUUAUAUGCAAAAAAGAUUUGUAAACAGUCCACUUUUCAUAAUCUUAUUAAGAAAAGAAACCUUUAAUUUUUUUGGACACCCCCUUCUUACAAAGCAUACAUAAAAUCUUAUUAAACGUAGUAACAUCAGGAGUUAUUCCGAGCCUAAGCAUUUAACCAAAUUUAGCCACGUAAAACCUACUACUCAAAAAAUUACAUAAACCAAACGAUAAUCUAGUCCUCCUUAAUGAAACAGAGAAAAUCAAUAAAGAACUAAAAUGAUAGCUAAUCGAACAAAGAUUCCAUAGAUGGCAUCACCAGAAACAAAUCUGAAAAUUGAAUAACAAAUAGAGUUAAGAGUCAGACGUUUAUGAACAAAUUGGAACUCAAACCUCAAACCGUAAAAAAAGAGCAAUGAUCUCAAUCGAACCUCGACGAAAAACCUAUCUCGCCGGCAACUCCGACAUUUUGUGUGUGCAAAGGGGCUGUUUUUAAUGGAGAUUUGUGGAGUUUUUGUGGCUGAAACUUUGGUGUAAAAAGCUACUCCAUUUUGUUCGGAGAAGGAGAUAGGUGCGUUUUUUUUUUUGUUGCCAACUGCUGCUCCUCUUUUCUUUUUAAAGUCUGCUCCCCACUCAAUUGUUUCCUCCAUUUCUUUGUUCAAUUCUCAUCCCCUUCUUUGCCGUUUCCCCCCAAUUCUCUUAAUCUCUUUUUUUUAAUCCUCAGAUCCCUUUUCCCUCACUGUCACGUCCCUUUAUAUGUACGUGUGUCGUUGGGAUUUUUCCGUGGGUGGAGGUCCAGCCGUUGGGAGUUUUUGAAGGAAAGGGAGCAACUGUCGUUUUCCAGCUUUUUUGUGUUUAGGAAUUAGGAGAUUUGUAGAUUGGUAGAGUUUAUUUACAAUUGGGUUUAAAUAUGGGUAUAAGAAUUGACAUCUGCCAUUAGAUUGAAGGGAAAUCGAUGGCUAUGAUUAAAUCUUGUACUUAAGUGAGUUAAUGGGUUGGAAAAAAUAGGUCUUUGUCUUGUUGGGCUUAAAUAUGUAGAAAGACUAAAACAAUGUAAUGCACUUAUAAAAAAUAUAAAAAUCACUCUUAAUUAAUCAAAAAUAAACUACUAAAAUAAAACUAAACAUAAAAAUUGAAACUAUUUUUGAAUUUAUUUUAAUUUUUAAAUACUAAAACAAUAAAAUUAAACUAAUAAAGUUGUAGUAAAAAAUGGAUUAAAAAUCUAUAAUAACUCAAGUAAAUAUUUAAAAUACUACAACAAACUUAAAAAUUGUGCGGGUAAAAAAUUACGUGCUUACAGCUGCCCUCUUUGCUUGGAAACACGAAUUGUUUUUUGAGCAAAGAAACAAGUAAGCGACGUAAUUGAUUUCUGACCCGACACUUAUUCAAAAGAAAAGAAAUAUGGGUAAAAGAUUGUGACCGAGCCCUGGUAUCUGAGCUGCCUACAUAUCCUUGGCUAUAGAGGAAUCAGGUCACGUGUAGUUCAGAAGUGAAUGAGGUGACGGAGUGUACCGAGGUGGAGAGCCGAGUAAGGUUCCGUUCCGUCGAGGUUCCGGUCUGCGGUCCUAUUAUUACAUCAAAAUCAAAAAUGAAAAAGACUAGCUAAGCUUAUCAGCUACGAGUUACAAGAUUCCUAUCUAUGAGUGUUCUGAAGCUUGAUCUUGAGUCUUGGUUGGUUCUUCAUGUGGACUCUGAUCUGAAUCUUGAUGCUUGUUAAUUGCAGGUGUUGGUUCAAUCUUCUUCAGCUUUUUCAGAUCAAAACGGGACAUGUAGAGCUUGUGACCUCAAUUAUGUCUUGAGCAAUCCACAUCUUUUCUCCUCUUCUGCACUUUGGAUUCACUUCUUUUUCUUAUUUUUCUUUUCUUUUAUUUGAAUCGAGACUUCUUCUUUUGGUCACUUCGAAACUUGUGCCUCAAGGUAAAAACCUGCUUAGGCACCAAAACAAACAAACGAAUGAAAUUUUUUUGCCCCAGUUUUUACUAGGAAAAUUUCGUGAAUUAUUGUAACAAAAAUCUAAACUACUUCUUUAUUGAAAGCAAUAAAAUCAGGAUUGUGUAUCCUUGAGGAAAAGAGAUUAGGGAGUGGAGCCCUACAUCUACGAUGAAAUCAACUAGGGAGUGGAGACCAUAUGUUGNNNNNNNNNNNNNNNNNNNNNNNNNNNNNNNNNNNNNNNNNNNNNNNNNNNNNNNNNNNNNNNNNNNNNNNNNNNNNNNNNNNNNNNNNNNNNNNNNNNNNNNNNNNNNNNNNNNNNNNNNNNNNNNNNNNNNNNNNNNNNNNNNNNNNNNNNNNNNNNNNNNNNNNNNNUAAACUAAAUUCGACUAGGGAGUGGAGACCCUAUGUUGGAAAAGCAGACUAGGGAGUGGCGACCCUAUGUCUAAAAUAACUUCAACUAGGGAGUGUAGACCCUAUGUUGGAAAAGUGACUAGGGAGUGGCGACCCUAUGUCUAAAAUAAAUUCAACUAGGGAGUGUAGACCCUAUGUUGGAAAAGUGACUAGGGAGUGGAGACCCUAUGUAUAAAAUAACUUCAAUUAGGGAAUGGAGACCCUAUGUUGGAAAAGUGACUAGGGAGUGGAGUCUCUAUGUCUAAAAUAAAUUAAACUAGGGAGUCGAGACCCUAUAUUGGAAAAGCAGACUAGGGAGUGGAGACCCUAUGCCUAAAAUAAAAUCAACUAGGUAGUGGAAACCUUAUAUUGGAAAAACGACUAGGGAGCGGAGACCCUAUAUUGGAAAAAAACGUAACUAGAGAUUGGGGACCCUAGGCUGCCAUGUUUUUGAAGUUUUUCUUCUUAUCUUUUUUUUUUCAUUUUUGUUCUUUUUUUUUCUUUUAUUUCAUAGAAUAAGUAAAUGAGGGAAAGAAUUUUGGAGGGGACUUCCCUUUAUGGAUUGUUACUGCAAAGCUGUUUCUAGCCCUUGCGCAGUUUCUUUUUGGUUGCACCUGCUUCUUGCAAGAUUGCUUUGGAUUGCACCUUUUUCAUGUUUUCAAACAAAGAACAAUUGUUAGUUUGAAAUGGUGGUUGGUUUUGUGGCCUUGAUUAUUUCAAUGAUCUCGGCCCUUUCAACUGCAACUGGUUGCUUCCUGAAUACCGGCAACAUUUCUAACCUUAGAGAAGCUCUAGCUUUUUCAGAUUUUGCAAUGACGAUUGGUCGAUGGGACUCAAUCUUUUCGACUUUAUUUUGCUUCUAUAGGCCUUUCUCUUUUGACUUCCCUUUUUUGUCUCUCUUUUUUUCUUCUUUUUUUUUUUUAUAAAAAACUUCGGAGCAUUGGGAGACUUUUGGCUCCUCACACUUUGUCGCAAAGGCUAGCCGCGUGGGACUUAACCUUUUAAAACUUUAUUUCUCCUUCAUAGGCCUUUCAUUUCUGGCUUCUUUCUUCCAACUUCAAUUUCAGAUCAUUUGGGUACCUUGACUUUUCNNNNNNNNNNNNNNNNNNNNNNNNNNNNNNNNNNNNNNNNNNNNNNNNNNNNNNNNNNNNNNNNNNNNNNNNNNNNNNNNNNNNNNNNNNNNNNNNNNNNNNNNNNNNNNNNNNNNNNNNNNNNNNNNNNNNNNNNNNNNNNNNNNNNNNNNNNNNNNNNNNNNNNNNNNNNNNNNNNNNNNNNNNNNNNNNNNNNNNNNNNNNNNNNNNNNNNNNNNNNNNNNNNNNNNNNNNNNNNNNNNNNNNNNNNNNNNNNNNNNNNNNNNNNNNNNNNNNNNNNNNNNNNNGUCCACCAUGGCCAGUCGAGGUCGAUUUGAUGCCCCUAACGAGGCUGGGUGCCUUUUUGCACAUGAGCUCGUAUCAAACGAAAGCCCUGUAAAUCAAUUUUGCUAUCUCUUCUUAGUCUUAGUUUCGGAAUAUAGUUAGACUGAAAGGGAUUGAAAGAAAACAAACAAAGGAAUGGAGAAUGAGUUUAAACAAGAUGUGUCCCUUUUGGGGAAAGGAAAGAAGGACUUAUCUGGAGUACAUGUGGACUUCAAUCAACAUGAUAUGCCUUUUGGACUGGAUGCUUGAUCUAUGUAAACCGUCCAACUCUCAGAAAUUCAUCACAACUUUUGCCUCAAAAUCGAGAAACCUUGUCAGGACUCUGUUGAUGCCGAUGGUUGUGAGGAUCUUCUUUUCGAUCAUGGGCGCCCUUUGCGGGUUUUCACGAGCUGACCUCUCUUAUUUCCCUUCUCACCAUCGCCUAAUCGUGCUCUUUGUGAGUUUUCACUAACAAGACUCUCUCAUUUGUAAUUUCUCUACUUACUGUUGUCUCACGGUGCCCGUGUGGGUUUUUACCAAUAAGACUCUCUCAUUUUAUUUCUUUGCUUACCAUGGCCUUACGGUGCCCGGUUUUCACCAAUAAGACACUCAUUUUAUUUCUCUCAUUUUGUUAUAUCAAAUCCAAGUAGCUGCAUUCUCCGAUCCUUGGACAUUCUCGCCGAUUGAUCGGAAGGACUUGAAAGGAUUUGGGUAAAAAUGAUUUGGACUGAAUUACAACUUUGGAACCAUUCAGGCGGGAUCAUCGCCGAACCAUUAUAAAAUCUGCCCCAGUUUCAACUUUGGGGGAAAUGUGGAUUUUUAUUUUGGUGUGACUGAACCCCAAAGAGAGGCUACCUAUAUAUCCUUUCGGAAUCAAGUCGAACGUAGUUCAAGAAACUUUGUUUUUUAUUUUCUUUUGUUUUUAUGUUUUGUUUUGUUUUCUCUUUCUUUUUCCUUUCCUUUUUUCUCUCUUUUUUUUGUUUUUUUUUUGGUCUUUUCUUCCUUUUUUUUGUAUCUUUCUUUUUCUCCUCCUUUUUUUCACUUUUCAUCUCAUUUUUUUUGAAUUUCUUUUUCCAAUAACACUUUCAGGUUCUAAAGAGGGUAAUCAAAGAAAAGUAACCAGCUCAAAUGGUUUGCAAAUGGUUAGUAGUGUUUGGGUAGCGAGAAUAAAAACCUUCUUCAUCCUAAUCGGGGAACAUUUGUUAUAUAGAGGAUUCAACAUAGUACCUUUUGGCUGCAUUUGCAUUGACAGUUGUUCAGGACAUUUCCUUCGAUGUUUUCCAAGUACAACACUCUUUUUGGCAGUACCCUUGUUACCAUGUAUGGAUAUUUCCAAUCUAGAGCCAAUUUUCCUCUAGUUGUUCCAACUCUUUGUUAUUUUUCCUUAAACUAAUUGUCAUGACCCAUUUCCAUAACAGAUCGUGAUGGCACCCAACACCAUUGUCAGGCAAGACAACGCGAAAGUAUUAGUAAAUUCUUAUUUUACUUACCCAAAACAGUUAAAACAUAUCUUAAUUUUCAAUCAAAACAGGUGAUAAUAUGCAACAUUCGAUAAUGAUUAUACAACCCAAAAGAAACGUCUACUAAUGUGAGUGUCAAGACCUGGUGUCACAAGUUGUGGGCAACUAGUAGAAUAUACAAAAGAAUAAAUCCAUCCUACUGUCCGAAAUAGAAUAGACAACAAAAAAUAAAUAAAGAGAGACUCAAUCAAGCUGCUGAAUGGCACAGGAAGGGGCAGCUCAUCGUGUAAGUCUUGGACUAUGAAUCAGGGGCACGCACCAGACUGAUAGCCAGAUGUACCUGCCUCAGAUCCUGUACAAUUAAGUACAAAAUUGUAGUAUGAGUACAUAAACAAUAUGUACCCCAUAAGUAUCGCGUCUAAUCUUGAAGAAGUGGAGACGAGAGGUCGACUCAAUACUUACUAAGGUCAAAUAAUAUAAUGAAGUGUUACGCUAAGCAAGGGAGUCACAAAUAAUCAACAGUUUGUAGCAAGAGCUAAUAAGUCAUGUUCUUAACAAUUUUACAAUUAGCCAUUUACAUUUCAAAUAUUUAGUAGGUCAAGUAAUGGAUAAGAUUUCACAUAGAUAUCAUAUGCACAUUAUGCCGAGGUUGACUGCCCGAUGCAACAGAAAAUAAACUGUGCACUACCAGAGGAUCGAAUGGCGCGAACCAUAGAUGUAUCUAUUUCUACCGAGGCGAUCGGCCCGAUCCACAAUUUAUAUCAAGAAACACAUGAAUGCACAUUUAUUUCCAAGUAAAUUCAUACAAGUGUCCAACAUGUGUAUACAUUCGCUUAUAUUCCUUUCCAAAUCUCUAGCAUGUCCUAAGUGAUUACAUUAGCAUGAAAAUAUAGAGGCAUUCACAAACAUAGCAUGAUACGGGUCCUAGACUACCCGGACAAUUAACAUAAUAGUAGCUACACGCGGACUCUUGUCACCUAGUGUGUAAGUAACCCCCACAUUUAGUAGCAAAUUACUCAAUUAUUACACAUAUGGGGACAAUUCCCUCUUACAAGGUUAGAAAGGAGACUCCCCUCGCUCCAAAGUGCACUUCCAAUACCAAGAACGGGUCCAAACCCUCAAUUUAGAGCCGAACGAUCCAAAACUAGUUAAAUGAUGUAGGAACUAAUCAAUAUAAGCUCACAAAAUCGUAUUCUAACUAUUUAAGCAAUUUCCCAUCCCUUACCACAAGUUUCCUAAAACUCGACUCUGGGCCCAUGUGCCCGGAUUCCGAAAUUUUUCGAAGGAAGUUGUUCUCUAUAACCUAAGGAUCAAUAAUAUAUGAUUUCUAAUUCAUUUCAAAGCCAAUUUCAUGGUAAAAUCUAAGUUUUAUUAAAACCCUAGGUCUAUCUCUAACCCCUUGAUUUCUCCAAAUCUUUCGGUGUUAAUCUACCCAAAACUCGAGUGUUAAACAUAUAAAUAAGGGGGAUGAACUUACCUCACGAUGCUAUGUGGAAAUCCCUUCUGAAGAGCUCCAAAAUCGCUCAAUACUCGUGUGCCAAAUGGUCAAAAAUGGCUGUAGCUUGACUUAAAUGAAGCUCACUGCUUCAGCAGUUUCCGCAUCUACGAGAGGAAACCGCAUCUGCGGAAUUGGCUAAAAUGGCUAGGAUCGCUUCUGCGAUCUUGAAGCCACAUCUACGUAGCCGCUUAUGUGGUUUGGCCUGGCCAGCUUUAGUCCGCAUCUGCUAGGCUACGAUUGCUUCUACGGUCUUGCACCAGCGGUCGACCAACCGCAUGUGCGAUUAUGAUAGAAGCAGAUGCUUCAGCACUUCUCCAAAUUCCCAGCUUCACUCGAACCUAGUCCGUUUGAUGCUCGGGGCUCUCGGGCCCUGCCCGAACAUACCGAAAAGUCUGAAAUCAUGAGACAGACCUCCUCGGACCUUCAGAAUGCCCGAAACAACGCUAAAUCUAAGAGUCAACCCCUAAAACCAAAUGAAUCAAACUUAUGAACUUCAAGUUCUUAAUUUUCCUCUAACGAGCUGAAACGCCCUAAAACUACACGGAUUGACACCAAAUUUUCUGGGCAGGUAUUAAAUGAUAUAUUGGACCCGUAUCGGGCUACAGAACCAACAUACGAGCCCGAUACCCAUGGAAUCAAUCAUUAAUUCGUUUAUUUAAAUCCUUAGAAUUUCAGUUCAACAAUUUCUAAUAAAAAUUCAUUACUUGGGCCAGGGACCUCGGAAUUCGAUUCCGGGCAUACGUUCAGGUCCCAUAUUUUCCUACGGACGCUCUGGGACCGUCAAAUCACGAAAUCGGGUCUGUUUGCUCAAAAUGUUGACCAAAGUCAAACUUAGCCUUUCAAAAAAAUCCUUAGGAAUCAAAUGAGCAUAUUUCACUCCAAACUCUUCUAAAUCCCGAACCAACCAUCCCCACAAGUCGUAAAUUAGUUAAAAAAAGGCGCGAGAAGUUUUAUUUAGUGGAAUAGGGUUCUGAAGGGCAAAAUGAACAGUCGGGUCAUUACAUUCUCCACAUCUUAAACAAACGUUCGUUCUCAAACAGACAUAGAAAGGUAUCUGAGAUGCUGAAUAUAUGUUGAUAUCUGCUCUGCAUGUCUUCCUCGGACUCCUAAGUCGCCUCCUCGACUGGUUGGUCCCUCCACCGGACCCUUAUCGCAGAAAUCCUCUUGGACCUCAACUGGCGAUCCUGCCUAUCAUUAAUGGGACCUGGCUCCUCCUCAUAACCCAAACUCUCAUCCAGCUGAAUAGUACUGAAGUCCAACACAUAGGACAAGUUGGCAUGAUAUUUAAGAAGCAUCGAUACAUGAAAAACCGGAUGAACUCCCGAUAAGCUGGGGGCAAAUCAAGCUCGUAAGCGAACUCCACAACUCGUCUCAACACCUCAAAGGGGCCAAUAAAUCUAGGGCUCAGAUUGCCCUUCUUCCCGAACCUCAUGAUUCCUUUCAUUGGCAAGAAUUUCAAGAGAACCUUCUCGCCAACCAUGAAUGAUACAUCACACGCCUUCUGAUUCGCGUAGCUCUUCUGUCUGGACUGAGCUGUGCGAAGCCUUUCCUGAAUCAACUUUACCUUGUCCAAGGCAUCCUAUACCAAAUCUGUUCCGUAUAACUUAGCCUCACUAGGCUCCAACUACCCGAAAGAAGAACGAUAACGUCAACCAUAUAAAGCCUCGUAUGGAGCUAUCUCUAUGCUGGACAGAUUGUUGUUGUUGUUGUACGCAAACUCCGCCAAGGGCAAGAACUGAUCUCACUGCCCUCCAAAGUCAAUCACACAUGCUUUACGCAUGUCCUCCAAAAUCUGAACUGUCCGCUCCGACUGCCCGUCGGUCUAUGGAUGAAAUUCUAUGCUAAGCUCCACGCGGGUCCCCAACUCACCCUGAAUAGCUCUCCAAAAAUACGAGGUGAAUUGAGGACCUCUAUCUGAUAUGAUAGAAAUAGGCACACUAUGCAAUCGGACUAUCUCCCAAAUGUAAAUCUGAGCUAGUCUCUCCGAAGUAUAAGUAGUCACCACCGGUAUAAAGUGUGCUGACUUGGUCAAUCUGUCAACAAUGACCCACACUGAAUCAAGAUUUCACAAAGUUUGCGGCAACCCAACUACGAAAUCCAUGGUAAUGCGCUCCCACUUCCACUCUGGUAUAGGCAUCUGCUGAAGUAGGCCACCAUGCCUCUAGUGUUCAUACUUGACCUGCUGGCAAUUCAAACACCUAGCCAGAUACUCCACUAUGUCCUGCUUCAUCCUCCGCCACCAAUAAUGUUGUCUCAAGUCACAAUACAUCUUCGUAGCCCCUGGAUGAAUGGAAUACCGCGAACUGUGUGCCUUCUAUAGAAUCCUCUUCCUCAGACCAUCAAAAUUAGGAACACAUAGACGACCUUGGAGUCGCAAAACACCAUCCUCGCCAAUAGAAACCUCUUUGGCACCUCCCUGAAUCAUUGUCUCUCUAAGAACCGCCAAAUGUGGAUCAUCAAAUUGUCGUUCCUUGAUCUGCCCUAAUAAUGAAGACUGAGCAACAACACACGCAUGAACUUGGCUGGGCUCCGAAAUGUCCAACCUCACAAGUCUGUUAGCCAAGGACUGAAUGUCCAAAGCUAGGGGUCUCUCCUCUAUUGGAAUGAAUAUCAAGCUACACAUACUCUCUACUUUUCUGCUUAAGGCAUCCGCGACCAUAUUUGCCUUGCCCGAAUGAUAAAGAAUGGUGAUGCCAUAAUCUUUCAGUAACUCAAGCCAUCUGCGCUGCCUCAAAUUAAGAUCUCUCUGUUUGAACAAAUGUUGUAAGCUGAGAUGAUUCAUAUAAACCUCACAUGGCACCCCAUACAUAUAAUGCCUCCAUAUCUUAAGAGCAUGAACGAUCGCGGCCAAAUCUAGAUCAUGCAUAAGAUAAUUAUUCUCAUGAAUAUUCAGCUGCCGCGAAGCAUAGGCAAUAACUCGCCCCUCCUGCAUCAAUACACAUCCCAAUCUAACAUGUGAAGCAUCACAAUAUACCAUAUACAUCCCUGAACAGGAAGGCAACACAAGAAUUGGUGUUGUAGUCAAGGAUAUUUUGAGCUUCUGAAAGCUCGCCUCAUAAUAAUCGGACCAAUGGAAAGGAGCACCCUUCUGGGUCAGUCUAGUCAGAUGCAAUAGAUGAAAAACACUGCAUGAAUCCUCUGUAGUAACCUGCUAACCCUAGGAAACACCUAAUGUCGGUCACCAAAGUAGGACGUGGCCAACUCUGAACUACCUCAAUCUUCUUAGGAUCCACCUUAAUACCCUCUACUUACACAACAUGCCCUAAGAAUGCCACUGACUCCAGCCAAAACUCACACUUGGAGAACUUAGCAUAUAGCUUAUGCUCUCGCAAGGUCUGAAGCACUACCUCAAAUGAUGCCCGUGCCUCCCCCNNNNNNNNNNNNNNNNNNNNNNNNNNNNNNNNNNNNNNNNNNNNNNNNNNNNNNNNNNNNNNNNNNNNNNNNNNNNNNNNNNNNNNNNNNNNNNNNNNNNNNNNNNNNNNNNNNNNNNNNNNNNNNNNNNNNNNNNNNNNNNNNNNNNNNNNNNNNNNNNNNNNNNNNNNNNNNNNNNNNNNNNNNNNNNNNNNNNNNNNNNNNNNNNNNNNNNNNNNNNNNNNNNNNNNNNNNNNNNNNNNNNNNNNNNNNNNNNNNNNNNNNNNNNNNNNNNNNNNNNNNNNNNNNNNNNNNNNNNNNNNNNNNNNNNNNNNNNNNNNNNNNNNNNNNNNNNNNNNNNNNNNNNNNNNNNNNNNNNNNNNNNNNNNNNNNNNNNNNNNNNNNNNNNNNNNNNNNNNNNNNNNNNNNNNNNNNNNNNNNNNNNNNNNNNNNNNNNNNNNNNNNNNNNNNNNNNNNNNNNNNNNNNNNNNNNNNNNNNNNNNNNNNNNNNNNNNNNNNNNNNNNNNNNNNNNNNNNNNNNNNNNNNNNNNNNNNNNNNNNNNNNNNNNNNNNNNNNNNNNNNNNNNNNNNNNNNNNNNNNNNNNNNNNNNNNNNNNNNNNNNNNNNNNNNNNNNNNNNNNNNNNNNNNNNNNNNNNNNNNNNNNNNNNNNNNNNNNNNNNNNNNNNNNNNNNNNNNNNNNNNNNNNNNNNNNNNNNNGAACAUCUCGAGUCCCGAAUCUUCAGCUGAUGAUACCCUGACCUAUAGUCAAUCUUGAAGAACACCCUAUCACCCUGUAAUUGGUCAAACAAGCCAUCGAUAUGAGGCAAUAGAUAUUUGUUCUUGAUGGUGACUUUGUUCAACUAGCGGUAAUCAAUGCACAUCCGCAUAGUCUCAUCCUUCUUCUUCACAAAUAACACUAGUGUACCCCAAGACGACACACUUCGUCUAAUAAACCCCUUUGAUAACAACUCCUCAAGCUACUCCUUUAACUCUUUCGGAGCCAUACAGUACGGUGGGGUUGAUACAGGCUGGGUGUCUGAAGCCAAAUCAAUACAGAAAUCAAUAUCACGAUCUGGUGGCAUGCUAGGAAGAUAAGAAGGAAACACAUCGUCAAACACUCGAACUAUUGGAACUAAAUCAAUCAUUGAAGACUCUGCGGUGGUGUCCCAAACAUAAGCUAGAUAAGCUAGACACCCCUUCUCGACCAUAUGACGAGCCUUCAGGAAAGAAAUAACCCGGUUAGACGUAACAACUGUGGAACCCUUCCACUCCAACCCUGGCAAACCUGGUAUCACUAAAGUAAUAGUCUUGGCAUGGAAAUCUAGGACGACGUGAUACAAAGAUAACCAAUCCAUGCCUAGGAUGAUCUCAAAAUCGAUUAUAUCAAGCAACAUGAGAUCUACUCUAGUUUCAAAACCACAGAGUGUGACCGCACAUGACUGGUAGAUCCGAUCCACAACAACAGAAUCACCUACAAGAGUAGACACAUAAAUAGGAGUGCCCAAAGGCUCAGGAGAAAUAACCAGGAAACGAGCAAAUAGAGAUGAUACAUAUGAAUAAGUAGACCCUGGAUCAAAUAAUACCGAAGCUCUCUACCGCCAACAGAAAUAAUACUUGUGAUGACGGCAUCUGAGGCCAAUGCAUCUGGCUUGGCCGGAAGGGCAUAACAUCUGGCCGGAGCGCCGGCUAGUUGGCCUCCACCUGACUGAGCAGUAGUUGGUUGCCCUCUCCUUACCUGUCCUUCACCUCUAGGACGGCCCCUACCAGUCUGCCCUCCACCUCUAGGUGGCGGGGUAGCCGGUGCUGAAAUCAUAGGCUGCUGACCCUACUGUACUACCUUGACCCGAAGCCUAGGGUAGUAUCUCCUCAUAUGACCAAGGUCUCCGCACUCGAAACAACCCCAUGGUGCGGCGACUUGCUGCCUUGAUGGCUGACCCUAAUGGAUUAUAGACCCACUGGAAGAAGCCUAAAUAGCCGAUAGAUGGUAUAAACUCUCCGGCAUAGCACUAAAAUAAGAAUCUGAAGAACCAUGUGGACCUGAAUAACUGCCGGAGGAACCAUGAAUAGCUGGUGGGUAGUAAGAACUCUCUGGCAUCACACUAAAAUAUGGUCUCACUGGAGUACCUUUCGGAGGUGGUGGUGGUGCUGAAUACGGGGGUCUGCUGGGCUGACUACUCUCGAAAUGACCUCUACCCCUAGUUGGGGCACCUCUGAACUCUCCCGAGAACCGGGUCCUCUUGUCCUGCUGAAUCUGCUCUCUACCCCUCUGGCGAUAUCCCUCAAUCCUGCGAGCAAUCUCUACCACUAGCUAAUACUCAGUACCCAUCUCCACCUCUCAAGCCAUGCUCGCUCGAAUACCGGGGUACAACCCCGCAACAAAUCUCUGCACUCUCUCUGUGUCAGUGUGAAGUAUCAUGAGUGCAUGACAAGACAACUCAGAAAACCUCACCUCAUAAUCGGUCACGGACAUCUGACCCUGCUCUAGAUGCUCAAACUGAUACCGCAACUCUUCCCUCUCAGAGGGUGGAAUGUACCUAUACAAGAAUAAUUGUGCAAACUCACCCCAAGUGAGGGGAGGGGAACCUGCUGGCAUGCCAAGAAUAUAAGACUACCACCAUCUACUGGCCCUGCCCUCUAGCUGAAAAGUAGUGAAGUCAGCCCACGCGAUUCAAAUAUCCUCAUAUUGUACAGUCUGUCCCUCCACCUGUCUAUGAAGUCCUGGGCAUCCUCAUGACGUUCACCCCCAAAGACAGGAGGGUGAAGUCUGGUCCAUCUAUCCAACAACUUCUAUGAGUCACCAUCCACAGCUGGCCUGGCUAGGGCGCUGCUGCAGCUACUAACUGGGCCCUAUUUGCGGGUAGUGUACCCAGAUUCUUAUACACUACAACUAUAUGUCCAGAAGCUUGAGCAGUAGGGGUCUGUGCUCCCCCUUCUACCUGUGAUGUAGCUGGAUCUGCUGGAAAUAAACUAGCCUGAGUCAUAGAAUCCAUGAACCGCUGUAUACGGCCCAUGACCUCUUGGAAUCCUGGUGUUGUCAUAAAGUUCGUCGGGGUAGGAUCAGCUGCGGGCACCUCGCCCUCCUCCUCGAUGAUAGGAUCUCCCGCAGGAUCUGAUGGUGGUACUACUGGGAUAACUCUGAGACGCCCUCGUCCCCUACCUCGGGCUGGUUCCUUCCCCCGGCCUCUGCCUCGGCCUCUAGGAAUUGGGGGAGCAUCUCCGCCCAAGUUUGGAACAUCAGUCGUGCGUGUCCUCACCAUCUAUGAGAGAAGAAGAGGGAAAUUUAUCAUAACAACCACUACUUGAUAGGUAAUGAAUAAAGAGUAGUUUUCCAACACCUUAUAGCCUCUCGAAGAUAAAUACAGAUGUCUUCGUAUCUAUCUGUAAGACUCUAUUAGGUUUGCCCAUGACUUGUGAGACCUACAUGAACCUAGUGCUCUGAUACCAAGUUGUCAUGACCCAUUUCCAUAAUAGAUCGUGAUGGUGCGUACCACCAUUGUCAGGCAAGCCAACGCAGAAGUAUUAGUAAAUUCUUAUUUUACUUACCUAAAGCAGUUACAACAUUUCUUAAUUUGCAAUCAAAACAGGUAAUAAUAUGAAACAUUCGAUAAUAAUUAUACAACCCAAAAGAAAUGUCUACUAAUGUGAGUGUCAAGACCUGGUGUCACAAGUUGUGGGCAACUAGUAGAAUAUACAAAAAAAUUAAUCCAUCUUGUUGUCCGAAAUAGAAUAGACAUCAAAAAUAAAUAAAGAGAGAUUCCAUCAAGCUGUUGAACGGCAAAGGAAGGGGAAGCUCACCGUGGAAGUCUUGGACUAUGAAUCAGGGGCGCGCACCAGACUGAUAGCUAGAUGUACCUGCCUCAGAUUAUGUACAAUUAAGUACAGAAGUGUAGUAUGACUACAUAUACAAUAUGUACCCCGUAAGUAUCCCGUCUAAUCUUGAAGAAGUAGAGACGAAAGGUCGACUUGAUACUUACUAAGGUCAAAUAAUAUAAUGAAGUGUUACGCUAAGCAAGGGAGUCACAAAUAAUCAACAUUUUGUAGCAAGAGGUAAUAAGUCAUGUUCUUAACAAUUUUACAAUUAUCCAUUUACAUUUCAAAUAUUUAGCAGGUCAAGUAAUGGAUAAGAUUUCACAUAGAUAUCAUGCGCACAUUAUGCCGAGGUCGACUGCCUGAUGCAACAGAAAAUAAACUGUACACUGCCAGAGGGUCAAAUGGCGCGAACCAUAGAUGCAUCAAUUUCUACCGAGGCGAUCGGCCCGAUCCACAAUUUAUAUCAAGAAACACAUGAAUGCGCCUUUAUUUCCAAGUAAAUUCAUACAAGUGUCCAACAUGUGUAUACAUUCGCUUAUAUUCCUUUCCAAAUCUCUAACAUGUCCUAAGUGAUCACAUUAGCAAGAAAAUAUAGAGACAUUCACAAACAUAGCAUGAUACAGAUACAACACUACCUGGACAAUUAACAUAAUAGUAGCUACGUACGGACUCUCGUCAGCUAGUGCGUACGUAGCCCCCGCAUUUAGUAGCAAAUUACUCAAUUAUUAUACCUAUGGGGACAAUUCCCUCUUACAAGGUUAGAAAGGAGACUCACCUCGCUCCAAAGCGCACUUCCAAUACCAAGAACGAGUCAAAAUCUUCAAUUCGGAGCCGAACGAUCCAAAACUAGUUUAAUGAGGUAGGAACUAAUCAAUAUAAGCUCACAAAAUCAAAUUCUAACUAUUUAAGCCAUUUCCCAUCCCUUACCGCAAGUUUCCUAAAACCUGACCCAGGGCCCACGUGCCUGGAUUCCAAAAUUUUUCGAAGGAAGUUGUUCUCUAUAACCUAAGGAUUAAUAAUAUAUGAUUUCUAAUUCAUUUCAUAACCAAUUUCGUGGUAAAGUCUAAGUUUUAUUAAAACCCUAGGUCUUGCUCUAACCCUUUGAUUUCUCCAAAUCUUUAGGUUUUAACCUACCCAAAACUCGACUAUUAAACUUAGAAAUAAGAAAGGUGAACUUACCUCACGAUGCUAUGUGGAAAUCCCUUCUCAAGAGCUCCAAAAUUGCUCGUGCCAAAUGGUUAAAAAUGGCUGGCACUCGACUUAAAUGAAGCUCACUGCUUCAGCAGUUUUCACAUCUGCGGUCCCACAUCUGCGAGAGGAGACCGCAUCUGCGGAAUUGGCUAAAAGGUCUAGGACCGCUUCUGCGGUCUUGAAGCCGCAUCUGCGUAGCCGCUUCUGAGGUUAGGGAGUCGCUUCUGCGGUUUGGCCUGGCCAGUUCUCGGCCGCAUCUGCGAGGGUACGACUGCUUCUGCGGUCUCGCACCUGCGGUCGACCAACCGCAGGUACGAUUAGGACUGAAGCAGAUGCUUCAGCACUUCUCCAAAUUCCCAACUUCACUCGAUCCUCAUUCGUUUGACGCUCGGGGCUCCCUAGCCCCGCCCAAACAUACCGACAAGUCUGAAAUCAUGAGACAGACCUCCUCAAACCUUCGGAAUGCCCGAAACAAUACUAAAUCUAAGAGUGACCCCCUAAAACCAAAUGAAUCAAACUUAUGAACUUCAAGUUCUUAAUUUUCCUCUAACGAGCCGAAACACCCUAAACUACUCGAAUUGAUACCAAAUUUUGCGGGCAAGUCUUAAAUGAUAUAUCAUACCCAUACCGGGCUUCGGAACCAACAUACGAGCAUGAUAUCCAAUGAAUCAAUCAUUAAUUAGUUUCUUUAAAUCCUUAGAAUUUUAGUUCAAUAAUUUCUAAUAAAAAUUCAUUACUCAAGCCUGGGACUUCAAAAUUCGAUUCCAGGCAUACGCCUAGGUCCCAUAUUUUCCUACGGACCCUCUGAGACUGUCAAAUCACGAAUCCGAGCCCGUUCGCUCAAAAUGUUGACCAAAGUCAAACUUAGCCUUUCAAGAAAAUCCUUAGUAAUCAAAUGAGCCUAUUUCACUCCAAACUCUUCCAGAUAUCGAACCAACCAUCCUCACAAGUCAUAAAUUAGUAAAAGCAGGCGUGAGAAGUUUUAUUUAGUGGAACAAGGUUCUGAAGGGCAAAACGACCGGUCGGGUCGUUAUAUUCUCCACCUCUUAAACAAACGUUAUCUGCUCUGCAUGUCCUCCUCGGUCUCCCAAGUUGCCUGCUCGACUGGUAGGCCCCUCCACUGGACCCUCACCAUAGAAAUCCUUUUGGACCUCAACUAACAAUCUUGCCUAUCAAUAAUGGCAACUGGCUCCUCCUCAUAACCCAAACUCUCAUCCAGCUGAAUAGUACUGAAGUCCAAAACAUGGGAUUACCCAUUUGAGGUGUUGAGACGAGUUGCGGAGGUCGCUUACGAGCUUGCUUUUCCCCCCAGCUUAUCGGGAGUUCAUUCGGUUUUUUGUGUAUCGAUGCUUCAGAAGUAUCACGCCACUAGUCCAAAACAUGGGACUAGUGGAAUGAUACUUUUGAAGCAUCGAUACAUGAAAAACCGAAUGAACUCCCGAUAAGCUGGGGGGCAAAGAAAGCUCGUAAGCGACCUCCGCAACUCGUCUCAACACCUCAAAUGGGUCAAUAAAUCUAGGUCUCAGCUUUCCCUUCUUCCCAAACCUCAUGACGCCUUUCAUUGGUGAGACUUUCAAUAGAACCUUCUCGCCAACCAUGAAUGAUACAUCACGCACCUUCUGAUCCGCGUAGCUCUUCUGUCUAGACUGAGCUGUGCGAAGCCUUUCCUGAAUCAGCUUUACCUUGUCCAAGGCAUCCAGUACCAAAUUUGUUCCGUAUAACUUAGCCUCACUAGGCUCAAACCACCCGAAAGGAGAUUGAUAAUGUCGACCAUAUAAAGCCUUAUAUGGAGCCAUCUCUAUGCUGGACUGAUUGUUGAUGUUGUACGCAAACCCCGCCAAGGGAAAGAACUGAUCACACUGCCCUCCAAAGUCAAUCACACAUGCUCUAAGCAUGUCCUCUAAAAUCUAAACCGUCCGCUCUGACUGCCUAUCGGUCUGUGGAUGAAAUGUUGUACUAAGCUCCACGCGGGUCCCCAACUCACCCUAAAAAGCUCUCCAGAAAUACGAAGUGAACUGAGGGCCUCUAUCUGAUAUGAUGGAAAUAGGCACACCGUGCAAUUGGACUAUCUCCCAAAUGUAAAUCUGAGCCAGUCUCUCCAAAGUAUAAGUAGUCACCACCAUUAUAAAGUGUGCUGACUUGUCAAUCUGUCAAUAAUGACCCACAUUGAAUCAAACUUUCGCAAAGUCCGCAGCAACCCAACUACGAAAUCCAUGGUAAUGCACUCCCACUUCCACUCUAGUAUAGGCAUCUGCUGAAGUAGGCCACCAUGCCCCUAGUGUUCAUACUUGACCUGCUGGCAAUUCAAACACCUAGCCACAUACUCCACUAUGUCCUUCUUCAUCCUCUGCCACCAAUAAUGUUGCUCCUCAAGUCACGAUACAUCUUCGUNGCUCCUGAUGAAUGGAAUAACAUGAUUCGUGUGCCNNNNNNNNNNNNNNNNNNNNNNNNNNNNNNNNNNNNNNNNNNNNNNNNNNNNNNNNNNNNNNNNNNNNNNNNNNNNNNNNNNNNNNNNNNNNNNNNNNNNNNNNNNNNNNNNNNNNNNNNNNNNNNNNNNNNNNNNNNNNNNNNNNNNNNNNNNNNNNNNNNNNNNNNNNNNNNNNNNNNNNNNNNNNNNNNNNNNNNNNNNNNNNNNNNNNNNNNNNNNNNNNNNNNNNNNNNNNNNNNNNNNNNNNNNNNNNNNNNNNNNNNNNNNNNNNNNNNNNNNNNNNNNNNNNNNNNNNNNNNNNNNNNNNNNNNNNNNNNNNNNNNNNNNNNNNNNNNNNNNNNNNNNNNNNNNNNNNNNNNNNNNNNNNNNNNNNNNNNNNNNNNNNNNNNNNNNNNNNNNNNNNNNNNNNNNNNNNNNNNNNNNNNNNNNNNNNNNNNNNNNNNNNNNNNNNNNNNNNNNNNNNNNNNNNNNNNNNNNNNNNNNNNNNNNNNNNNNNNNNNNNNNNNNNNNNNNNNNNNNNNNNNNNNNNNNNNNNNNNNNNNNNNNNNNNNNNNNNNNNNNNNNNNNNNNNNNNNNNNNNNNNNNNNNNNNNNNNNNNNNNNNNNNNNNNNNNNNNNNNNNNNNNNNNNNNNNNNNNNNNNNNNNNNNNNNNNNNNNNNNNNNNNNNNNNNNNNNNNNNNNNNNNNNNNNNNNNNNNNNNNNNNNNNNNNNNNNNNNNNNNNNNNNNNNNNNNNNNNNNNNNNNNNNNNNNNNNNNNNNNNNNNNNNNNNNNNNNNNNNNNNNNNNNNNNNNNNNNNNNNNNNNNNNNNNNNNNNNNNNNNNNNNNNNNNNNNNNNNNNNNNNNNNNNNNNNNNNNNNNNNNNNNNNNNNNNNNNNNNNNNNNNNNNNNNNNNNNNNNNNNNNNNNNNNNNNNNNNNNNNNNNNNNNNNNNNNNNNNNNNNNNNNNNNNNNNNNNNNNNNNNNNNNNNNNNNNNNNNNNNNNNNNNNNNNNNNNNNNNNNNNNNNNNNNNNNNNNNNNNNNNNNNNNNNNNNNNNNNNNNNNNNNNNNNNNNNNNNNNNNNNNNNNNNNNNNNNNNNNNNNNNNNNNNNNNNNNNNNNNNNNNNNNNNNNNNNNNNNNNNNNNNNNNNNNNNNNNNNNNNNUACGAAAUCCAUGGUAAUGCACUCCCACUUCCACUCUAGUAUAGGCAUCUGCUGAAGUAGGCCACCAUGCCCCUAGUGUUCAUACUUGACCUGCUGGCAAUUCAAACACCUAGCCACAUACUCCACUAUGUCCUUCUUCAUCCUCUGCCACCAAUAAUGUUGUCUCAAGUCACGAUACAUCUUCGUAGCUCCCUGAUGAAUGGAAUAACAUGAAUUGUGUGCCUCCUCUAGAAUCCUCUCCCUCAGACCAUCAACAUUAGUUACACAUAGACAACCCUGGAGUCGCAAAACAUCAUCCUCGCCAAUAGAAACCUCCUUGGCACCUCCCUGAAUCACUAUCUCUCUAAGAACCGCCAAAUGUGGAUCAUCGAACUGUCGGGCCUUGAACUGCCCCAAUAAUGAAGACUAAGCAACAACACACGCAAGAACUCAACUGGGGUCCAAAAUGUCCAACCUCACAAGUCUAUUAGCCAAGGACUCAAUGUCUAAAUCUAGGGGUCUCUCCUCUACUGGAAUGAAUUCCAAGCUACCCAUACUCUGCCUUGCCCGGACGAUAAAGAAUGGUGAUGUCAUAAUCCUUCAGUAACUCAAGCCGCCUGCGCUGCCUGAAAUUAAGAUCCCUCUAUUUGAACAAAUGCUAUAAGCUGCAAUGAUCCGUAUAAAUCUCACAUGCCACCCCAUACAGAUAAUGCCUCUAUAUCUUAAGAGCAUGAACGAUCACGGCCAACUCUAGAUCAUGCACAGGAUAAUUCUUCUCAUGAAUCUUCAGUUGGCGCGAAGCAUUGGAAAUAACUCGCCCCUCCUGCAUCAAUACACAUCCUAAUCUAACGCGUAAAGCGUCGCAAUAUAUCGUAUACAUCCCUGAACCAGAAGGCAACACAAGAACUGGUGCUGUAGUCAAGGCUGUUUUGAGCUUCUGAAAGCUCGCCUCACAAUCAUCAGACCAAUAGAAAGGAGCACCCUUCAGGGUCAGUCUAGUCAGAGGUGAUGCAAUAGAUGAAAACCCUGCACGAAUCAUUUGUAGUAACCUGCUAACCCUAGGAAACUCCUAAUCUCGGUCACCAAAGUAGGACGUGGCCAACUCUAAACUUCCUCAAUCUUCUUGGGGUCCACCUUAAUACCCUCUCCUGACAUAACAUGCCCCAAGAAUGCCACUGACUCCAGCCAAAACUCACACUUAGAGAAAUAUAGCUUCUGCUCUCGCAUGGUCUGAAGCACUACCCUCAAAUGCUGCUCGUGCUCCCCCAGGCUACGGGAGUAUAUCAAGAUGUCAUNNNNNNNNNNNNNNNCUUCGAAACAUCUGAGUCCCGAAUCUUCAGCUGAUGAUACCCUGACCUCAAGUCAAUCUUGGAGAAAACCCUAGCACCCUGCAACUAGUCAAACAAGCCAUCGAUACAAGGCAACAGAUACUUGUUCUUGAUGGUGACUUUGUUCAACUGGAGGUAAUCAAUGCACAUCCGUAUAGUCCCAUCCUUAUUCUUCACAAAUAACACUGGUGCACCCCAAGGCAACACACUGAGUCUAACAAACCCCUUUGCUAACAACUCCUCAAGCUACUCUUUCAACUCCAUCAGAUCCAUACGGUAUAGUAGGGUUGAUAUAGGCUGGGUGCCUAGAGCCAAAUCAAUACACAAAUCAAUAUCACGAUCUGUUGGCAUGCUAGGAAGAUCAGAAGGAAACACAUCGGCGAAUUCUCAAACUACUGGAACUGAAUCAAUCAUUGGAGAAUCUGCGGUGGUAUCCCGAACAUAAGCUAAAUAAUCUAGACACCCCUUCUCGACCAUAUGCCGAGCCUUCAGGAAAGAAAUAACCCGGGUAGAUGUAUCAACUAUGGAACUCUUCCACUCUAACACUGGAAACCCUGCUAUCACUAAAGUAACAGUUUUGGCAUGGCAAUCUAGGACGGCGUGAUACAGAGAUAACCAAUCCAUGCCCAGGAUGAUCUCAAAAUCGAUGAUAUCGAGCAAUAUGACAUCUUUUCUAGUUUUGAAACAACAUAGUGUGACCACACAGGACCGGUAAAUCCGAUCCACAACCACAAAAUCACCCACAAGAGUAGACACAUGAACAGGAGCGCCCAAAGGCUCAGGAGAAAUAACUAAUAAAAGAGCAAACAGAGAUGAUACAUAUGAAUAAGUAGACCCUGGAUCAAAUAAUACUGAAGCACCUCUACCAUCGACGGAAAUAAUACCUGUGAUGACGGCAUCUGAGGCCAAUGCAUCUAGCCUGGCCGAAAGGGCAUAAAAUCUGGUCGGAGCUCCGGCUGGCUGGCCUCCACCUGACUGAGCAGUAGCUGGCUACCCUCUCCCUACCUGGCCUCCAUCUCUAGGAUGGACCCUACUAGUCUGCCCUCUACCACUAGGUAGCGGGGUAGCUGAUGUUGAAUUCAUAGGCUACUGACCCUACUAUACUGCCAUGACCCAAAGCCUGGGGCAGUAUCUCCUCAUAUGACCAAGGUCUCCGCACUCAAAACUUCCUCGUGGUGCGGCGACCUGCUACCCUGAUGUCUGAACCUGAUGGCCUGUAGACCCACUGGAAGAAGCCUGAAUAGUUGAUGGAAGGUAUGAACUCUCUGGCAUAUCACUGAAAUAAGAAACAGAAGAACCCUGUGGACCUGAAUAACCGCCAGAGGAACCAUGAAUAGUUGGUGGGCGGUAAGAACUCUCAGGCAUCGCACUGAAAUAUAGUCUCACUGGAGCACCUUAGGGAGGUGGUGGUGGUGCUGAAUACGCGGGUCUGCUGGGAUGACCUCUUCCGAAGUGACCUCUACCCCUAGCUGGGGCACCUCUGAACUCUCCCGAGAACUAGGCCAUCUUGUCCUGCCGAAUCUGCUCUCUACCCCUCUGGCGAUAUCCUUCAAUCAUGCGAGCAAUCUCUACUACUAGAUGAUACUCAGUACCCAUCUCCACCUUUCGGGCCAUGAUAGCUCGAAUACUGGGAUACAACCCCACAACAAAUCUCCACACUCUAUCUGCGUCAGUAGGAAGUAUCAUGAGUGCAUAACGAAAAAACUCAGAAAACCUCACCUUAUAAUCGUCACGGACAUCUGAUCUUACUCUAGAUGCUCAAAUUGAUACCACAACUCUUCCCUCUCAAAGGGUGGAAUGUACCUAUCCAGUAAUAACUGUGCGAACUGACCCCAAGUGAGGAGAGGGGAACCUGCCGGCCUGCCAAAAACAUAAGACUACCACCAUCUACGGGACCUGCCCUCUAGCUGAAAAGUAGUGAAGUCAACCCCAUACGACUCCAAUAUCCUCGUGUUGUACAGUCUGUCCCUACACAUGUCUAUAAAGUCCUGGGCAUCCUCUUGUCGCUCACCCCCGAAGACAGGUAGGUGAAGUCUGGUCCAUCUAUCCAACAACUUCUGCGGGUUGCCAUCCGUAGCUGGUCUAGGCUAGGGCACCACUACAGCCACUAGCUGGGACCCAUUUGCGGGUAGUGCACCCAAAGUCUGAUACACUGUAGCUACAUGUCCAGGAGCCUGAGUAGUAGGGGUCUGUGCUCCCCCUGCUACCUUUGAUGUAGCUGGAUCUGCUAGAAAUAAACCAGCCUGAGUCAUAGAAUCCAUGAACCGCAGUAUACAACCCAUGACCUCCUGGAAUCCUAGUGCUUUCAUAAACUCUGUCGGGGUAGGCUUAGCUGUGGGCACCUCGCCCUGCUCCUAGAUGAUAGGAUCUCCUGUAGGAUCUGCUGGUGGUACUACUGGGAUAACUCUGGGCUGCCCUCGCCCCCUACCUCGGGCUGGUGCCCUCCCCCGACCUCUGCCUCGGCCUCUAGGAAUGAGGGAAGCAGCUCUGCCUGGGUCUGGAACAUCAGUCGUGCAUGUCCUCACCAUUUGUGAGAGAAUAGAAGAGGGAAACUUAGCAUAACAACCAUUGCACGAUUGGAAAUGAAAAAAGAGUAGUUUUUCCUAAUUCUCUAAAGCCUCUCGAAGAUAAAUACAGAUGUCUUUGUACUGAUCUGCAAGACUCUAUUAGAUUUACCCAUGACUUGUGAGACCUAUGUGAACCUAGUGCUCCGAUACCAUGUUGUCACGACCCAUUUCCAUAACAGAUCAUGAUGGCACCCAACACCGUUGUCAAGCAAGCCAACGCGGAAGUAUUAGUAAAUUCUUAUUUUACUUACCCAAAGAAGUUACAACAUUUCUUAAUUGCAAUCAAAACAUGUGAUAAUAUGCAACAUUCGAUAAUGAUUAUACAACCCAAAAGAAACGUAUACUAAUGUGAGUGCCAAGACCUAGUAUCACAAGUUGUGGGCAACUAGUAGAAUAUACAAAGAAUAAAUCCAUCCUACUGUCCGAAAUCGAAUAGAUAGCAAAAAUAAAUAAAGAGAGACUCCUUCGAGCCGCUGAACGGCAUAGGAAGGGGCAGCUCACCGUGGAAGUCUCGGACUAUGAAUCAGGGGCACACACCAGACUGAUAGCCAGAUGUACCUACCUCAGAUCCUGUACAAUUAAUUAUAGAAGUGUAGUAUGAGUACAUAAAUAGUAUGUACCCCGUAAGUAUCCCGUCUAAUCUUGAAGAAGUAGAGACGAGAGGUCAACUUGAUACUUACUAAGGUCAAAUAAUAUAAUGAAGUGUUACACUAAGCAAGGGAUUCACAAAUAAUCAACAGUUUGUAGCAAGAGGUAAUAAGUCAUGUUCUUGACAAUUUUACAAUUAGCCAUUUACAUUUCAAAUAUUUAGCAGGUCAAGUAAUGGAUAAGAUUUCACAUAGAUAUCAUGCGCACAUUAUGCCGAGGUCAACUGCCCGAUCCCACAAAAAAUAAAUUGUGCACUGCCAGAGGGUCGAAUGGCGCGAACCAUAGAUGCAUCUAUUUCUACCGAGACGAUCGUCCCAAUCCACAAUUUAUAUCAAGAAACACAUGAAUGCGCACUUAUUUCAAGAUAAAUUUGUACAAGUGUCCAACAUGUGUAUAUAUUUGCUUAUAUUCCUUUCCAAAUCUCUAGCAUGUCUUAAGUGAUCACAUUAGCAAGAAAAUAUAGAGACAUUCACAAACAUAAAAAAAUACGGGUCCUACACUACCUGGACAAUUAACAUAAUAGUAGCUACGCAUGGACUCUCGUCACCUAGUACGUACUUAGCCCCCGCAUUUAGUAGAAAAUUACUCAAUUAUUACACCUACGAGGACAACUCCCUCUUACAAGGUUAGAAAGGAGACUCAGCUCGCUCCAAAGCGCACUUCCAAUACAAAGAACGAGUCCAAACCCUCAAUUCGGAGCCGAACUAUCCAAAACUAGAUAAAUGAGGUAGGAACUAAUCAAUAUAAGCUCACAAAAUCGUAUUCUAACUAUUUAAGCAAUUUCCCAUCCCUUACCACAAGUUUCCUAAAACCCGACCCCGGGCCCACGUGCCCGGAUUCCGAAAUUUUUCGAAGAAAGUUAUUCGCUAUAACCUAAGGAUCAAUAAUAUAUGAUUUCUAAUUCAUUUCAUAACCAAUUUCAUGGUAAAAUAUAAGUUUUAUUAAAACCCUAGGUCUAGCUCUAACCCCUUCAUUUCUCCAAAUCUUUAGGUGUUAAUCUACCCAAAACUCGAGUGCUAAACUUAGAAAUAAGGGGGAUGAAAUUACCUCAUCAUGCUAUGUGGGAAUCCCUUCUCAAGAGCUCCAAAAUUACUCAAUACCCGUGUGCCAAAUGGUCAAAAACUGCUGGAGCUCGACUUAAAUGAAGCUCACUGCUUCAGCAGUUUCCGCAUCUGCAGUCCCGCAUCUGCGGAAUUGGCUAAAAAGGCUGGGACCGCUUCUGCGAUCUUGAAUCCACUUAUGCGUAGCCGCUUCUACGAUUUGGCCUGGACAGCUCUGGGCCGCAUCUGUGAGGCUACGACCACUUCUAUGGUCUCGCACCUGCGGUCGACCAACCGCAGGUGCGAUUAUGACAGAAUCAGAUGCUUCAGCACUUCUCCAAAUUCCCAACUUCAUCGUCCGUUUGAAGCUUGGGGCUCCCGGGCCUCGCCCGAACAUACAGAUAAGUCUGAAAUGACGAGACAGGCCUCCUCAAACCUUCGGAACGCCCGAAACAUCGCUAAAUCUAAGAGUCACCCCCUAAAACCAAAUGAAUCAAACUUAUGAACUUCAAGUUCUUAAUUUUCCUCUAACGAGCCGAAACGCCCUAAAACUACUCGGAUUGACACCAAAUUUUGUGGGCAAGUCUUAAAUAAUAUAUCGGACCCGUACCGGGCUCCGAAACCAACUUACGAGCCCGAUAGCCAUCGAAUCAAUCAUUAAUUAGUUUCCUUAAAUCCUUAGAAUUUCAAUUAAACAAUUUCUAAUAAAAAUUCAUUACUCUGGCCAAGGACCUCGGAAUUCGAUUCCGGUCAUACGCCCAGGUCCCAUAUUUUCCUACGGACCUUUCGGGACCGUCAAAUCAUGAAUCCGGGUCUGUUUGCUCAAAAUGUUGACCAAAGUCAAACUUAGCCUUUUAAGAAAAUCCUUAGGAGUCAAAUGAGCAUAUUUCACUCUAAACUCUUCCAAAUCCCAAACCAACCAUCCCCGCAAGUCGUAAAUUAGUUAAAGCAGGCGCGGGAAGUUUUAUUUAGGGGAACGUGGUUCUGAAGAGCAAAAUAACCGGUCGGGUCGUUACACUAAUCUUCAUUGAAGUCUCGCAGCAUUUAAGAUCUCGGCAUGAAGACCACAAGCAUGACAUGUUAUUGAAAUCUACAUUUAACAGAACUAAACAGAGAAUAAGGAAAAUGACAAGAUUCAGAAAAGAGACAUUCCUGGACAAUGAAAUAUUAAUUCCAUUCGAUAUUUUGAUUUUUGAUUUUUUGUUUCAAUUUUUUAAAGAUAGAAGGGUUUACAUCAGAAAGUAAGACAAUAAAGUAAAACAUCUGUAUCACAUCCUGAGAUAAUCCGGAAGCAGAAGGGAUAGCAAAACUGGCUACCAAGACUCCCGUCUAAUGGGAAACUUUCAUGUUUGGCGACCAUUUUUUGGCUUUUCUUCUGUAUUGGCAAUGGCUGCAAUGGCCUUUAGCGCCAGAUCAAAUUCCUCAUCUUCACAAAUCAUUCCGAUUAUUGGCCCGCUGUUGUGUGUAGGCAACAGAUUGUUNNNNNNNNNNNNNNNNNNNNNNNNNNNNNNNNNNNNNNNNNNNNNNNNNNNNNNNNNNNNNNNNNNNNNNNNNNNNNNNNNNNNNNNNNNNNNNNNNNNNNNNNNNNNNNNNNNNNNNNNNNNNNNNNNNNNNNUGGUAUUCACAUCUAGCAUCAGCUCAGUGCGAGGGGGACCUAGGGUUCGGUCGGUUUGGGGCCACUAGCUGUAAUAGAUCUAGCCUGAUUAGUUUUUGGAUCAAGCAUGAAUACGUUUCACCAAUAGGGGUGAACUGAUUCUUUCUGAAAGGCUCUCUUGGGCGAGGAUUGUAGUGGGGAUCAUUUGGUUGAGGAUUAUAUGGAGCUUGGUAAGGAUGGGCAUUUCUGGGAGGUGGAGCUCGGUUUUGUGUAUAAUGUUGUGGCUGGAUGUAAGAUUUUGCGCUGAUCACCGCAUAGGGAGGCGGUGCCACGACAUAUGCAUCAUAUUGAAGGGGAUAAUAGUGCGGUGGGACCAUAGGAGGCACAUAUGACUGGCUGAAUGACCUACGGGCCCCCUUCGAGCUUCAAACCAACAUGGCUCCCUCCUCACUACCAUUUCUGUUCAUCAAACCUUCUGAACCAUUUUGAACAUCUGGUGAUAUGGCUUUAAAAGUAGCAUGACUCAAGAUUCGACCCAUUUUUAGACCGUUUCCAAUCGCUUCCCCAAUUUUGAUAGCCUCAGCGAACGGCUUACCCACAGCAGAUAUCAUGUUCUGGAAGUAGUCAGCCUCUUGGGCCUGCAGAAAGACCGUGACCAUUUCAGUUUCGUCCAUUGGAGGCUUUACCCUGGCAGCUUGCUCACGCCAUUUGACAGCAUAUUCGCAGAAGCUUUCCGCGGUUUUCUUUUUGAAAUUGGACAAAGAGUUUAUGUCGGGAGCGAUGUCCACAUUAUAUUGGAAUUGGCGGACAAAAUCUCGGGUCAUAUCGUCCCACACGUGCCAAUGGGUAAUUUCUUGAUCCGUAUACCACUCAGAAGCUGGUGAGACUUUCCCCAAAAUACGCCAUUAGCAGCUCCUCUUUUCCACCAGAACCCCUCAACUGGUUACAGUAUCAUUUCAGAUGAGCGACCAGGUCUCCAUGCCCGUUAUACUUUUCAAAUUUUGGCAUCUUGAAGCCAACUGGCAAGUGGACAUGGGGAAACAUACAGAGGUCAGAGUAUAAGACACUCUUUUGGCCACUCAGACCUUGCAUGUUUUUCAGGCUUUGUUCUAAGCUCUUCAUCUUCCGAGCCAUUUCUUCUUGCUCAGGAUUUUUAACAACUUUUUCUUGCUCCCCCAAAAGAUCGUAUUGCGGAGGUUGAGUGAAAGAGUACAGGGUCACAUAUGUUAUUUUUGAUUGAAGUUGUGGACCCUGAAAGGUGAACAUUGGAGGGUCAACAUACGGUCGUGGUAUAGUUGGUUGUGUUCUUGUGCAGACUAGUGCUGUAGAGAACAAUAUUGGAGGUGCCCAAGAAACUGACGCCUGGGGGCGAACCACAGAAGGCAUGCCAAGAUCAUUGAACGGCAUUGGAGGGUGCCCGCAUAGGAUGAGCGGGUUGGGCACAUGGGCGUUGGUAACCUCACUUGACGUGGGAUCAACUCAGGGAACCCAGGGAUUGCACUUGGUGGUUCCCUACCAUUAGACUAGGCAUCCACAUUUCUAAUAUGCGAAGGCGCAACAUCUUAUUCUCUUCAGCAACUACUGAUUCUAGCUGUAGAAUAGCCGAUGUCGGGCUAUCCUCAGGAUUAAUGAUUGGUAGAUUGCUUGCGGAGGCCAUCUGUGCCUUUGGAUUUUGUGAAAGAGGGGAGGCUAGACUACCAACAAAACCAACCACCAAAACCUGGCUAGUUUGCACAUCGAACAACCUUGUUAGUUUUGAGAUGCUUAACAGAUAGAAAAUCGCAUGUUUGGAUGCAAUGCACCUAAACAGUUAAACAUUUCAACCAUAUGUUUGAAUGGUCGCAUGUUUCAUUCCUGUCACGACCCCAAACCCGAACCCGGUCGUGAUGACGCCUCUGAUAAAGACAAAGCCAGCCGACGCUUUCCAUUUUCCAAUUUUUAAUAGUUAAGCAUUAAGAAACAGUCUAAACAUGAUAAAAUAAUCCAAAGUAGCCGAUAAUAUCAUAAAUACGCGGAAGAACAACCCAACAGCUCGAUACGGGAGUGUCACUAGUCAUGAGCAUCUAUAAGUCAUAAUACAAGUCUGCUAAGUCUAUAAGCUAGUACAAAUGUCUUAAAAGAGAUAGAAAUGAUAAAGAAGGAGAAACACGGGACUGCGGACGUCAAGCAGCUACCUCAUGGACUCUGAUAUCUGCCGGGAGCUCUCCACUCGCACUAGCAGGAUCCACAACGCCUGAAUAUGCACACAGGGGUGCAGAGAGUAAAGUGAGUACUCCAACUCAGUGAGUAACAAAUGUAAAUAAAGACUGAAAGCGAAAAAUCACAUAAGGCACAAAGCAUUCUAUAAUGAAGUAGUAAAACUUUUAAAACAGUAAACCAGUGAAAUAUAGGUAAAAUUCUUUAAUUCAAAUGUAGUUUCAUGAAAAACCUUUUUCAAUAAUUAAGUAGGAAAUUGAGAGUCAAUUAUGAAAAGUAAACACAUAAAGGUUCGCCCCUCGGGCACAGUAUCAAUAAAUCCGCCCCUCGGGAAAUAUCUCAAAACAGUACCAGCCCCUCGAGCAAUCACAUAGAACAAUACCAGCCCCUCGGGCUCAAUCUCACAUCAUAAUGGUUACCCGCACUCACUAGGGGUGUACAGACUCCUGGAGGGCCCCUUUACGUCCCAAGCGCAAUAUCAAGCCACCUCGUGGCAUCAUCACUAGGACCGAGGCCUCACAUCAAUCAAAUCACCUCGUGGCGUACAUAUCUCAGGCCCUCGGCCUCAUAAUCAGUAUCAAAUGUUUCCUCACAACAUAGACCCUCGGCCUUACUCAGUAAAAAUCCUCACAUGCCACUCAGGCAAUAGUAAAACAGUCUUUCUCAGCCCAAACAUAAUUUAAAAUAUCAUUUACGCAUUAAAACUUAGUAAACUUGGCUGAGUAUGAGAACAAUGGAAAAUAACAUGACUGAGUUUAAGUAUAAAGUCAAAAUAGUGAGGAAAUACCAGUAAAAAUCUCCGAAGGGUUCAAAUAGUUGGCACGAAACCCAAAUAUGGCAUUCAACCCAAAUAAUGAUGAUAGCAAGUAGAUUUUAGUCAAAUACGCGGUAAAACCAUCAAUCGGGACGAACCAAGUCACAAUCCCCAAUAGUGUACGACCCCACACUCGUCAUCAAGUUGUGCCUCACCUCAAUAUAGCACUACGAUGUGCAAUACGGGUUUCAAACCCUCAGAACAUCAUUUAUAAUCAUUACUCACCUUGAACCGAUCAAAUCUCUAGCUCGCGACGCCUUUGCCCCUCGAAUCGGCCUCCACUCGCGUCGAAUCUAUCCAAAAUCAAAACGAGGACGUCAAAAUAUGCUAAGGGAACGAAACCCAAGCGAAAAUAAUCAAUUUACAACAUAAAUCCCAAAAUUACCAAAACCCGACCCCCGGGCCCACGUCAGAAUUCAAUAAUUUUUACAUCGAUAGAUUUCUUACCUCCCCACGAGUUCAUACAUAUCAAAAGUUCAAAAAUCCGACCCCAAAUGGUCCUUCAAAUCCUCAAUUAAAGGCCUAAGUUCUCAAGCCCUAGUUUCCCCAAUUUUCACCCUUAAUUUCCAUAAAUUUCUAGCUCUAAUCCGUGAAAUAAUAGCAUAGGGACGAGUUUUAAGUCUAAAUUCCUUACCUCAAUGAAGUUCCCUUGAAAUCCCUCUUUCAAAUCGCCCAAAAAGCUCCGAAGCCGAGAUAAAAAUGGUGAAAUAGCUCAAAAUUCGCGAAGGCCACAAUUUAUACCUUCUGCCUAAACAUUUUUACAUCUACGGUUAUAUUUUCGCUUUUGCGGUACCGCAUCUACGGUACUCACUUAAACUCCCCUUUCCGCAUCUGCGAUCAACUUUCCGCAUCUGUGUCAUCGCAGAUGGCGCAGAUGCGGUAUUCCCACCGCUUCUGAGGUUCCUGACGACUUCUCCAAAAUCCACUUCUGCGGUCAACCUUCUGCUUAUGCGGCGCCGCACCUGCGGUCCCCAAUCCAUAGGUGCGAAAAAUAUCAGAAGCAACAAUUUCAGCAGCUGCAACAAAUUCCAAACUUCUCCGUUAACCAUCCGAAAUUACCCUGAGGCCCCCGGGACCUCAGCCAAAAGCACGAACUUAUCCCAAUACCUUAUUCAAACUUGCACCAAUCUUCAAAACACCUCAAACAACAUCAAAUCGACCUAAACACAUCGGAUUCAAGCCAAACUUUCUAAAAUCUUCCGAAUUUCGCUUUUGAUCAAAAACACAAUCAAACCACGUCCGAAUAACCUGAAAUUUUGCACAUACAUCCCAAAUGACAUGAAGGAACUAUUGCAACUCUCGGAAUUCCAUUCUGACCCCUAUAUCAAAAUCUCGCCUACCAACCGGAAAUUGCCAUAAUAUCAACUUCGCCAAUUCAAGCCUAAAUCUACUCUGAACCUCCAAAACUCAUUCCGAUCACGCUCCUAAGUCACAAAUCACCUCCUGAAGCUAACCGAACCAUUGAAACUUACAUCUAAGCCCUCUAACACAUAAGUCAAUAUCCAGUUGACUUUUCCAACUUAUGCUUCCUCAAAAGAGACUAAGUGUAUCAAACCUUACCAAAAUCAUUCCGGAUUCGAUCCGAUCAACCCGAUACCACAUAACACGGAUAAACAUGGCAUAAAAAAGCAUAAAUGGGAAAAACGGAGCGGUAAUUCAUGAGACGAUUGGCUGGGUCGUCACAAUUCCGGUCUUAACUAACCCUUUUCACUUUGUACCUCUUUUUUUUAUUUCUAUCUCACUUUAAUCACCCUUGAUUUGAUUUUAUUUUUCAUUUUGUUUCUGUCGCUCUUUUAAUUUUUGGCACUCUCUUUUCUUUUCUUUUUUUUGUCACUCUUUUUUUUUGUUGCUCUUUUUUUUCACUUUUUCUUUCUUUUUCACUCAAAUUUUUUCUCUUUUUUUAAGUUUAUUUUUCACUCAAUUUAUUUAUAGCUAUGAUCGAAUCCGAUGGGGAUUGCUUACAUAUCAUGACGACGCAUGAAUAAGAUCUUGCGUAGUUCAGGAAGAUCGGGAAUAAAGUAAAUAAGCUAACUCUUUUUUUUGUUUACUUUUAUAAAACUCAGACCAUGGAAGCUUUAAAAAAAGAAAACAUAUUUUUUUUUGGAUUUUGGAUGUUGCUUCUUAAUUUUGAAAGCGGGGCUUUUAAGAAAAUGUUUUGGAUUUCUGAGUUUUUUUUACAAUUUACAAAAAGUACUUCUAAAGAAAAAUGAAAAUAUAUUUUUUGGACUUCAAUUUUUCAAUUCUUUUUUAUGACAUUUACGAAAGAAAGACUUUUAAAGAAUUAAAAAAAAAAAAUUUGGAUUCUUUUCUUUUUCUGAUUCUUUUUUUUUGGGGGGGGGGGGGAUACUUCAAAAUAAAGGAAAUCCCUAUUUUGGAUUUUGAUUUUUUGAUUUUGUUUUUUUUUUCUUUUUUUUCUUUUUUUGACGUAUGAAAGACUUCAAAAAGAAGGAAACUACUUUUUUGAGUUUAAAAACGUUUUUUUGUAUUUUCUAAGGAAAGAUUUCUAAAGAAGGAACUAAAGGAAAUAUUUUUUUGGAAUUUUAUUUUUUGAAAAUUGGGGCAGGAACCAAUGAGGUUUGCCUACGUAUCUCACAUCCGAUAAGAAUCAGACCCACGUAGUUCGGUCGGUUUUGACGGAACAAGGGAAACAUGACCUUGAAAAUUUUGGCUUGAUUUGAAAAGACUUUUCUUUUUCUUCAGAAUAUCGGCAGAGUUCCAGAAUUUUCUAAAUAUCCAUCUCACAUUUUUUUUGAUUUUCUUUCCCUAUUCUAGAAGCCGGUGAACAUGCAUGCCGAACUAAACAGAUGCGUAUGCAACACGUAAGAUGCAUCAGGAUGGUCUUAUUAUUUCGGGUGCACCUGUCCUAAACGGACCCAACCCCUGUGUUGAGUUCCCAAAGUCAAAUGCACAUGAUGCAAACAAGCGUUCUUACUAGGGAUCCAGCAUGAGACUGAGUUAUUCUAGGUUUAAAACCUAGGUAUAUUAUUCUAGACUUGGUUUACCCGAGCGGACAACUCGAUCUGAGGGGGGGCUACGUACUUGAAACCAAAAGGUCAUCCGACUUUGUAACUUGUCCGAGCCUCUUUCUAAUUUAAGGCAUGACACUAACAGAAGAGGAGUCACGCCAGCGUGCACAUCCUCGAAGAUGAGAAGAGAAGAGUUUCAUAACAGUUUAUAUAUAGUUCAAAUAAUAUCAAAGAGGUAAAAAGCGACAUUUAGCACAUUAGGCCCAAAUAUGUAAAAAUCAGAUAAUAAACAAAGCCAGGUAUAACAGUUAUUCUAAGCUCCAAUUCUUGAACCCUGAACCGAAAGUUCUUGAUUUUAUCCCCAGCAGAGUUGCCAGAGCUGUCAUACCUAUUUUUACACCCGAGGGUAUAUGAGAGUUUUUUCCAAUUUAAAGUGACAUUAACUGAAAUGAGAUUAUUUUAUUUAAUUUAUCAAAGUAACCACUUGAAAUAAUAUAUGGUGUUCCAAGUCACCGAUAUAUUUAAUAUCCCAAAUCGAGAAAAUUUCGAUUUUAUUUUAAAGUCUGCGAACCAGAAAUUCUAGAUAAAGAAUUCUGUUAACCUAGGAGAAGGUGUUAGGCAUUACCGAGUUCCGUGGUUCUAGCACGGUCGCUUAAACUAUUAAUAAUUGGCCUAUUAGCUGAUUUACUACAUGUUUUAAUCUAUUGUGCAUUUUUAGCUUUAUAGCCGCUUUUAGUUAGUUUAUGGAAUUAAUCUGGAACAAGUUACGAUUUUCGUACACCUGUUUGUUUGAUACACAUUGCAAAUUAUAUCACGGGAACCAUACCCACGAUCUACAACGUGUUUAAUUCUUAACAUUAUUAGUUGUUGUGGCCGGGUCAUAUAAAUGUACCCCCGAAUUUGGAAAUUAUGUAUCACAACUACGUCACGGGAACCGUACCCGUAGCCAUGAUUAUUUUAUUAUAAACGUGCAUAAAGCAAACUACGAAUGUUCAAAAUGUUUUCUAUACUAAGUUAAUAUUAAAGUGAGGGCCAUAGCUUAUGGAUUUUGUUUGCGUAUGGCACACCACAAUUUAUUUUAAAAGAAAAGAUUUGUAGUUCUCUAAGGCAAACUAAAGAUGCUCCUACUUUAAUCUAAUUAAAAAUUAGGUAUCACAACCACGCCACGGGAACCGUAUUCGUAGUUGUAAUAAUUUUAAUUGCGUGCCUAAAAAAAACUACGAAUGUUUAAUUAUUUCUAAGUUUGAGAUUAUUUUAAAACCAAGAGUUAUGAAAAUUAUUUAUUGCAAUCAAUUAUGAGUGAAAUCAUAUUUACAGAACCAAAGUGUAGAGUUUUUGCGCUAACAAUUUAAAUCCUUGAAGCUAGCGUGAAAUACAUCCAUGGGGUGCGUCGAUAAAACAAGGGCCGAUGGUAAAGGAAAUUAAUUAACAAUGAAAGCCAUAAAUUUUCUAAACUCAGUUAAAAGGUUCAACAAUCCCUUUAUAAGAGAAAUUUGGAAUCGUACACUUCGAUCCAGUACAAUAUAUUUUCCAAACUCAGUUAAACAGAAAUACUGAAUAUACAGCACCACCUUCCAAUUCCAAUUUCAAUAAUCUAUACUAGAGCUCGAGACAUUAUCUGCAAAAAAGAUUUGUAAACAGUCAUCUUUUCAUAAUCAUAUUAAGAAGCCUUUCACUUUCUUGGACACCCCCCCUUCUUACAAAGCAUACAUAAAAUCUUAUUAAACAUAGUAACAUCAGGAGUUAUUCUGGGCCUAAGCAUUUAACCAAAUUUAGCCAUGUAAAACCUACUGCUCAAAAAAUUACAUAAACCAAACAAUAAUCUAGUCCUCCUUAAUGAAACAUAGAAAAUCAAUAAAGAACUAAAAUGAUAGCUAAUCUAACAAAUAUUCCAUAUAUGGCAUCACGAGAAACAAAUCUAAAAAUUGAAUAACAAAUAGAGUUAGAGUCGGACCUUUAUGAACGAAUUGGAACUCAAACCUCAAACCGUAAACAAAGAGCAACGAUCUCAAAUCGAACCUCGACGGCAAACCUAUCUUGUCGGCGACUCUGCCAUUUUGUGUGUGCAAAGGGGCUGUUUUUUAAUGGAGAUAUGUGGAGUUUAUAUGGCUGAAAAAAUGGUGUGAAAAGCUACUGCAUUUUGGUCGGAGAAGGAGAUAGCUGCGCUUUUUUUUUUUGCCAACUGCUGCUCCUCUUUUCUUUUUAAAGUCUGAUCCCCACUCAAUUGUUUCCUCCAGUUCUUUGUUCAAUUCUCAUCCCCUUCUUUGCCGUUUUCCCCCAAUUCUCUUAAUCUCUUUUCUUUUUUUUUAAUCCUCAAAUCCUUUUUCCCUCACUGUCACGUCCCUUUCUAUGUAUGUGUGUCAUUGGGAUUUUUCCGUGGGAGGAGGUCCAGCCGUUGGGUGUUUUUGACCGUUUUCCAGCUUUUUUGUGUUUAGGAUUUAGGAGAUUUGUAGAUUGGUAGAGUUUGGUUAUAAUUGGGUUUAAAUAUAGGUAUAAGAAUUGACAUGGGCCAUUAGAUUGGAGGAAAAUCGAUGACUAGGAUUAAAUCUUGCACUUAAGUGGGCUAACAUGUUAGAAAAUGGGUCUUUGUCUUGUUGGGCUUAAAUAUGUAGGAAGACUAAAACAAUGUAAUGUACUUAUAAAAAAUCUAAAAAUCACUCUUAAUUAAUCAAAAAUAAACUAUUAAAAUAAAACUAAACAUAAAAAUUGAAACUAUUUUUGUAUUUUAUUUUAAUUUUUAAAUACUAAAACAAUAAAAUUAAACUAAUAAAAUGGUAGUAAAAAAAUGGAUUAAAAAUCUAUAAUAACUCAAGUAAAUAUUUAAAAUACUACAACUAACUUAAAAUUGUGCGGGUCAAAAAUUACGUGCUUACAAUCAGUAUAAAGGAAAAAGAAGACGUCCAUUGACGAUGAAAUAUUGAUUCAUUUCAUUGAAUUUGAAGAUAGGAGGGUUUACAUCAAAAUCAAAGACAAUAAAAAUAAAAACAUUCGAGUUACACCCUGAAAUAACUCGUAAUGUAGAAAAGAUGGCAAGAAUGGACUACCGAAAUUCCCGCCCGACAGGGAAUGGGGUAGCCUUCCAAUUCUAAAGCUUGGCAUUUGGUCCCAUGUACAGCACCUCAGCAGUGCUCGUGCUUUCUCCCGGCUGGACCAUGUGGGACUCAUACAACAUCUGUUUCAUUGCCUCACAAAUAUCCUCAAUCUCCUCAGUCGUGAAGGACUCUUCCUCUUCUUCUUCUUCAUACUUGGGUUUAACAAAUGACUUGGCGAGAUGCGGAACAUGCUGAGAAAGGACCCACCCAUUUUUCUUGCGCUUAUCAGCCAUUUUACGUCAACAUUUGUAGCUUGGAAACCUACGCCAAAGAACUUUUUACUACCGAUCAAAGUGAUGGGCUCUGUGAUGCCUUGCAGAGACACCCCGAGCCCUUUCCCAAGUUUGUACCCAUGUUUAAUCAUUUCACUGGCUACCAUGACCGAUUAAUUUGAUAAGCAAGGUUGAGAAAAUGGAGCCCUUUCUUCACAUUUGUCGGCGACGACAAUUUCGAAGGCUUGAUAAACAAUGUGCUCACUUCCUUCUCUAGCUUCGAGACAUAGGGCUGACGAGUCCCUGUAAAUGGACUGUUCAUCCUCCCUGUGGACAACAAUUUCUUAGUUUUCAUGUUCGAACUUGACCAUUUGGUGAGAGUGGAGGGCAUAGCCCCUGCAACGUGAAUCCAUGGUCUUCCUAGGAGAAAGUUAUACGAAGUAUCAUAUCCAGAACCUGGAAAGUGACUUCGAACUUCACAUGGCCAAUGGUCAGAAUCAGCUCUAUUUCCCUUAUCGUAUCGCGCUUGACACCAUCAAAAGCGUGCACACAGACAUUGUUCGGUCUAAUCCUUUUUGUCCCGAUUUCCAUCCUCUAUACCAUUGAAAGAGGGCAAAUGUCGACUUUGGACCCACCGUCUAGCAUAACCCUCUUCACAUAAUAACCUUCACAUUUGACAGUCAAGUGAAGGGCUUUGUUAUGGGCAUCUCCCUCUAGAGGCAAGUCAUCGCGGCUAAAGGAAAUCCGGCUAACUUCGAAAAAUCGCUUAGCCAUUCUUUCCAAUUGUUCGACUGAAGUUUCAAUCAGGACAUAGGCCUUAUUCAAUGUUUUCAGAAGCACCUUCUGAUGUUCAUUUGAGCUCAUCAGCAAGGACAAGAGUGAAAUCUGGGAAGGAGUGUUCCUGGGUUGAUCAAUUAUGGCAUAUUCCAAACUUUUCAUUAUUCGGAAGAACUCUUCUGCCUCUUCAGCACUCACAUACUUCUUGGGUGGAAACCAUUUCUCCUUGUUUAGCUUUGAUUUGUUCAUCUCUUCUAGGUUGUGGUAUCUCCCAGAUUAGUUCAUUUCAUUUACUUCUCCUAUAAUCUCUUUCCCAUUGUAAGUAACCACUAUUUUGCUGUAAUUCCAUGGGACUACAGUGGGGUCUCUCAUAGGGAUCUAUGGUGUGCGGAUGAUAACCACAGGCUCAGUCAGCCUUGGUGAAAUUACCGCCCUCUGUGCCACUAGGUCCCUUUUGGUACAUACAAUUUUGGCACAUUCAGCACGACUUUCUUUUGCUCAAAUCUUUUGGGAGGGUUCAACAUGAGCUGCUCUUUCCUCAGGGCCCUGGGAACAUAAAGAAUUGCGUCUUUAGUAGGUGUUGCUCCAGCUUUUGUUUCCACAGCGUUUUUUGCAACUUGAGGAGUUGGAGUGAUUUUCUUCUGCUCAUUCCUGGCCUAUUUCGCUGCCGCUUUAGGUCUUACCUCUGAAUUAGCAAUGGCGAUGAUAGCUUUCAAAGCCGGAUCAAACUCUUUAUCAUAACAAAUCAUUCUAAUGACCGACCCGUUAUUGUGAGUCGGUAAUGUAUUGUUAGUCACAUUAGGGAUUUCCUCAUCCCUCUGCACCACCCGCUUCUAUUUUAUCAUGAUCUCUUGAGAGUCCAACAAUUCUCCGUAUCAUGUCCCUCUACCGCUGAAUGAUAUGGACACUUGGUGUCGGGCCAGUAUGAUGGAGAUUUCGGAUUUUGCUAGUUUGGAGGCACAGGUUGCAAUAGACCCAUCUGGACUAACUUCGGAAACAGGCUAGAGUAAGACUCACCAAUAAGGGUAAAUCACUUUUUCCGAGAGGAUCACGGGGGCGUGUAUUAUGUUGAUAGUUAUUCUAUGGUGGAUGAGGUUAUAUGGAUCUUCGUGAGGAUGGUUAUUUCUGGGAGGUGGGGCUUUGUUUUGGUUGUAGUACUGUUGUGGCCAUGUGUAGGGUUGGGAAUUCAUCACCACAUAGGGAGGCAGUGCCACGGUGUAUGUUGCAUCUUGGUAAGGGUAGUAGUGUUGCGGGGUUCUGGGAUGCGAGCAAGAAUAAUUAUGGGAUCGACGAGGGUUUCUCGAACUUGAAGCCAUCAUGGCUCCUUCUUCCCUCUUCUUCUGAUUUGCUAAACCUCUCAAGCCGUUCUAGAUGGCUUGGGAAGUGGCUCUUAAAUCUGAAUGACUUAUGAUGCGGCCGGCUUUCAAGCCGUUUUCUACCGUUUCUCCAAUUUUUAUGGCCUCCAUGAAUGGUUUGCUCAUGGCAGACAUCAUAUUUUGAAAGUAAUCGACCUCUUGGGCCUAUAAGAAAACAUUUACCAUCUCUGCUUCAUCCAAUGGCAUUUUCACUCGAGCUGUUUGCUCACGCCACUUGAUAGCAUAUUCACAAAAAAUUUCCAUGGUUUUCUUCAUAAAAUUGGUCAAGGAAUUCCUAUCUGGGGCUAUGUCGACAUUAUAUUGUAAUUGCCUUACAAAAUCUCGGGCGAGGUUGUCCCAUAUAUGCUAAUGGGAGAUGUAUUGGUCCAUGUACCAUUCUGACGCAAUUCCUCUUAAGCUCUCCCCGAAAUAGGCCAUCAAAAGUUCUUCCUUUCCACCCGCCCCUCUCAACUGAUUGCAAUAUCUUUUCAAAUGGGAAAUAAUGUCUCCAUGCCCGUCGUAUCUUUUGAAUUUUGGCCUUUUAAAGGCAAUGGGCAAAUUAACGUGAGGAAACAUGCACAAAUCGGCAUACGAAACACUCUUUUGGCCACUCAGUCCUUGCAUGUUCUUAAGACUUUGUUCGAUGCUUUUUAUCUUCCAGACUAUCUCUUCUUGAUCGGGGUUCCUCACGGUUCUUUCCUGUUCCAUGGGAGACUCAUAUCGGGGGUGCUAAGAGUAGGAGUUUGGGGUGACAUAAGCAGUGUCUAAUUGAAAUUGUGGUACUUGAAAAAUGAAGGCUGGCGGUUCGAAACAUGGCCUAGGCAACUUUGGUUGUGCUGUAGUAGAGACUCGUGGUGUGGUGAAUAUUGUAGAAGAUACUCUCGGAAAUGGUGCAUGGGGGUGAACCUCAGAAGGCAUACUAGUGAAAUUAGAUGACAUAAUGGGGUACCCAAAAGGGAUGAAUGGGUUGGUUACGGGAAUAUGGACAUUGGAGGUUUCGCUUACCCUGGGAAGCAGUUCGAGAAAUCUGGGGAUUGUACCAGGCGGUUCUUUUCCAUUAGACCAAGCAUCCCAUAUCUCUAAUAUACAACAACGCAACAUUCUAUUUUCUUCAUUAACGGUUAAUUCUGACACUAGAUAACUGAUACCGGGCUAUCCUCUUAAGGAUUAAUAAUCGGUAGAUGACUUUCAGAAGCCAUAUGGAUACAACCUUUGGAUCUUAUGAAAUAAGGAUGGGAAGCCAGACUACCACAAAACCAACCACCUGAAACAAGACCUAUUUCAUUGCCGCACAACAAACCAGUUAGUUUGAGAAAUUUAACAGAUAGGGAAUCACAUAUUGGGGAUACAAUGCACUUGAAUAGUUAAAUGUGCCUAAAUGUUUGCAACGGCUGUGCGUCUCAUCCUGGAUUUGCUAUUUCUUUUCUCAACUUCCAAGUCCUGAAUCUUUUUCUUCCUUUUUCGCUCUUUUAUUUCCUCACGUUUUCCCUUUUUUCAUUCAAUUUUCCUUUUUCUUUCUCUCCUCUUUAAAUUCUUUUUGGUUCAUUUUUCAAUCACAUUGUCUAUGAUUAUGAUUGAAUCCAAUGGGGAUGGCCUACGUAUCACGCUGCCGCAUGAAUCAGAUCAUUACGUAGUUUAGGGAAUAAAUAUGGAAUAAAAAAAUUAGGUUUACAAUAUUUCAUUAAAUAAAAAUAUUUUUGGGUUUUUUCUAUUACAAUGACUCUGACAUACAGACUUAACUAUGAAAUAGACUUGGAAAAGACUAACAGACUCGAUAAGGCGAAAUACAGACUCGAAGCUAAAAGAAAAUUAGAAAUACAUAAGAGCCUCCAAUGCUACUUUAGGGGCCCGCGGGACAUCAGUCGAUCUUGACGGGGGCCUGUGUAUGAUCUCUUCUUGGAGGUACUCUAAAUCAGCCAUCACUUGACGGAAAAAGGUCAUUACAGCAGCAAAGAACAUGGACCUGGUCAUAUCCUCUAUUUCAUGGCACUUCAUUGCAAUAUAAUCAACAAUUUCUUUAGUCCUCAUUCUAAUGACGCCCUUUUCUUGGAGUAGGCGUCCAAUUUGCUGAGACCGGACCUCCAAGACCUAUGUGGCCGUGUGGUUUUGCUCUUGCAAUUGCUUCAUGUCUUCUUCCAAUUGGGACAUCAAUGUAUAACAAUGCUCUCUUUCCGCUUUGAAGUUCUUUGUUUGCUUGACCAUUUCAUUUUCAAGAGUAGUUAGCUUCUUCUUUAAAAACGUGACUCCUCUGUCAUACUUUUGCCUUAGCUGCUGAGCAAACCUGGUCCAUUUUUCUACAUUCUUUGCCAAUUCUGCCUGAGCUUUUGCCAAUUCAUCCUCGGCCUUUGCCAGGUCAAACCAAUAAUCUUGAACCUUUAAUCUUAAACUGCUUAUGAGUUUUACAUCCUUCUCGCCUCUAACAUGCAUUUUAGCAGCUAUCCUCAUGUCCGGGAGUUGGGCUCGGAGCGCCUUAUUUUCUCGGGUCAACUUUAUCCUUUCACCUCAACUUCUUACGCCUGUAAGUCAUUAUUAAAUAUGACGUUUCUCAAUUUUUCUUCUAAGGCGUGAAUGGUGGCUUGAUAUUUCUUCUCCUUUUCUCCCCAGGCCAACCUUUCUGGGAUAUUAUCAUCAAAAUCCUGAACAUGAGGUCUUUUGGUUGGCCUUUCGGGCUCGGGCUCUAGCUUAGGCACAUCAUUAGCACAAGACCUUCUAUCAAACCAUAUGGCAUAAUCUGGGUCCACUUCUCCGCUCGCGGGAUCUGGUACCUGGGUGUCAUCUUUCAGAUAUCAGCAACCAUUCCAAUCUUGUUGGACUAAAGCCUCGGGUAAUUGAGCUUCUAGUUGUAGCUCAAUUACUUGGGUACUCAAAUCUUCAUCUUCGGGCACCACUUGAUAUCUUCCCAACUGCCUUAAAACUCUCUGGCGGUCCGUAUAGUUGGACACUUCUUAAACCCAUCAACAUCAAAUAACCUUUCAUUGAAGUCAUGUGUAUGACUUCUCUUACCGCAAUCCAUCCCAAAGUCCAUUCAAUCUGGUUUGCCUUCAGAGUUCUUAAAUGGAAGACCCAGGCUUCAAACCCUUCUGGAGAAUUGUAAUCUCUCACCCUCUCCUCAUAACUUCCAAUGAAGUUGUUCUUGCUCGGGCCAUAACUCAUGAACUUGGAGUGAUGGCGGAGGUGCUCGCUCAACCACAUUUGCAAAAGAAUGUUGCACCCUUCAAAAAACUAAUCCCCAAACUUGCACAAUGGUAGUGCUCGAUAGAUGUCCACCAGUGUUAAUAGAGCAAGAGCUGAUCUUCUUUGGCAAUGAGAACUUACGCAAUUCUAGCCAUGUGAAUAUCUAUUGUCCAUUCUGUAUUUGGGAAGACCAUAAUUCCCCGAAAUGCCACUAUGAAAAUAAAGAAACGAUGAAUUUGCCAUGUACUCUGAUUUUGCUUGUUGUUUAGCCCCUUUUCAUAUGGUUCAAACCUAGUUGAGUGCCCAAACCUAGAGUACGUAAAGUAAAAGGAACAACAUCCUUUGUUUAUAUUGUCCUUCCUUAUUUGCUUACUGAUGUUCAAGAGAUCAAAGAAGCGGUGUAUGGAGGGAGGCCUUGGGAAUAUGAGUUGCUGAUUUCUCAAGUGUCGACCAAAACCAACAUAUCCGGCUAUUUUUUCCAAGGUGGGAGUAAGCUCAAAAUUUGAGGAGCGAAAGACGUUGAAAGUUACCAAGGCCUUAAUCAGAUCGUUCCACGGUUUAACAUUCAUGAUGUCUAUGAGAGCGCCCAAAUGCUCUAUUAUCCAAUCUUAACCAUCUUUGUAUAAGUCAUACCAUCACAUUUGAAGUUGCGGUGGAGCCUGCUCUAUGACUGUUACUGGCAGAUUCUGGACAUAGUUCAUUUUGUACCUGUGAAUGGUCGAGGUUAGGGUUGACUUCAGUGGACUCUUUUUGCAAAAUAAGUUUUCAAUUUUCUAAAGAAAAAUCAAAGGAGAGUGGCUACUUAUGGAAUAUUAGCAAUAGGUGGCUAUUUUUUGCAAUAAUGGCCCCUUCACACUUUCAAAUAACGUUUGAGACCGGAGAAGGAUACUUUAUGGAAAAAGUGAUGUCCCGUCGACAUACAUGUCCAUUUUUUUGCGAGAAUAUCCCUUCAACAAUUUGAAGAUGUUCUAAGGCUAUUCCGGAAAAAAGGAUCGAGACAUAACCGAAGCUGGGUCGGCUUAUUCUUUUGACCAAAUCACUUGACAUAUUUAUUUUAUUUUUUGUUAUUCUUUGCAAAAAUAAUGUUGAAUCCUAUGUAGGUUGCCUACGUAUCUCACAUCCGGUGAGAAUUAUAUCGGCGUAGUUCGGUCAAUUUUGACAUGUUACAUCCCAUGAGUUUAAUAAUAUUGACAUCGUUAUAUACGUUUGAUAUGGUUUUUGAGUGGAACAUUUUUUAUAAAAAGUUUGAAAAGUAUGAUUUUAUAUAGUUAUAAAUUUUACUACUUUCGAAUAUGCUUUAAUUAUAUGCAUAAUAUGAGAAAGUUUAUGUGAUUUUCUUUAUUGUAAAGAUAUAAAUUAUUUUCUCACACGAAAAAAAGGAUAUCUUUUUACCAUUUUAAGAAUUAAACAUACGAAUAUUUGUACUAUUUAUAUGAAAUUAGGAAUAUUAUAAGUUGAGAAAAUAUUUGUAUUUUUAUAUGGAUGUUUUAAUAAAAUAAUAGUGUAUGUAUUUAUUUUAUAUGGUACCACAUGACCAUGAUAGUAUGGUGUAUAAGAUAUGUUAAAAGUGAGUAGUAUUUUAAGUAAUUUCAAAUAAUUUUUAAUUAUGUAGAUAAUUGAGUAAUUAUUGAUUUUAAUGGAAGAUUAACUAAUUGAUUAAGACUUUUGGAAUGGUACUAACUCACUUUUCAAUAAAACAAAAAUACGUAUCCAUGUGUUAAGAAAAGUACUACUGUAUUUUUAAACCACGUGUAUUCCCAUUCAAUGUGACAUAUUACUCCUAUUCAUUCAUUUUCUUUACAAUCCUAAUCAAUAUACAUGGCUUUUCUUAUGAAAAUUGUUGCUAUAUACGGGUUACUGUCUUCCGCAUAAUCAGUAGUAUAAAGGACACUCUUCUCUGCUCGUUAAGUCACUAAGUUUAUUUGGUAUCGUGCUAGUUCAAACAUAUGAUGCUAUGCAUCUUCUUUGACGUCUCUUUGCAUAAUAAUUCCUUCUUCGGUUCUACUUAAUUUCAGGCGCGGGUGAUCAUUCCUAAAAGAUGAAGCUAAGCUGUCACUGAUUAUGAUAUUCAUUUUUAAUGGUACAUGAUGCGUGUCUGUUUUUUUUCUUUAGGUUAGGUACUAUUAUAUCAUCUCUUUUUCUGAGAUACCCUUGGGUUGGAAUUUUCUUUCUAUCUAUUUGUGCCCUUCUUCAUGAUAUCUUCAUAUGAUCAUUUUGCCAAAAUAACCCAGGAUGGAGUACUUGAUUUCAUAGCAUCUUAAGCAGUGUGAGAUUUUGCGAUUCUAAGGCGGUAUGGUGCAACCUUUCCUAAGAAUAUCAUGCGGAUUUUUCCUUACUUUAGGUAUGUUAACGCUAUUCCUUCUUUCUUUUGGCAUGAUCCAAGUAACGAUACGUAAGCGUAAUGAUAUUCCAUAAGUGGUUCUACUCUUAGCAAUUAAGGAUGUCUCUAUUAUUCAUUCCUAAAAAGUGACAUUCAAGCAUGUCUAUGUGUAUAUCUAAUUCCCUAUUGAGGUAUAUGAUAGUAAUGUUAAUAUUUAUAAUAUAGUGAUACAUGUAUAUGCAUCUUCAUUCAUUUACCACCGGGCUAUGGCCGGUCGGGCAGUUACCACCAGUUGGGUAGUUAUGUAUCAUUAUUUACCACCGGUUGGGUAGUCAUGCAUACGCAUUUACCACCGAGCUGCGGCCGGUUGGGCAGUUACACAUUUAUCACCGAGCUACGGUCGGUCGGGAAGUCAUGCAUUUACCACCGUGCUACGGUCGGUCGGCCAGUUACUACUGAUCAGUUGUGCAGUCAUGCAUCAUACGAUACGGAUGAUAGAAAUAGUCUUAAAGAGAAGCAUUAUAUAGGUAAAUAUAAUAAGUAUGCAUAAAUGGUUGCACUUUAGAUAUUAAGGUUGAUUCUUAUAUGUUUUUAAUUAAUGUUGACUUAUUGUUAUGUUUCAGUUCUGCCUUACAUACUCAGUACAUUAUUCAUACUGACGUCCUUUUGUUGGGGACACUGCAUUCAUGCCUGCAGGUAUAGACAAUCAGUUUGACGAGCCCUCAUAACAGACAAGAUUGGCAUUCAACGAAGGAUCGGUAAGACUCCACCUCAUUCGGAGUGCAGCCGAGUCUAUGAGUCAUCAUGUCAAAGUUUUGCUACAGACUUAUGGGUAGGCCGGUACCCUUUCCCAUUUGAUGUCAAAUAAUCUUAGAGGCUUUGUAAACAGAGGUUCAUUUUUUUCCAGUAUGUCAAAGGCCUUGACGACCCAUAUGUAUUCAUAUUUUAAGAAAAAUGGUUCGAUGAAAUAGUGUUUUUCACUUACAGUUGUAUAUUAUGAGUUGUGGUCAUGUGGGCGCAUGAUAGUUACAAAAAAGAAUAAGUCCAACUAACUCGAACUAUGUAUGUUCUAGUUUUGGUCGAACGAUAAUGAGUUACAGAGUCGUUCGCUCAGGCUAGCACGACACCGGGUGCUAGCCACACCUCCCUAGGUUUGGAGCGUGACAUGACAUAAUCGAGAAAACAAAAUAUUUAACUCUCUUUGAAAUGACUCUUUUUGUUGUUUUUGUAUUAUUGGUUUUUUUCUUUUCAAUUUUCAACAUUUUUUGAAAAUAUUUUGGCAGAGUUUCGGGACAUUUUCGAAUACCGGGGUUUUUAAAACCGAGUUUAAUUUUUCUCCUACCUCACUCUUGGUUUUUCUCUUGAUGUUCUUUUCCUAGCCGAUCAACAUGCAAGCCGAAGCAAAUAAAUGUAUGAAUAGCACAUAAGAUGUAUCAUGAUGGUCUUUUAUUUCGGGUACACCUGUUCUAGACGGACCCAACCCCUGUGUUGAGUCCCUAAAGUCAAAUGCACGUGAUGCAAACAAGCGUUUCUACUAGAGAUCCGGCAUGGGGUUAUGUUAUUAUAGGUUUAAACUUGGGGGUUGUGUUCUAGAUAUGGCUUAUCCAAGCGGAUAGCCUGAGCCGAGGGGGGGAAAUGUACAAGGAGCAUGAAAGUUUACCCAGCCUAGUUGUUGACCCAACUCCGUUAUAUUUGGUAUGACUUCUAAUAGAAAAGUGGGCCACGCGUACGUACGCACCAUAUUUUUAGAAGACUCAGAAAGAAGGCGUAAGAAGACAGUAUAAUACAGUUCAGAUAAUAUCAAAACGGUAAAUGAGCAGCAAUUCACACAUUAGGCUCACAAACAUGGUAAUUUCAACAAACAAUAAAGCCAAGUAUAGAUUAAUUAACAAGCUCGAAUUCUGAACCCUGAACUAGAGAUUCUGGGAUCGACCCCCAGCAGAGUCGCCAAAGUUGUCACACCUCUUUUUUCUCGAGGGGGAGAUAGGAAGUUUUUUCAAUUUAAGUGAUAUUAAUCGACAUGGGACUAAUUAUUUAAUUUCAUAGUCGCCACUUGGAAUAAUUAUGGUUUCCCAAGUCACCGGUUUAUUUUAAAUCCCAAAUCGAGAAAAAAUGACUCUAUUUUUGGUCCGCGAACACAGAAGACCGGGUAAGAAAUUCUAUUAACCCGGGACAAGGUGUUAGGCACUACCAAGUUCUGUGGUUUUAGCACGAUCACUUUAAUCAUACCUGAUUUAAUUAAAAUUAUUUAAUUACUCAUUUUAAGAACCUAUGUAUAUUUUACCUUUUACCGCUUUUAAUUAUGGUGUUUAUGAAUUUAAUCUUUGAAACAUGCUACAUGUGUGUAAGUCCUCUUUAUUUGAGGUGUUAAAAUCAUAUCCCGCAUACGUGUACACAAUUGAUCAUGCUUUAUUAAUUUUAAGGUUGUUUGGCCGAAGUUUCGCGAAUGCAUGCCUCGAUUUAAUUUUGGAAAUUGUAACUAUGUCACGCGAACGUGUACACAAUCUGUCACGACCCCUGUUCGACUUUUGUAAACAUGUCGUGACGGCACCUAGUUCCUACGACUAGGUAAGCCUAUCAAUGCGGAACAACAUAACUUGCAGAAAUAAAUAAUUAAAACUAAACAACUAGAAGAAAAGUUGUAUAUAAAUGCCGCUUGGCAUAUACAACUCAAUAUCGCGAAAGUCUACAAUAUCAUCCCCCAACACCCGGAAACUCACGGGAACACAAGCUAACAGAAUGUAAUACACUGCUCUAACUCUAGAAUGUCUAAAAACAACAGUACGAAAUGAAGGCUAACUACUAAGAGGUAGAAUAAGAUAUAGACUCCUUGGUCUGCGGAUGCGGCAGAUGUACCUUGAAGUCUUUGCUAGAUCUCUCCGCCUCGGGGGUGAUACGCCUGGGUGGAGGUACCUAGAUCUGCAUAUGAAAAACAUGCGCAGAAGGGGCAUGAGUACACCACAACGGUACUUAGUAAGUGCCAAGCCUAACCUCGGUCGGGUAGUGACGAGGAAGGUUAGGGCCCUACUGAGAUUAAACAUAAUAAUAAAUUUGCAACAUUAUAAAUAAACAGUAUAAAUGAGUAUAGUUAUGAAGUAAGACAGGGUGCACAAGGCAACAAAUAAUACACAGAGAAUAAGGUAACACAGAGUAAAACAGCUCAAUACCAGUAACAACAACGAGGAUCUCCCAAGAUACCUUCCUGUAGUCCAUUUCAUCAACUGUCCAAGGAUCUCGGGAUACAGUCCCGUAGUCCAUCAUAUGUGUAUGUCCGAAUGAUCUCCCGGGAUACCGUCCCGUAGUCCAACUAUCAGUGCGCGAGGAUCUACCAGAAUCCGUUUCGUAGUCCCAAAGUAAAUGUGCAGGGUGAUCUACCGGGAAUCUAACCCGUAGUCCCAAAGUAAAUGUGCAGGGGGGUCUACCAAAAAUCUAACCCGUAGUCCCAAAGUAAACAAACAAGGGGGGAAGCUAUCGGAAUCCCACAUCCGUAGUCCCAAUGUAAAUACGCAGCCACAACAAGAAAAUAUUUAGAAAUGGAGUACAAAAAUACAAGGCAACAGGUAGUUCUAGCCUAAUAUGCUUCACUUAAUACAAACAAAGCAACUUCAGCAAAUAGUCAAUUUAGGUCAACUAGGCAUGAUUUUCUAAUCUAAAAUAGGUUAUAUUUGCAAGUGGGAUAAAUCAGGUAAGAAAGAAACUCAGUCUGAAUAAUUAAAGUAAAACCGGAUUUUCAACAAUUAGCUCAAGUACGCGACCGUCACCUCGCGUACAAGGCAUUCAAUUACCAAAUAUCAUGUCCUAAGGAGAAAGGUCCCCCACACAAGGUUAGACAAGCCACUUAACUCAAACCGGCUCCAAAAUCAACUCGAAACCACACGUUUGCCACGCGUCUACGACUCCAAAUGGACCAAAUCUAUUCAAUUCAAUUACAUAUCAUAAAUAACAUCUCAAGCAAUUGAUUCUAUGAUUUAAUUCAAAGUUAAGACGCGAAAUAAGAUAAAAUGACCAAAACGCCCCUCAGGCCAAUGUCUUGAAAUCGGAUGAAAUUAACAUUUUCAGAAUCCUCGUACUCUCACGGGUCUAACCAUAUAAAAAACUCUCAAAUCGGAGGUCAAACACCCAGUCAAAACUCAAUAAUUCGGUCUAUGAAGUUUUACCAAUUUUUCAUUCAUAAAUCCAAAAUUAGAAGAGGAAUUCAUGCUUAGAUUAGUGGGUUACAAGAAAAAAAAAGUCUAGAAUUGUUACCCAAUCAUUGUCUCUGAAAAACCCUCAAAAUCUCGCUCAAAUCCGAGCUCUCAAGCUUGAGUUUUGAUAAAAAUGGCUAAACCCUCGGUUUUGAAAUGUUUAUAACUGCCCAGAUAUUUUAUGCAUUGUGAAUGCGGAGGAAGUCACGGGUUCGCGAAGAAGGAAAUUGAAGGUUACUAAAUUUUGCUUCGCGAACGCGGAAGCAGACUCGCAAACGCGGAAGAGGAAAAUAUGGUGGCCCAGGAUUACUCUUCGGGAACGCGUGGAACUAUACGCGAAUGUGAAGAGUGGACUUUGCAAAGUACGCGAACGCGAGAGUGGGUAUGCAAACGCGAUGAGGAAAAUAGUGAGAGCCCUCAGCGCCAAAUAGAACUACGCGAACGCGAGGGCUUGGUCAUGAAUGCGAAUGAGGAAAAAGGUGAAGCUUCGCGAACGCAGGAGGCUUCAUGUGAACGCGAAGGGUUAUCAGGUCCUCCUCCAAGAUUACUCUACGCGAAUGCGUGGAGGAGGACGCGACCGCGAAGAAGAAAAAGUCUGCAAUAGCUGAAGCCAAAAAUCUGUAAUUUUAAACAACUCCAAAAUGCCCCGUUGAGCAUCCGAAACACACCCGAGGCCCCCGAGACCGCAACCAAACCUACGGACAUAUCCCAUAACAUCAUUCAAACUUGUACCAAUCCUUAAACCACCUAAAACAAUGUUGGAAACUCAAAUUAAUCAAUAAUUUAAGCCUAAGAACUUCAAAUUCUCUCAAAACAUGCUUUCGAUCAAAACCCUAACCAAACCACGUCCGAAUGACCUGAAAUUUUACACGCACAUUCCAAAUGAAAUGAUGGAACUACUGCAACUUUCGGAACUCCAUUCCGACCCUUAGAUCAAAAUCUCACUAUUGGACCGGAAACUUCAAAAAUUCAAACUUUGGCAUUUCAAGCUUAAAUUAGCUAGGGACCUCCAAAACACAUUCCGACCAUGCUCCCAACCCCGAAAUCACCUAACGGAGCUAACAGAACCAUAAAAUUUCCAUUCUGAGUUCAUCUUCACACUGUUCUGACUACGGGCAACUUUCCAACACUUAAGCUCUCAUUUAGGGACUAAGUAUCCCAAAACUCUCUAAAACUCAAAACCGAACAUCCCAACAAUCCCAAUUAGCAGAAAAAGACUUGGGGAAAGCAGUUAAUAGGGUAUCGGGGCAUUAAUUCUUAAGACGACUGGUCGGGUCGUCACACAGUCACAAUAAUAAGUUAAGCCUCACCUAAAAGCAUUUCUACGAGUGUUCAUUUUGUAAAACCGCAAUCAUGUCACGUGAAUUCGUACAUGAUCACGAUGGUUUGAUUAAUUAAACGCGUCUAAAAGCAUAUUACUGUUUAAUUUCCUCGAAUGUCGGAUUAUAAGAGGGAAUUUCAAACCAAAGGCAUUAAAGUAAGAAAGGUUGUUGUAAUUAACUCACUUAGAAAAUAAUCGGGCUUAGUCGUAACAUUUUAUUUUUAGCCAAACUAAUGAGAUAUACAAUAUUCCUCCUUCUCUUUAUCAAGGUUAACAAUUCUUUUUUUGGGGGGAGGGGGGAAGAGGGGUAGAUGACAUUAAAUUCCUACAACAACAUGGUCAAAGUCCAAAUGGGUUGUCCAGGUUUGUCUACCAGACAGGCUUUCAAAUCGGACUCGCUUAUGGAGUUUGGGCUCAUCCAGCUAAGCCUUAAAUAAACUAUCAGUUGGGUUCACUAUUAGAGCUCAAAUUCAAUUUAAGGGAGCUCUACUAAUUUGGUCUUGCAGAGUUACCAGGCCCAAUGCACAAUUUUAAUACAGAAACAGAUUUCUAUAGGAUUAUCACUCUGAAGCUAUAGAAUCAAAUAUGCAUGUAUUUAACUACAACAGGUUUAGAAUAAUACAAUAUGAUCAACUAUUGAAUUAACUUAUCAAUACAAAAGAGGUAUAAAAAUUAAAUCAUUACAAGUCAUUAACUAACUACAACCCAACAAGUUCCAUUCCUUUUAUAAAUAAGGAAGCAGAUUUGUACAUCACUACUCCUAACAACCUUCUUCAAAUAAUAUCCAGAAAGAAAAAAAUGAUUUAGGCUAGUGACUUUUCAAUUCCCUUAUUGAUCUUGAUUUACUGAGAUAUCCACUAGGCUACUCUCAUAAAUCACUUGGCCACCAGCAGUAGCUAAAAACACAAAUGCAAAAAAGAAUAGUCUAACUGUUGAGUAAUUCCUGAGUUUAAUUAAAGAACAAUUCCAUUUAAAAAAUCAUAGAGAUCAACACAAACUGAUUUCACUAAUCAGCCCCGCAAACACCAUUUCAAAUACGAACCACCUAUUUCAGGAAAUAAGUCAUUAUACAGGGAACAAUCAAUCAAACAUGGAGAUGUUUUGAGCAUGAAAUAACCUUUAAACUAGAUCAAUGACCUAUCUAUGACAUUAGACUUGAAUCAUGACUAAACUAAAAGAUAACAUGUAAUUGAAAUGAUUUAGGAGCACAGUAGGAUCAACAAAGUAAAACUCCUCAUUUCAGGUUGUGUAAAAGUAAAAGCAUCACACCAACGCCUCUGAACUUCUUAAGCUCAUAUUGACACUCGAAUUAAUAAUGACUUUGAACCCAACGAGUCAACAUAGCCUACAUAUUCAGCUUAAAAUGAAUUAAUAUAAUCAUAUAACCAUCAAGAGAAACAUAGAUGAAUCAGAUCUAAGCAUACCAAUAUCAGAAACACAUAAAAAUAGAUGUAGACAUGGCAUCAAUAUGUUAAUUCUGCAUUUCCACAUUCACAAAAGUUACAAGAAGGAAUCUCACAUACCUAUUUGUGAAAGACAAUCAACAAAAGCCAAAAGGGCUGAAAACUGAAGAAUAAGCUCAGCAAACUCAAAGAAAACAACAGCAAGAUAACAGAAGAUCAAUAAGGAAAUCCCAGAAUGAAACUUGACCUCAAUUCUAAAUCAGCUUCAGAAAACCAAGGUUGAUCCAGAAAAGAAACCAAACAUAUGAAACCAUUUUUUUCAAUCAGUAUAUGAAAGAAACUGAAACUUGUAAAAGAAAAUUUCUAAGGUAAAAUUUUGCCUCCAAAUCAGUCUAAAGGUGAGAGAAAAGAAGCUGAAUUUCAGAGAGAGGUUUUCGGUGUGUGUAAUCUGUAUGUAUGUCUGUCUAUGUGAGUGAUAUAUGGCCCUUUAUAUAGAAUAUAAGAGUGUGACUUUGUGAGAAAAAUCAGAGGGGUGUGAAAGAAUCUUUUGGGAAUUCUGUCAGCUGAAAUUUAGGGAUGGGGCAUCUUUUCUAUCAAAAAAUGUAGAUUUUUCUCAUGUAUUUUAGGUCCAUUU